AAAAAGCAAAAGAAAGGAUUCAAUCUCAAAGUCAAUGGCCAAGGAUACCAAAGGUUCCUCAGAUGCUGAGGGGGACCCAGGAUUUCAAGAAAUUCUACGAACCGAGGGUAAUUUCAUUGGGUCCUUACCACCAUGGCAAUCCCCACCUUCGCCCAGGGGAAAUGAUCAAGCCCCUAUUUGCCCAAAAAUUCCUGGCUGAUAGGAACCAGGACAUCGAUGCUUUGUACACAAAAAUUGAAAGUAAUAUCGAGGCAGUGAAGAAGUGCUAUGAUUGGAGUAGUACAAGCGAGUAUGAUGAUGAAGCACUCGCCUGGAUGAUGCUUCUGGAUGGGUGUUUUUUACUACAAUUCAUUUGCGGUACAGGUAUGAAAAACUUUCUUAGAUAUCACCAAAUAGGUUUUGUGGAGCUGGACUUGUUCCUGCUUGAGAACCAACUUCCUUUUGGAGUCCUCAAGUUGAUUUUUGAGGGAACAAGUUUACCAGUGGAAGAGACGAUUAAAGAAUUCGUCACUAACACCAUAAGGCCAGAAGGGUCGACAUCAGAAAUACAACUUAAAGAGGAGUACAAAGAGCCCUCUCAUCUCCUCGACCUCUUGCGAAGUGCUCGCCUAGGUAGGUAUAAAAAGAUUAGCAAGCAAGAACUAGGGAGUCAACCGGAACAAGAGCAGGAAGCUGGAAAAAAGGGAGAGUCGUCGUCGUCUCGAGGAAGAGAUGGAGGGUUCUGUUGCCCAUGGAAAAAAGGCAAACAACAAGGCAAUUGGCCGUCUUUUCGACACAUCAAGGAGCUUAAAGCUGCCGGGAUCCAUCUCCAACCGAGUGCAACGAGUUCCUUGACAGACAUUUAUUUCAAUUCCUACUUCUUCUAUGGCUACCUGAAACUUCCCCAAAUAAUCGUUGAUGACUCUACGAAGCCCAAGUUCUUGAACAUUGUAGCCUAUGAAAUGUGUCCAGAUGCCCCAGAUGACUAUGCGGUCACUUCUUAUGUAUGCUUCCUUUACGAGCUCAUUGAUCAUGCAGACGAUGUGAAGGAGCUGAGAUCUAAGCACAUUCUCUACAACUGUCUUGGCUGCGAUGAAGAUGUGGCCAAAAUUUUCAACGAGAUCGGCAAUGACUUGGUAGAUCCCGAUGCUUAUAAAGAAGUGAAAACUAGUAUUCAGAAACACUACGACAAGAGAGUGAAUAUUUGGAUAGCUAAAGGCCUUCACGAACAUUUCAGGUCUCCAUGGACUAUCAUCGCUUUCAUUGCUGCUGUUUUGAUACUACUUUUUACUGGGGUUUCGACCUACUACGCUCUUCCCGAUAAAUCUUCUUAUCGGGUUUCAGACCUACUUCGCUCUUCCCGCUAAAUCCAAGUGAGUCAUGGUAAUAUAUAUCUUCAAAUUGAUAAAUGGUAGUUUUUUCUAUUCAUUCUUUCAUUCGUUCAUGUACAGAGAAUAUAUAGAGGGUAAUCACCAUUCUAAGAAUGGGAAAGAAUGAUACAAGGAAAGAAUGAUAUAGGAAAUAACAAUUAAUAUUCUAAUAUCUCAACUUUCCUAAUAUCUCAAUAUUCUUAAUAUCUCAACUUUCCUAAUAUUUAAACAUUCCUAAUAUCUCAACACUAAAUAAUAUAAGGAAAGAAUGAUAUACGGAAAACAUUCCUAAUAUCUCAACACUUCCCCUCAAGUUGGUGCAUAGAUGUCACACAUGCCCAACUUGUCUAAAAAUUUUGAGAACACUUGACUUGAGACAACUUUGGUGAGGAUAUCGGCCAAUUGAUCUUCUGAUCGAAUCUUAGGCAAUUCCACAAUCUUAUCAUCCAAAUUUUCCUUAAUGAAGAAUCUAUCCACCUCGACAUGCUUUGUACGAUCAUGUUGUACUGGAUUAUGAGCAACGUCACAUGCGACUUUAUUGUCACAAAACAAUCGAAUUGGUCGCCUAGAUAAGUAACCUAAAUCCUGUAAGAGAAGUCUUAGCCAUAAUGCCUCACAAAGUCCUAGAGUCAUACCUCUAAAUUCUACUUCUGCACUUGAACGAGCGACGACAUUCUGCUUCUUACUUUUCCAUGUCACAAGAUUACCACCUACAAAGGUAAAGUAACCAGAUGUAGAUUGCCUAUCAUCCACUGCACCGGCCCAAUCAGCAUCAGUAUAUACUUCUAUACUCUGAUGAUUAACAUUUUUAGCGAACAAAAUUCCCUUCCCAGGAGCAUUCUUCAAAUACCUCAAAAUACGCAUAACUGCAUUCAUAUGUUGCUCUUCAGGAUUAUGCAUGUAUUGACUCACUACACUCAAUGCAUAAGCAAGAUCUAGUCUUGUAUGAGCUAAGUACAUUAAUCUCCCUACAAGUCUCUGGUAUCUUCCCUUAUCCGUUGAUACUUGAUUAGGCUCAACACACAAUUUCAGACCUUCUUCUAUUGGUGUAUUAACAGGUUGACAUCCCGACAUUCCAGUCUCCUGUAAAAGAUCUAAGGCAUACUUUCUUUGAGACAGAAAAAUUCCUUCACUUGAUCGAUAAACUUCAAUCCCAAGAAAGUAUUUCAGAGGACCUAGAUCUUUCAUUUCGAAUUCUUUAGAUAGAUAAUUUUGGAGAGCUUUUAUUUCUUUAGGAUCAUUUCCUGUAACUACCAUGUCAUCCACAUAUACGAUGAGUGCGAUAAUCUUACCAUGUUGCUUUUUCAGGAACAAAGUAUGAUCUGAAUUACUUUGAUGAUAGCCAAAAGCUCUCAUUGACUUUGUGAACCUUCCAAACCAUGCUCUCGGGGAUUGCUUCAACCCAUACAAUGACUUCUUCAAUUUGCACACCUUCUGACAUUGCUUUUCUGACACCAUGCAUCCUGGUGGAAGAUCCAUAUAUACUUCUUCAGAUAACUCGCCAUGCAGAAAGGCAUUUUUCACAUCGAAUUGUUGUAAUGGCCAAUCUAGUUUUGCAGCUAAAGACAGUAAUACUCGAACUGUGUUGAUCUUAGCUACAGGUGCAAAUGUCUCUGUGUAGUCAAUUCCAUAAGUUUGAGUGUACCCUUUUGCUACCAGUCUUGCUUUAAAUCGUUGAAUACUACCUUCUGCCUUGUACUUCACAGUAUAGAUCCAACGACACCCAACUGGCUUCUUUCCUGGUGGACAUUCUACGAGUUCCCAUGUUUCAUUCUUCUGCAAUGAUUUCAUCUUUUCAUUCAUGGCUGCUUUCCACCUUGGAACAGCUAAGGCUUCCUGCACACUGUUAGGAAUAGCUACAGUAGAUAAUUGAUUUACAAAUGACUUAUUUGAUUCAGACAAACGAUGGUUAGACACAUAGUUGCUCAUUGGAUAUUUGACUUUGGUAGACAAUUCAGGUUCAUAUGUAGGUUUAGGAAUACCUCUAUUAUGACGGUGUGGUAACUGUUUCAUGAAUGGAUCAGGUUCCAAAUUAAGAACACCUUCAACAGACGACGAUUGGUUUGGUAUUUCAGUAAAGACAUUUUCGAACCCAAAUUGUUGACCACUCAUAUCCAACUCACCCGCUUCUUGGUUCACUAGUUUAGAUUGUCCAGAUUCAUUCUCCUUAGAGAUAUGAUAAUCAUAAUCGAGAGUCUGAAUUUCCUUAUGGUACUCCCCCUGAAGUUCAGACUCAGAUGAAAAAUACAUCGAAUCUUCAUGAAACACCACAUCCAUUGUAAUAUACAUUUGUCGAGUUGGAGGAUGGUAACAUCGAUAUCCCUUUUUGUGCAAUGCAUAUCCAACAAACACACAUUGCAAUGCAUGGGAAGUUAAUUUGGUGCGUUGGUGUUUGUGUAGAUGCACAAAUGCCACACAACCAAAAACACGAGGAGGUAGAUUUGGGACAGUUGGGGCAACUACGAUAUUAGUAAGAGCUUAGAGAGGUGUUUGGAAGUUAAUUGAGUUAGAAGGUACCCGAUUAAUCAAGUAUGCGGCAGAUGUGAUUGCUUCUCCCCAAUAAGAUAUCGGUGUUUUUGCUGCUAUCAAGGAAGCACGAACAACCUCUAACAAGUGCCGAUUUUUUCAUUCAGCGACUCCAUUUUGCUGGGGUGUAUUGGAACAAGUAGUCUGAUGAAUGAUGCCAUGUCCUUCCAAAUACUUUUGAAGAUCAAAACUUUGAUAUUCUCCACCAUUAUCACUAUGCAGAACCCGAACCUUUGCAUUGUACUGAGUUUCAAUCAUUUUAUGAAAAUUUUGAAACAACAAGUUCACUUCAUCUUUGGUCUUCAUCAAGCAUAGCCAUGUCAUUCUGGUACAAUCAUCAAUAAAAGUAACAAACCAACGUGAGCCACUCAAAGUUGGGACUUUGGAUGGGCGGCCCCAAACAUUAGAAUGUAUAACCAUAAAAGGAAACGGACUUUUGUUCAAAAUUAACGGAAACGAAACACGAUGGCUUUUAGCCAAUUCACAAAUAUCACAAUGGAAACCAGAAAUAUCACUCUUUGCAAACAAACUAGGAAACAAUUUUUUUAAAUAACCAAAGGAAGCAUGUCCCAGACGUCGAUGCCACAACCAAAUUUCAGACUUUUUCUUCUCCCCCUCAGAUCCAUCUGCCAUCAAGGCUUGUUGCAACUUAUUUGAAUCCUUUGACUGCAAGUCCAAGUAAUAGAGUUUUCCCCGCUUAAUACCCCAACCAAUCGUCUGUCUUGUUUGGAUGUCCUUAAUCACACAAAAUUCAGGCCAAAAAAUGACAAUACAAGAUAAGGCUGCGGUGAUUUGAGAAACUGACAAAAGAUUGUAAUUUAAAGAUGGAACAACUAAGACAGAAUCCAAAUUCAAAGUAUCAGUAAGAGUUAAGGAUCAUUCCCCAAUGACUGGGGUUAUGUUACCUUUGGCUGUGGAAACAAUUUUUUGUGAGGAAGGUCUAAGGGGUGAAACCUGUCUAGAAUCAAAAGUCAUAUGAUCUGUAGCACCAGAAUCAAUUAUCCUUGCACUAUUAAUAACAGGUGUAAAAGUAUUUAAAAACUUACCACCAUGAUUUGUAGCGGCUACCAAUGUAGAGGCUUUCUCAGCAACAUUAGCCUCUGUUUUUAUUUCGGCAACAGUUGCAAUCGAGGUUUUCUUGGAAUCCUUCUUCCGUUGAUCAAGAUUAUUAUCAUUAAUAACAAAGUGUUGAUAGCCUAAACAUGAUCUAAAGGUCCAUAGUUCAAACCCUCGGUUCCUCAUUGUUUUCCUGGUCAUACCAAGAGUCGUUGCUUUGAAAUUGUGGCAUAUCCAGAUUGGUGGGAUCAAUCUUAUUGUAGUGAGUGCAUUUGAAGGUUGACUUAUCAACAUUAGGGCUUGUCUUAGGAUGGAUGAUCGCUGUCGGACUACCAUAGCGACAAAAUAUCUAGGAUUUCAGUUCCAUGGCUCUGAUACCAUCUUCAAAUUGAUAAAUGGUAGUUUUUUCCAUUCAUUCUUUCAUUCGUUCAUGUACAGAGAAUAUAUAGAGGGUAAUCACCAUUCUAAGAAUGAGAAGGAAUGAUACAAGGAAAGAAUGAUAUAGGAAAUAACAAUUAAUAUCCUAAUAUCUCAACUUUCCUAAUAUCUCAAUAUUCCUAAUAUUUCAAUAUUCUUAAUAUCUCAACUUUCCUAAUAUUUAAACAUUCCUAAUAUCUCAACACUAAAUAAUAUAAGGAAAGAAUGAUAUACUGAAAGCAUUCCUAAUAUCUCAACAAUAUAUAUGGGUUAAUUAUGAAUGUGAUGUGUUUUUUUCUUGUUUGGUGUGUAUGAUUGUUGUAUCACUGGAUUUCAUGGACGCAAUAUUAUUAGUCUUUUCCUCCCCAUGAGUUUGCUAUAAUCUAUAUAAUAUAUGUUUGAACUCACAAUUUCCAGCUACCUUCUUUGUAUUCUUUUUCAUAGACCAGCAUCAUAGAUAACAAACUAUCCACAUAGAAAAUUUUCAGUUAACGGUGUGUAAUUCCGUGGAUGGGAUUGAAUAUUCAACACACAAUUGUUUUUUCGAAUAAGAAAAUUAUGGAUAUAUUAAAAUCAUAAUUUUGAUAUAUCUAUAUAUAUAUAUAUAUAUAUAUAUAUAUAUAUAUAUAUAUAUUUAGAAAAGCAAUUAAAAACUGCAUUUUUUAAUGAAGUCUUCUGAUUUUUAUUGAUUUUUUUUUUUCAAAUUUCCAACUUUUUUAAGAAAUCUUCUAAUACUCUUGAAUUCUUCAAGAGAUUUUUAAUCUUCUAUCUCUUUAAGGCUCUAGGACAUUUCUUUAUAAAAAUACGUACAUUCAUUUGGAGAUCAACUAGGGCUCCAUUAGACCCUAUGUUGGUCUAAAUAUUCAUUUUGCGAACCUUGGGAAUGGAUUUGAGGCAUUUGCCUACCUUGAAAUGUGAUUUACAAUCCCCACACAUUAUCCUUAAGAAAAAUAUAUACAUUCUUCACAAAAAUACAUACACUUUUUUGGAGGCUAACCUUGAUCCCAUUAGAUUCUAUUUAGAUCUAAAUAUUUAUUUGGGGAUCUUUGGAAUGAAGUUAAGUCAUUUUUCUAUCUUGAAAUGUGAUUUAGAACCCCAUGUACAUCUUUAAGAAAAAUAAGUAUAUUCCUCACAAAAAUACGUAUGUUUUUUUAAAAGCCAAUCGUGACCUCAUAGGCCUUAUUUGAGUCUAAACAUUCAUUUGGGGAACCUUGGGAAUGGAUUUAAGCUCUUCGUCCACCCUAAAAUGUGAUUUGCAAUCGCACGUAUAUCUUUAAGAAAAAUAUAUACUUCUUUUAAAAAAAAAGUGUGUACAUUCUUCACAAAUAUAUAUAUAUAUAUAUAUAUAUAUAUAUAUAUAUAUAUAUAUAUAUAUAUAUAUAUAUUUGAUAGCCAACCAAGGCUCCAAUAAUCCCUGAUAAAAAUAUAUGUAUUUUUUAAAAUGAUGUAUGUAGUUUAACAAAUAUAAGAAAAAUUAAUUAAGGGGAAAUUAAUGUAAAAUAUUAAAUACAAUUUUUUUUUUUAUGAAAAAUAUAUUUUCUUUUAUAUUUUAUGUUAAUAAAAAAUUAAAGGUUUUAACAAAGCAAAAGGUUAGAACCAGAAAUUAAGUUAAAACCAUAAGAAAAAAAAAAAUAAAAGCACCAUCACUUACUAAUAUUUGAUUUGAAAAAAUAAAAAUAAAAAUAAUAAAAAUAAUAAAAUAGUGUUACAAAGAUAUUCUUACUUUCACAUGUAAUAAGAUUUAAAAAAUAAAUAAAUAUUUUAUUUGACAUUAAUAUAAAAAAUCUUAUAUCAUAAACCUCUAAAUAAUAAAAUAAAUUUUCUAAAUUUAAACCUUAAACCAUUAAAUGUAUUAUUAUAAUUAAUAUUUAAAAUCAUCAAGUAUAUUACUUUUGGGAUAAUAUUUUCAUUUUUGUUCAUUAUAUAUUUAUGUUUUUAUUUAAUUUCUUAUUAUUAGCUAUUUAUUAUAUAUUAUUAUUUUAAGUUUAAUAUAUCCAAAAAAUAAUUAAAAUCAAUAAAUACGGAGAGUGAAAAAAUUUGAAAUUAAAGAGGUUUUAUAAGAGAAUACAUGAGCAUAUUAAGAGAAAUGGUAAAAGAAAGAAAGAAAAAUAACAAUAUUUUUAAAUGUGAUAGGUGGCAAUUGAUAGGAUGGUUAAGGAUGGUAAUGAGACAGGUUUUUUCGGAUACUCGUCCUGUCCAGGCCCUAAUGGGACGGAUUUGAAAUUUAAAUAAACGGGUUUGAGAUAUUUUUAAAGCUUGAGAUAAGUUUGGGGCAAGUUCGGGUAUUAUCUUGUCCCAUCCCGUCACACCUUGAUUAUAUAUAAAAUUAAUUUUAAAAAUUAAAUUAAAUUAAUUUUUAUUUUCUUAUUUUUAAUAUAUAGAUAAUAAUAAUAAUAAAUUUUCAAUAAAUAAGUUUUAAAAAAAUUAUAAUAAUUCAAUUAUUUAUAAAAUAUAUUUAUUUUAAUGUUUUUUAGAAAUUAAAAUAAUUUUUUUAAAAGAAUUAAAAUUUUUUCAAAAAAGGGUUAAAUGGGUAAGGCGGAACGGGUAUGAGAAUUUCUCAUACCCGCCCGCAUUAUUUAAUUUUUUUAAUGGGACAACGAUGAAAGUUAUUUUGAAUAAACGAGACAAGGUUGGGAUGAGAGCUACUCAUCUUAAACAUGCCUUGUUGCCUUUCCUAGUGAAAGAGGAAAAAAAAAAAAAAAAACAAAAGCCAAAAAACAAAAAAAGGAAAAAAGUAGGAACAUGUUUUUUUCCCAAAUAGAAAACGUAAAAGUAAAGUCCAACAAUUUUUUUUUUUUUGGUUAUAUAUAUAGCAUGGUGGGGAGGGUAUAUUCCAUAUUACAUGAGACUUCCAUGGCGGGGAAGGUAUAUUUCAUAUCACAAACUUACUCAAUUGUGUUUUUCCUUUUAGGAUAUGGAAGGGCUUUCCUUAUGCCCAAGAAAUGCAUAGAUUCAAUUGAAGAAAUUGAGGAAUAUGGUUGUUCUUUUUUUUUUUUUUUUUUUUUUUUUUUUUUUUUUUUCUUUUUUUCCUUUUUUCCUUUUUUAAAAAAAGAUGAGCCAAGGUGGAACUCAGGUGGAACACAUUGGUUCCAGUCAUUUUCUUGGGCAAAGAUAUGUCCAGGAUAUGGGAAAGGGGCAUUAAAUUAAAUAUCUUUUGAAAAGUUUAUUAUAAUCAUUUCACACAAUAUAAAUUUCACUAAAUUUUUCGAACUAAGGUUCUCUGAUAAUUACUUUAUAAUAAUAAAAUUAAUUCUUACAUUACAUGUAAUAUUCAAAUUUAAAAAAUCCAAUCUCAAAUAAUUUAAUAGCUAAAUUUAAAUUUAAUUUUUGAAACUCCAAGUUUCGAAAUGUGACUUGGCAAGAAUUUAAAGUACUGAUUUUCGACUAACUUUUCACAAAUUUUGCCUAAUUAAAUAAAAUAUUAGCAUGUGAAUGUUCACUAACAUCACGUAAUUCAUUGAUUUAGAGGAUUCAAUUUGGUUGAUGUUGAGGAUAGUCAUCGGCAGUAGACUAACAUCUUCUCGACCAAUUAACAUACCAACAGUGAUUAGGCCAAAUGUGGUGAUCGAAUUCCAUGGAAAAGCAGCAAAAAGGGAGGUGCGUUGGAGAGAAGGAAGGCGGUCAACCAAGCAGGAACAGUGGAGAAAUUGGCCUCGAGCCUAAGGAGCAUAGGAAUGAAAUUAAUGAAAUCAGUCCUAGGAUGAAAAUUUGGAUUGGGUCUGUCCAAAAAGCAGAAGAAAAGACGAAACCUCACUAUCAAUGGCCAAGGAUACCGAAGGUUCCUCUGAUGCUGAGGGGGACCUGGGAUUUCGAGAAAUUCUAUGAACCAAGGGUAAUAUCAUUCGGUCCUUACCACCAUGGCAAGCCCCAACUUCACCCAGUGGAAAUGAUCAAGCCUCUUAUGUGCCAAAAAAUUCCUGGAUGACAGUAACCAGGACAUCGAAGCUUUGUACACAAAAAAUGGAAGGAAAAUCAAGGAAGUGAGGAACUGCUAUGAUUGGAGUGGUACAAACGAGUAUGAUGAUGAGGCACUCGCCUGGAUGAUGCUUCUGGAUGGGUGUUUUUUACUAUAUUUCAUUCACUGUGUAGUGAGAAGAAAUCAGAGUAAGUUGCAUGGUUUGAAUGUUAAAGAUUAUAUGAUUACUUUUGUGCACCAGGACUUGUUCUUGCUUGAGAACCAACUUCCCUUUGGAGUCCUCAAGUUGAUUUUUGAGGAAUCAGAAUUCAAUAUUGAUGGUUCACCAAUGCAAGAGAUGAUAAAAAAAUUCGUCAUUGACACCGGUAGGCCAGAAGGGUCGACAUCAGAAAUACAGAUGGAAGAGCCCUCUCAUCUCCUCGACCUCUUGCGAAGUGCUCUCCUAGGCGGGUCUAAAAAGAGUAGCAAGCAAGAAGCUCAGGGGUUCUGUUGCCCAUGGAAAAAAGGCAAACAACAGGGCAAUCGGCUGUCUUUUUGACACAUCAAGGAGCUUAAAGCUACCGGGAUCUAUCUCAAACCGAGUAGAACGAGUUCCUUGACAGACAUUUCUUUCAAUUCCAACUUCUUCUAUGGUUACAAGGAACUUCCCCCAAUAAUCAUUGAUGGCUCCACGAAGCCCACGUUCUUGAACAUGGUAGCCUAUGAAAUGAGUCCAGAUGGUCCAGAUGGCCCAGGUGGCUAUGCGGUCAGUUCUUAUAUAUGCUUCCUUGACAACCUCAUUGAUCAUGCAGACGAUGUCAAGGAGCUGAGAUCUAAGCACAUUCUCUACAACUAUCUUGGCAGCGAUAUAGAUGUGGCCCAAAUUUUCAACGAGAUUGCCAAUGACUUGGUAGACACCGAAGCUUAUGAAAGUGUGAAAGCCCGUAUUCAGGAACACUACGGCAAGAGCGUGAAUACUUGGAUAGCUGAAGCCCUUCACAACCAUUUCAGCUCUCCAUGGAUUCUCAUGGCUUUCAUUGCUGCUGUUUUGAUACUACUAGUUCCUAUGCAUUUGAUUUCAGAAUUUAAAUUGUUUUUUUCUUUUUACUUUUUCAUGAAUUAUUAUAAACUUUUGAUCGAAUAGAAAAAACCAAAAUAUUUGACUUUUUCUAAAUGGAAAAAGUAACAUAUUGGUUUUUCUUUACUAUUUUAAUGUUUGAUAGAUGAUCUGCACCCAUCGAGUUAAUCAAUUCAAAAAGUGUUGUUCAACAGUGUUGGAAAAUCAUCUAAUCCUGUCUCCUUGUAGAACAACUUGAACAAAAAUUUAUUGCUUACAGUUAGCAACCAUUGUGGGGCAUCCUGGCUGCCCAAACACACAUUUUCUGUUGGAAUGUGAUGCAUCAGAGACAACACUUCUUUAAUUCCUUCCCAAUCAUGGGAGUCUCUAAUAAAAUUAGGAUUCCGAAGCUCUGCAUCCUCGUCCUGUACAGAAUGGUCUGCCACACAUGCCUCCUCAUUCACCAGAAUUAUAAACUAAUUUAGGAACCUCAUCUUAAGAGAUCCACCCAUAGACCAAACAUCUUAACCAUAAAUCACAUUUGAGUCCUUUCUAUGAUUUUAUUGGAAACUUUAUAGCCUCAACAACACAUAACCAUUUGUAAAUCAAGCCCUUCACUAUUGCCCCAGUCAACAUCUUAUUCAGCCUCAACAUUAUGCUAAUAGCACCUUCAACUACAAUUUCGACAAUGCCACUCCUUACUGGUGUGGUUGUAGUCUUUUGUGCACAUGACCAGUUGUAACUUUUCUCUAACUACUGAGCAUUUCUAUCACAAAGGAUUUAUUGAUUUAACAUCCUGUUGAAAAAACUUCUCCUUCAGUCGAGGUAUGCAUAGAUCAUACAUAAUCCCACAUUCCACAAACACCUUUCCACUUCAUUCCUUCCAUUCUAAUAUUAAUGCACAAAGAAGUUGCAUGCAGAACAGAGAAUCUAAAUGUCAGAGGGUCUACCUGAUCAUCAACCUUCAUAUGCUUUUAGAACAGAUUGGCAUCAGGGCAUUCUCUAGUCAAUGGUCGUAAGCCCCUACCAUAGCACAAAGUAUUUUUAAGCGGCAAGGUACUCAAGAGAAAGUAAAGAAAAAGAAAAGGAGAAAAGAAAAAGGACAGAACAAUAGGUUCCUUAUUAUUUGUACACUUCCAUUAUUAUAUAUCACAAUGUUGCUUGGUGUUUAGCAAUAGUAUUCCCACCAGCAUCUUGAGUCUGCCAGGGAGAAAUAAACGUACUCGGGUCUAGAACUUACAAAGCUCCCAACUUGCUAGUGGAAACUGGUAUAGAACCAACCAAAUUAUUUCUGUAUCCUAUGAAGAUUUGAAAAUUAUAUAAUCUUCCUAUGUCAGAAGGGAUGACACCAUUGUGAUUGUUGUCAACAAUGCCCAGCAUCAGCAAGCCAGUGCAGUUACAAAUGCUUUCAGGAAUGACACCUUCCAAAAAGUUAAGUCCAGAACCUAGAAAUGCAAGAUUUCCAAGGAAUGUUGAACAAUUCUACAUGGAAUGGUACAACACUAGUUGCUUCAUAGUGCCAAGAUUAUGGGGGAUGCCCUCAUUGGAGCCAACUAUUGGAACAAAUUAGCAUGCUAUUGACAACUACUCCACUGUGUUGCCUGCAAAUUAAAUUUUCCAUUGGUGGUCUUCUUCCACAUAUCUGGUGCCACACAGCUCUUGAUAUAGCAAGGAUUGCUCUAGACUUGAUGAGUACCUCAAAAAAUGCCAAGGAAAGUACAGUGAUUAAUCUAACAUGCUUUAAGUCAGAGGCUCUUCCUCCCAUCCAUGACCAGGGAGUCUCUUUGAUUUCAACCUUUUUAACACUCAAUAUUAGUUUUCAAUAUUUGUUUCAUCUUAUAGUAUAGAGUUACUGAAACAGAGUAACUUGCUUCAAACAUAUUCUUAAGAGACUCACAGGCGAAGACGGCACAAACCUAGAUUACCUCAAAGUGUUGGAUCCCUGCCUGUAUGCAAACACCCCUUCAUAAUAUAAGAUCUAUCCAACUAAGCACCAAAAAUCCAUAUUCCUAUACAUGACCAAAAUAGUAAAGCUAAUCCAUACAUUUUUAGGCACAUAUAUCAGGUAAAUAAGAACUAAGAAUCAAAAGAAUAAACCUAAACUAGAUGAUUCAACAGGACGUAAUUCAGAAGUGAUAUUUCACGAAAUGUGAUUUAGAGAAUUAAUACCCUGAAGGUGGUAGGCCAAACUUAGGUUCUGCAUAAAGGGAUACACCAAAAGACAUUCUGUUGGUCUUGUGUCUGGAAAGCUGCAUCUCCACCAGGACUUUCAUAAUCUAUUAAUUGUUUCACUGCAACUUUGGUGUUAUUUGCAAGCACUCCCUUAUGAACUUUUCCAAAGCAUCCCUGUCCAUGAACAUUUUUCUCACUAAAAUUGUCUAUAGCUAGCUGUAACUCCCUCCAUGCAAAUCUUCUCAAUUGGCCAAAUGCAAUUCUUUGGUCAACUUCACCUGAAAACAGAUGGAAAGAUGUCUAGAAAGAAAAUUUCCAAGAGAAUCAAAUUUUGCAUCAAAUCCUUAAAAUCUGUCCAAGUAUUUAAAAGAGAUAAAAGCAUAGUUCUUUUCAAUACAGAACUAUGGCAUGAUCUGUAAAUCUCUUCAAACUUUUUGUACUUGUAGGCAUCCCAAGAUAACAUCCAAUUGAGAACAAGCCUUUGAAAAUCUAACAAAAACUUGCUUUGAUGCUAUUAUCACCUAAAAAAGAAGAAGAAGAAAGCAUUGUAGCCAUUGCACAGAACCAGUCCCAUUCAUAAGGGUGGACGGGUGACACACCCAACCUUCACCAUUUUUUGCAUGAUUUGGUCAUACAUAAAGCAAUCAAUAUAUACUUGGUUAAACAUCAAGCUUAAUUUUAGCCUAAUCAAUUGACUAAAGCUGCAAUUACACUUAAGUUUAAACUACCAAAAGUUCACCCAUUUUCACAACAUUAAAAUUAAGCUAAAAUUACAGUGAAAGUGAUAGAACUUCAAGCCAAAAUUUAGGUGGAGAAAUGAAUUUAAUUUGUCUCAAGAGCUGAAUUACAAUGAAGUCAAUAAAUAAUAUUAUCUUCUUCGGUUCAUGAACACCAAACUGAAAUUACAACAAAAUUGAAAUCAACAUUUUGCAUCAAAUUAACCUAAUUUCACUCAUCUUUUAUCUUAAACUAAAAUACAUCUUGUAGCACUCAGUGAUCAAAGCCUGUUUUUCUUCCCCCUUACUUCCUGUUUAGACAUGGAGAGGUGAAACAAACUUUGAGAUAUUCAAUGAUUCAACAAAGCUUUAAUCAAAUACUAAACUGCUUGCUUUGAUGGAAGAGUUAGUUUCAUGAGGGAUGUGCCCAUCUUCCUUGAAGCUUGUACCUAUGCACUUACGAUUGGUAAAAGCCAGGCACCAUAAACAUAAGAGUUUUUGAAUUUUUAAGGGAAAAUCAUGCUUUCAAACACUAAUAAAAAAAGUACAUCUGUUCCUAGGGGAACUAGAACCCCUAUAUCCCCAAUCAUGAUCUAUAUAUUCCUUUGGGAACCCUCAAUAAGUGAUUACAGGUCCUCCUUAUUCCCAAAAUGAACUUUGGAACCUCAAGUACAUCCUUAAAAAAAAUAAGUACAUCUGUUUCUAAGGAAACCGAGACUCCUAUCCCCCUUAUAAUGGUCUAUCUAUUCCUUUGAGGACUCUCGAGAAUUGAUUAUAGGUCAUCCCCAUACCAAAACGGACUUUGGAACCCCAAAUACAUCUUUAAGAAAAAUAAGUACAUUUGUUUUUAGGGGAACCAAGACCCCUAUCUCUUUUAUCCUGGUCUAUAUAUUCCUUUGGGAGCCUUCUAGAAGUGAUUGGAAGCCCUCCCCUUCCCCAAAAUGGAAUUUGGAAUUUUAAGUACAUCAUUAAAACAAAUAAGUACAUCCUUAAGAAAAUUAAGUACAUCUAUUCCUAGGCAAACUAGGGUCCUAUCUCCCUUAUCAUGCUCUAUAUAUUCCUUUGGGUACUCUUUGGAAGUGAUCGGAGGUUCUCCCUAUCCUUAAAAUGGAAUUUGGAACCCCAAGUACAUCCUUAAGAAAAAUAAGUACAUUUGUUCCUAUGGGAAUCGAGACCCCUAUCUCUUUUAUCAUGGUCUAUAUAUUCCUUUGAGGACCCUUAGGAAUUGAUUGGAGGUCCUUCCUAUCCUUGAAAUGAACUUUGGAACCCUAAGUACAUCCUUAAGAAAAGUAAGUACCUCUAUUCCUAGGAAAAUCAAGACCUUUGUCUCAUUUAUCAUGGUUUCCAUAGAUUUCUUUGGGGACCCUUGGGAACUAAUUGGAGGUCCUCUCCAUUCUUGAAACGGACUUUAGAACCCCAGAUAUAUCCUUAAGAAAAAUAAGUACAUUUAUUCCUAAGAGAAUUGAGAUUCUUAUCUCCCUCAUCAUGGUUCAUAUAUUCUUUUAAUGACCCUCUAGAAGUGAUUUGAAGUCGUCUCUCACCCUGAAAUGGAUUUUGGAACCCUAAGUACACCCUUAAAAAAAAUAAGUACAUCCUUAAGGUUAAGGAAAUGCAUAUUGUUAGGAUAUGUAGAUGGAGUGAAAAUGUACAAGUUAUGGUGCUUAGAUUCAAAAUUCUCUAAUUUAUAAUUAACAGGGAUGUGGCUUUUAACGAGUAUGAAAUGUUGAGUCCAAGAAAGGAGCAACUUCAUGUAGAAAACAACCCUAGUAUGAGAGAAAAUGUGGAGUUUGUGCCUAACAUAGAAAAAACGAUUUCAAAAAAGCCAAAUGAGGAAGAAGUGCAACAUCUUGAUGAUAAAGAAAAGACAUCACAAUAGCAACAAUAUUAUUUGGCUAGAGAUAGAACGAGGAGGCAAAUUAAACCACCACAAAGGUAUGCUUAUGUAGAUUUGGUUACUUAUGCACUUGGUGUGGCAAAGAACAUUGAAAAAGAGGAAUUUCAAACUUAUCACUAGUAGAGAGUCUACACAAUAGAUUGUUGCCAUGAAUGAGGAAAUUGAAUCUCUUCAAAAGAAUCAUACUUGGAAACUAGUUGAGAAGCCUAAAAAUCAAAAGAUUGUUGGUUGCAAAUAGGUCUUCAAAAGAAAUUAAGGGAAGGAAUUUCAAGAGUAAGGAUGACAAGUUUAAAGCAUGCUUAGUGGCAAAGGGUUACACACAAAAGAAAGGAGUGGACUUCAAUAAAGUUGUCUCCAGUUGUGAAGCAUAGCUCAAUCAAAGUGUUACUUGCUAUGGUUGCUUUAUUUAAUUUAGAUUUAGAGCAACUUUAUGUCAUGACUGUUUUUCUACAUGGUAAGUUGGAAGAAUAGAUUUAUAUGAAUUAACCCGAGGAAUUCAUUAUUUCAAAAAAGACCAUGUUUGUUUGUUGAAGAAAUCUCUUUAUGGCUUGAAGCAAUCUCUUAAGCAAUGGUAUAAAAGGUUUGAUACUUUUAUUAUUGGCAAUGGCAACCAUAAGAGUGAGUAUGAUAAUUAUGUUUAUCACAAGGAAUUGUUUGAUGGUUCUUUCAUUUAUUUAUUGUUAUAUGUUAAUGACAUGUUAAUUUCCUGCAAGAAUAUGUUUGAUAUUAACAAGUUGAAAACUCAACUCUAAGGAGAGUUUGAAAUGAAAGACCUUAGAGUUGUGAAGAAAAUAUUAGGUAUGGAUAUUCAUAGAGACCAAAAAGUAGGGGAAUUGUACUUUUCACAAAAAAGUACAUUGAGAAAGUGUUAAAAUGCUUUGGAAUGCAAGGGUCAAAACCUAUGAAUACUCCAUUAGCAACUCCAAACUUUCAAGUGCUUUUGUUGGGAACCCUAUAUUACUUCGUUCCCAUGCCCUAGAUCUCAUAGGGUGCAUGCAUUUAUCCCUAGACAUCUCUAAACCUACUGUAGCGAAAAACUAAGUAUUCAAAAACCAAUAUUGAUACCAUAGAAAUCUUAGAUCUAGAGAAAAAAAAUCACAUACCUUUGAUUCAAAUGUUCUUGAAUUGAUUCCUAUUGAUGUAGAUAAGUCCAAAGUCAUAAUGGAUCUUGUAACACCAUGAUCUUCCGCCCGAUAACUCUUUAUUGUGUCUAGGCACUGAAAUGGUUGACAUCUUAAGGGUGGAGGUUAGACUUCUCUCUUUGGACUAUAUGGAGAAAAUGGCAAGACAUGGAAACCCUAACCCUUAACGGGUAUUUAUAGGCUUCUUAGUAAGCUUAAGUGACUUAAGCCCACCCAAAAAGGUUGCUAAUUAAUUAAUUAGUUAACAAUACAAGAUCCUAAUUAACCAAUUAGCUUAGUUAAGAGAUAUCACUAACUUAUCACCAUGCAACCUUGCAUAAUCACUAAAAUAUCCUUAUGCACAAAAAUGAACUAAAAACCUUUCCAACCCUCAUAAACUAUACCAUCAAGGAAUAUGAGCUCAAAGUAGGGACCACUAGGACCCAUAGGAGUACUAGCUCCCUUAGAAUAAAAUUCUAAAAUUGACUCAACAUCUCACUAUAGAAAGUCAACUGCACUCUAGUACCUUAUGUGUAUUACAACGAGACACCAAGUGCUCGGGUUCGUGACCUACAAUCUACUACAUGCAAACUCUCCAUGAACUGGUGUUUGUAGUCUAACAAAGUAGUGCUAUCACUUAUUAAGAUUAUCUCUCAAAUCCUUAAGUUAUAGAUUCCAUUUUUUUUAUGUGAUCAAAUGACAUACUCUAGCUCAAAGAAGGAUUUGUCAAAUUCCACUAAAUGAAUUAUUGUGGCCACAUAUUUCAUGAUUACAUAUCCUUUAGAUCACCCAAGGAGACGCGCUGUCUCAAUCCCAUGAGAUAUCAUGGUGCCUCUAUUGAGAAUACUUGUUGCCACCAACCUCCAUCAACAAUGACCCAAUCCAUGGGGAUAUGUGACCACUUUAGGGUCUCAUCCAUAAGUUAAAGUCUCUUAUUGAUUUCAACAUAUGCUUAAUAUUCUCUCAAGGUUGAGAGUCCAUGUAGUAUAGUCACUUAGUUAAUCAUAAAAUUUGAUAGUCUUGCAUCAUGAUUCAUCGUAGGUCCUAUCCAGUGUGCACCACAUAUACUAGCGUACUCACCAUAGGAAUCCCAUCCUAACGACCUAGAUAAGCAAUCCCUCCGAUUAGGAGGUGGUGCACUAUAGUCUCUACUAGAUUGUCCAAAUCCAUGAACCAAUUGUGGACAACUUAUCUAUUUAUAAGAAACCCAUGACUUGUAACUUUUGUGCAACUCCUAAUAUACCAAAGUCAUGUACAAUGUAAGAGACAUGUGUUGAAUGUUCAAAUCAAUAUUAAUACACCAAAAGGAUAGCAAGAGGAUGGUUAAGUCUGACUUUGUUACAUUAUGUUAUGCUUUUAAGGGCUCAAUCCCAACAACUUUAUCACCAUAGAUCAAAGAAGAAAUGGAGCACAUGUCACAUGUUCCUUAUGCUAGUGUAGUUGGGAACAUUAUGUAUGUCAUGGUUUGCACUAGGCUAGACAUUUCACAUGUAGUUAGUGUGGUGAGUAGAUAUAUGGAUCACUCUCGAAAGAUCCAUUGGCAAGCAGUGAACAAAUAUUUCGAUAUUUGAGAGAAACAUCACAUGUUGGCUUAACAUAUGAUAAAAGUAGUGACAUCUCUGAGAAAAUUGUUGGUUAUGUUGAUUCUAAUUAUGCUAGAGAUUUGGGGAAAAGAAGAUCUCAAACAAUUUGUGGUAGUGUUAUUAGUUGGAAAGAACCUUUGCAAUUUAUAGUUGCUUUAUCAACCACUGAAGUAGAAUACAUGGCGGUCAUAGAAGCGGUGAAAGAAGUUAUUUGCCUUAAGGGCUUGGUUGGAGAUUUAAGCUUACAAUAGGAGUUGAUUGUUGUGUAUUAUGAUAGCCAAAGUACCAUACAUUUGACUAAAAAUCAAAUGUUCCAUAAGAGGAGCAAACAUAUUGAUGUCAAUGCAUUUUAUUAUGGAUGUGAUCGCAAAGGGUGCUAUUGCAAUGAAAAAAAAAUCCCUAUAGUGGAGAAUCUUGCAGAUAUGAUGACUAAGUUCGUUUUUACAGUUAAAUUCAGGUAUUACUUGGACUUAAUUGAUGUUAAUAGUAUCUAAAGACUCCUUUAGGGUGUGGGAGUGAAGAAACAUGGAAGACUUUCGAGUUUGUUUGAAUCUUGAGAAUUUGAGCCAAGGUGGAGAUUAUUGAAAAGUGUCUCAGAUUCUAUUUUUGAGUCAAUUGGAAAGUUAUAGAUAGUUUCCUAAUAAAAAAAUAUUCUUGUAAGUGGGUUUCCUAUUAUUAUAGAGGAAAUAUUCUUUUAGGAAAAAACAUUUUUGAUAAUUAUACACUUAGUUUCCUAUAUAGAAUCUUUCUAUGUAAUUAGAGAAAUAUGUAUAAAAAGAUAUUUUGACCAAAAUAGUGGAAGUUUUUUUUUUGGGUAUAAUUGGGACUUUGGGAUUUGAAAGCUCUAAGAUUGUAAUAUCCUUCAAUAAUAAUGGAAAUUAUUUUUUAUCUUCACCUGUGGAUGUAGGUUUGAGGUCGAACCACAUAAAUUGUUAUGUACUUUGUGUGUUUUGUUUUUGUUAGGAAUUUGAGGCUAAUCCAAACUAUGGUAAUCACCUUGGGGGGGGGGGGGGGGGGAUAAAUAGGGUGAUGGUCUCUUUUUCACAAAUUUAAACUAUGCAAAAAUAAGAGUCAAUUAUAUGCAAAUAUAUAAUAAACAAAAUAAACACAAUUGCAUAUAAUUUAAAAGAGUUAGGGAAGAGAGAGUGCAAACAUGAGAGUUUAUAGUGGUUCGGUACUUCCUUGCCUACAUCCACUCUCCUCAACCUCCUAAUCGAGUGAGGGUUCCACUAUCUUGAAGCUUCAACCAAGUUUCCAAUCUCUUUACAAUUGGAUUAUGGUUCCAAUUCACCCUCUUGGACUUUUGGCUCCAAGCACCCUUUACACUUCUUCAAGAGAUAUCCCUCUCUUGAAUAACCUCUCAAGUGAUACCCCUCACUUGAGAAAAUCCCUCACAAAGAUAUACAAAUAAUGAUCUCACAAAAAUCCUAGUAAUAGAACUUUAGGCUCAAAGAUACAAGAAAAACUAGGAUUGAAUGGUGCACUAAAGAUAUGCAAGUUAUGAAACAAUGGUGCACUCAAAAACACUCUUCCAAGGCUCAAAUAUAAUCAAGAAUGAUUUGGAAAGGUUAAGCUCUUGAAACAAUGAAGAUUGGAGCCUUUUUAUAGAAGAGAAAAUCCAAACUAGCCGUUUGGGGGUUCGUCCGGUCGAGCUAUGGGUCGACUGGUUGACUAGCCAUUAGCAUUAAAUGCUUGGCAGGUGACCGUUGGGCCUUAGCCGGACCUCGACCGGGAAGAGAGUUACCUUGAUCGGGAAAAGAAGGCCACUAGGAGAGAGAGAAACUUUUGGCCUCCCUCGACCGGUACUCGACCGGACGAGCACAACUGGUUGACCGGUUCCUCGACCAGUUGAACUGGUUGAGCCAUUUUUUGGCUCAACACCCAACCCUUUUCAACUUAAAACCUCUUAACACAAGUUUGAAAAUUAUUUAACACAAGGUUUUAGUUGAAAACAUGAAAUCAUCCAAUUUUAAAGAUAUUUAAAACAAUAUUACUCUUGGAUGAUUUUGGUGCAUAAAUAAAGAAUGAAAUGCAUGAAAGUCCUAGUGCACCAACAACCUUACAAAGAGAUCUUAAGAAGUUUUGGUCUUGAAAAACUCUUCUCUUUGAGGUGGUCUUCUUCUUCGUGAUUUCUCCUUGGCUUGAUUUGUCUUUGGAUUGACACUUUGGAAGUCGUCUUGCCUAAUCACACUUGAAAUAUAAUCAUUAGUUCUAAACCUUGUUUUGUUAUCAUCAAAAUCAAGAUUAACCAAACCUUGGUUUCACAGUUUUCAUUUUUUUUUUCUCCCUAUUAUUAUUACUAUUAUUAUUAUAUAUACACCCAUGUGACUUGCAUGGUGGAAAGAGAAUAUUUCAUAUUCCAGGCAAGAAGCAAAGGUUACUCAAUUGUGUUUUUCCUUUUAGAAUGCAGAAGGGGUUUCCUUAUACUGAAGAAAUGCAUAGAUUCAAUUGAAAAAAUUGAGAAAUAUGGUUGUUCUUUUUCUUUUUCUUUUUCUAAAUCAUAGAUGAGCCAAGAUGAAACCCAUGUGGAACACAUUGGUUCCAGGCAUUUUCUUGGACAAAGAUAUGUCCAAAAUAUGGGAAAAUGACAUUUUAAAAUUAAAAAUGAUUUUAAAUUUUAAAUUUCUUUUUUUAUAUGUUUAAAAGCUUUUCAACUAGUAGAUUCGAAUUAUAACUUCCAAUUUAAUCGAAGAUUAAAAAUUACAAUAAUGAGAUUCUCAAUUCUUCAAAAUGAAAUUAAUUUAAUCCAUUUCCUUUGUAAAUUAUACCUCAAUUCAAUCAACCUUUCAAAAAUUAAAUUUACUUAAUGAUAAUAUUCAUAUUUAAUCAAUUUACCUUUUUGUGUAAAUUCCUAAAUUUAUAUAACAUAAUUUAAUCUUAAUUUUAUUUUGAUUCAAUUUUGUUUCACGUUUUAUAAUUUUAUAAGGUUGAAUUCUAAUAAUAAUUAAAAAUUAAAUUGAUUUGUUAUAAUAUUAAAUUAAAUAUCUUUUGAAAAUUUUAUUAUAACUAUUUGACAUAAUACAAAUUUCACCAAAAUUUUUAAUUAACUUUCUCUAAUGAUUACUUUAUAAUAAUAAAAUUAAUUAUUACAAUACAUGUAAUAUUCAAAUUUCAAAAAUUCAAGCUCAAAUAAUUUAAAUUUAAUUUUGAAGUUCCUAAUUUCCAAAUGUGACUCUCGACAAGAAUUUAAACUAACUUUCGACUAUUUUUUCACAAAUUUCACCUAAUUAAAUAAUAUAUUGACACGUGAAUGUUCACUAACGACACGUGAUCACGAUUCAUUUUGGUUGAUGUUCAGGAUGGUCAUCGGCAGUAGACUAACAUCUUCUGGACCAAUUAACAUACCAGCAGUGAUUAGGCCAAGGUGGUGAUCCAAUUCCAUGGAAGGGCAGCAAGAAAGGAGGAACGUUGGAGAGAAAGAAGGCGGCCAACCAAGCAGGAACAGUGGUCAAACUGGCCCCGAGUCGAAGGAGCGUAGGAUUGACAUUGUUGAAAUCAGUCAUAAGGUGAAAAAUUGGAUUGAGUCUCUCAAAAAAUGCAGAAGAAAAGACUCAAUCUCAAAGUCAAUGGCCAAGGACACCAAAGGUUCCUCACAUGCUGAGGGGGACCCAGGAUUUCAACAAAUCUACGAACCGAGGGUAAUUUCAAUCAGCCCUUACCACCAUGGCAAGCCCCACCUUCACCCAGGGGAAAUGAUCAAGCCUCUAUGUGCCCCAAACUUCCUGGAUGAUAGUAAGCAGGACAUCGAAGCUUUGUACACAAAAUUGAAAGUAAUAUGAGGCAGUGAAAAAGUGCUAUGAUUGGAGUAGUACAAACGAGUAUGAUGAUGAGGCGCUCGCCUGGAUGAUGCUUCUGGAUGGGUGUUUUUUACUACAGUUCAUCCGCAGCAAAGAAUACGACAGUAAAGUCGAUAUGAGUAACGUUCAUAGAAAUCACCAAAUAAAUUUUGUGGUGCAGGACUUGUUCUUGCUGGAGAACCAACUUCCCUGUGGAAUCCUCAAGUUGAUUUUUGAGGGAGCAAAAUUCAAUGAUGGUUCACCAAUGAAAAAAAAGAUAAAAAAAAUUCGUCACUAACACCGCAAGGCCAGAAGGGACAUCAGAAAAAGAGGUGGAAGAGUUGGACGAAGAGCCCUCUCAUCUCCUCGACCUUUUGCGAAGUGCUCUCCUAGGCGGGUCUAAAUAGAUUAGAAAGCAAGAAGCUCAGGGGUUCUGUUGCCCCGAUUGGCCGUCUUUUCGACACAUCAAGGAGCUUAAAGCUGCCGGGAUCCAUCUCAAACGGAGUAGAACCAGUUUCUUGAGAGACGUUUCUUUCAAUUCCUACUUCUUCUAUGGCUGCCUGAAUCUUCCCCCAAUAAUCGUUGAUGACUUCACGAAGCCCAUGUUCUUGAACAUUGUAGCCUACGAAAUGUGUCCAGAUGCCCCAGAUGACUAUGCGGUCACUUCUUAUAUAUGCUUCCUUUACGACAUCAUUGAUCAUGCAGACGAUGUCAAGGAGCUGAGAUCUAAGCACAUUCUCUCCAACCUUCUUGGCAGCGAUGAAAAUGUGGCCUAACUUUUCAACGAGAUCGGCAAUGACUUGGUAGAUCCCAAAGCUUAUCAAGAUGUGAAAGAUCGUAUUCAGGAACACUACAACAAGAGAAUGAAUACUUGGAUAGCUUAAGCCCUUCACGACCAUUUCAGUACUCCAUGGACUAUCAUCGCUUUCAUUGCUGCUGUUUUGAUACUAUUUCUUACUGGGGUUCAGACCUACUACGCAAUUCCCGGUAAUUAAUAUAUAUAUAUAUAUUGGGUUAAUUAUGUCUGUUGUGUGUUUUUUUCUUGUUUGGUGUGUAUGAUUAGAGAAAUAAAGAUGUAUAGAUUGUUAAGUUGUAUGACUGGAUUUCAUGGAUGCAAUAUUAUUAGUCUUUUCCUUCCCAUGAGUUUGCUAUCUAUAAUAUCUGUUUGAACUCACAAUUUCCAGCUACCUUCUUUGUAUUCUUUUUCAUAGACCAGGAUCAUACAUAACACAACCACAUAGAAAAUUUUGCGAUUGAAUAUUGCACACAAUUUUUUUUUGAACGAGAAAAUUGUGGAUAAAAUCAUAAUUUUCAUAUAUUUAUAGAUUGAGGGAACAAUCUUAAUUAUGCCCUUUGAUUUUUUAUUUUUUAUUUAUAAAAGAUAAAAAUAUCUUUUUAGGCAAUUUAAAUGCUUAAUUUUGAAUCAAACGAGAUUUCAUUAAUAAAUAUGACAUUUUUAAAUGAAGUCUUCCAAUCUUCAUUGAAAGAAUCUUCAAGUUUUCAACUUCUUUAAGAAAUCUUCAAAUACUUUUCAACUCUUCAAGAUAUUUUUAAUCUUCUUGAAUUCUUUUUAAGAGCUCUAGGGCUUUUCUUUAGUCUUCUGCCAAAAUACAUCACUGAAUGAAGGAGAGAACAAAGGCAUUUUUCAUUCAUCACUGAACUUGUUUGAAAAGAAAAACACACACACACAGAUGGAGUUAGAAAUGAAAGUGGAGAAAAGCACUCGACAGUUUUGCAUACUGCAUGAUAGAACUCGUUGAAAUUGUUUAUAUCCCUGGCACUAAAAUACAUCUUGUAGCACUUAGUGAUCAAAGCCUGUUUUUCCUCCUCACUUCCUGUUCAGACAUGGAGAAGUGAAACAAACUUUGAGAUAUUCAUUGAUUCAACAAAGCUUUAAUCAAAUACUAAACUGCUUGCUUUGAUGGAAGGGCAGAGAUGAUGGUACCAGGAAUUAGUUUCAUGAGAGAUGCGCCCAUCUUCCUCCAAGCUUGUACCUAUGCGCUUGCGAUUGGUAAAAGCCAGGCACCAUAAACAUAAGAGUUUUUGAAUUUUUAUGGGAAAAUCAUGCUUUCAUACACUAAUUAAUAAUAAUAAAAAAAUUCUCCAUAUUUAAAAAAAAUAUAUAUAUAUCAAGACCACUGUAGUUUUCCUUUUAAAACUUUUUUAAUUUCAAUUUUUUAAUGUUUUAUCUUUUCAUAUUUAUUGGUUUCAAUCAUUAUAUUGAACACAUUAAACACAAAAUGAUAACAUUAUUGAGAACAAAUAAAAUAUAACCUAAAAUACAAUAGACAAACAAUUGAAGUUUCUUAGUAAUAUCUAAUUUAUAAUUUUCAAGAAUAGAAGAGCGAGUAUAUGAAUACUCUUGAGAAAAAAAUUAUUAUUUUAUUAAAAAAAACAAGUACUUUUAUUGUUCUUUAUGAUUAAAAAAUAAUAUUUUAUUUUCCUCCAUUUUUUUUAAUAUAAUCUAUUAAAUUAUAUUUGUUGUUGUCAAAUUUCUUUGUAUUAUUAUUAUUUUAAAAUUUGCAAGUCAUGCAAAUUUGUCAUAAUCUCAUAACAAUAAUUAACAUACAUGUUAGAUAUAAUUUCUAAGUUUUUUAUGUUCGAUAUAGAAAUUUUUUUAUGUUGCAUAAUAUAUUUUUAUUUAAUAUAAUAAAUUUAGAAGUAAUAUAUUAAUAAAGUUGAUCAUACACCUUCAUGAAAUAAAAUAUUCAAAGAAUAUUAAAAUUUAGAUGAUCCUGUCACUAUAUCCAAUUAUGUAGGAAAAAUGUGUACAAUCUUCAUCAAAAUAUAUAGGUACAUUCUUUUAGGGGGAAUCGGGACACUCACACUUGUUAUGUCCUAAAUAGUCAUUUGGGAGACCUCGAGGAAUGAUUUAUGACCUUACCCCAACUAGAAAUCAAAUUUUGAACCUUAUACACAUCUAAAAGAAAACUACAUACAUUCUUUUUAGGGUGAAUUGGGACCCCAACCACUCUUAUUACAUCCUAAAUAGUCAUUUGGGGGACCUCGAGAAGCGAUUUGAUUCCCCCACCCCAAAAUUAAAUUUGGAACCCCAUAUAUAUCCUUAAUAUAUGUAUACACACACACACACACAUAAUUAAAAAAAUACGUAUAUGUUUUAUAAAAAUAUAUGCAUUUUUUGAAGGGUGAACCGGGACCCCAAUCACACUUACUAUGUCCUAAAUAGUAAUUUAGGGACCUCGAGGAGUCAUUUGUAACCUUCUCUCACCUCGAAAUCAGAUUUGGAAUGUCACAUAUAUUCUUCACAAAAAUACAUACAUUUUUUUAGAGUGAAUCCCAAUCACCCUUAUUAUGACCUAUAUAUUCCUUUAGGGACCAUCAGGAAGUGAUUUGAGGUAUUCCCCCACCCCAAAAAGGAUAUUGCAACCCCAUAUACAUCCUUAAGAAAAAUAAGUACAUUUGUUCCUAAGGGAACUAGGACUCCUAUGUCCCUUAUCAAUGUCUAUAUAUUCUUUUGAAAACCCUCGAGAACUGAUUGAAGGUCCACCCCAUCCCCGAAACGGACUUUGGAACCUUAAGUACAUCCUUAAUAAAAAUAAGUACAUAUGCUCCUAGGGAUAUUGAGACCCUUAUCUCCAUUAUCAUGGUCUAUAUAUUCUUUUAGGGACCUUUGGAAAGUGAUUGGAUAUCUCAUAAACUCGUAUACCUCUUAAGAAAAAGAGGUGUUACAUAGUCUAUAGGACAUAUCCCCAAAAGAAUAUGAGAAAAGAUGAAAAACCUUUCCACGAUCUCACUUAGUCCUUCAAAGUUUGAUAUCUUUUUUCCAUCUUUCCAUUUUGCAAUGGAGACUCUAGUGCACAUAACUAGGAAAUAAUCUCAUGCUCCAACAAAGAGAAUCAAACUUACUAGACAUAUCACCCUGAUAUAAUCAAAGUGCCUUGAUAUCCGACUCCACCUUAAAUUCAAUGAAUUUAUCCCAGUUAUCAAAUUCUUAUACACAUAUUCAAACCUAGACUAAUCAUCACUAAAAAGUGAUGAAGUACACAUACCCUCCCCAUGCAUGAAUACUAAAAGAUCCAUGCAUGUUAGUAUGCACUAACUCCAAACAUUCCUUGGCUCUAAUCCUCUUGGCCAUUUUACCAUCUAUAUAAAAUUCACAAACUAGAAGAUCCUUUGAAUAAAAAAGUCCAAACCUAACUAGUCUUUAAAUCCUACUCAAAUUGAUAUGACCUAGGUCUUUAUACCAAAUGUUUGAUUAGUGCUAAGUUCAAUCUUAAGAUCUAACUAUUCUCAUCAUUUGCCAAAAUGAUAAUGAAAUACAUAUAAAAAAAAAAAAAUUGGAAGAUAUUACAUUCCACUGACCUGCACAACUAACUUUGCAAUUGAAGUUAAGGUAAAUAUAAUCUCAUCAUUUAACCUUCUCACUUGUUGAAUAUCCUGUAAAGACUACAUAUUGUAGGCAUAUAAUCUAUUCACCAUAAAUGGUAAAAUCCACCACUAAAUAUUCAACAAUGAGAAAAUGAUGCAUAUUUUUUUUUCUUUUAGGUAAACUAAGCAUUUCUUUUCUAGUGUCCUAAAAGAAUACAAAGGAAUCACCUGCCCUUGAACUUGCUUUCUUAUUUCUUCUCUUGAAUUUUCUUUAUUUGGUAUUGUUGUUCUUCUUCUUGGCUAAAAAAAAUGUAAAGAACCUUUUACUUCCAUAUGAACACCCUUAUAAUCUUUAAGAUUCCCCUAAACCAUCCCAAGGGAAACUAACAAUGUCUCUAAGAUUAUAUGAACUCUACUGUUUAUAAUAGUCCUAAGGACAACUUGUUAAAGUUGACCUGCCUUUAUCACCAAAUAGCCUUUGCAAACUAGAAAGAGAACAUCAAAGUCCUUGGUAAUAGAUAUGUGUUGCUAUUGCAACACAUUAUCCAAAGAUCUAAGUACGAGACACUUGGUCUUUUGAUCCAUCUAGCACCACCUUUAAUAUACCUACUUUUUCCUUUUUUACUAGGUUGGUUCAAAAGAAAUAGCUUGUUUUGCCUAAACUAGUUUUUAUGCAAUUAGUUACUAUAUCCAAAUUAGUUCAAAUGAUUAGUUGGGUUUGGUCUAUUGUGAGAAAGAUAGUGAUAAUAAAACCAACAUGAUAUCUUAACAAAGAUUAUAACCAUGCAUAUGACAUAAUUGAGCAUUCAAGGCAAUUGGUAAUUAAUUUAGCAAAAAUGUAGUGCUCUCAAACUACAUGUCAUUUCGCAAGGUAUCUUAGUGUCAUAAGAAUCAAGCUUACAAUGGGGAGGUCAUGAUUUUAUUACUAGUUAGAGACCUUCUCAAAUUGACCUCUUUGUCUUAACCAUGAAGGUAUCUAAAGGCAAGAUUAACAUACAUUUUUAUUUGGCUCAUGAACUAUGCAAAUGGGACCACAGUGCAGGCGUUUCAACAACUUCAAAUCCACUGAUAAGUGUAUAACCAUUGUCCUUGAACUAUCAGUGUCACCAAGUAAGGAACCCCACCAGUGGGAUGGUUUCUCCCACUACAGACAUGUCUAGUCUCAUCCUAAUGGAGAGUUCUUAUCCUUUGAUUCUUAAGACCUAACCUACCGUGGGGGUGGUGAUGAGCCCAAAUCUAGAUGGGCUCGAUAAUGGAGGCAUGGGCUUUCCUAAGGCCCUCUCCCACUUAAUUUUUUGAGAUAGAUGACCAUUUUAAAACAUUGUAAUUCCCUUGAUGAAUAAAUUAUCUACUUUGAGAAUUUUCAAAAAUAUUUAUUUCCUAAUUGGAAACUUAGUGUAAUAGGAGAAUAAAUUCUCCUUCUCUUACACAAAUCCAAUUAAUAAAUAUUUUAUUUAGGAAAUGUCUCAAAGAAAUUUAUUUCCAUCAAAUUACUAAGCCUUUUGAUAAUGAUUUUUUAAUGAAAAAUUAUCUUUAAUGAAAAUUUCCAAAAUGUUUAUUUUCCAAAUUGGAACUCUAGUGUAAUGAGGAAAUUACCAAUUUAUGAGAUUUUGAAAAUCUUAAGAGCACCUUAUCCAGGAAAUCAACUUUUGCUUCUCAUAUUCAAAAAUACUUAUAAGAUUUACUUAUUUCUUUUGCUUCUCAUAUUAAAAAAUCCUUAUAAGAUUUACUUAUUUCUUACACCUUUCCAACUUAAUAAAUAUUUCCAUGACAAUUUUAUAAUAAUUUAUUCCAUUAAAUAAUACCAAAAAUAGAACCUUUUAGUAAUUCCUUAAAGGAUAAACUAUUCUCUAUGAAAAACUCCUAAAAAUGCCUAUUUUCAAAAAAGGAAUUAAAUAAUUCAUUUUGGAAAGUAUUUUCAAAAUAUUUUAUAUCUCCAUUGAAUUACUAAAACUUUCCAAAAAUUAUUUUGAUAACCCUUCCUAUCAUAAAUUAUCCAUCAUGAGCUAAGACUCCUCUGCUAGAAAAAUUACUCUCUCAAUCCUUAUUCUUGAAUGAUCCAUAUCCAAACUGAAUGGUUUCCUUAUUUUAUUUUAUUUUUAGGGGGGAGAGCUUGGAGGAUCAUUAUAGAUGUAGUUCUCCUUCUCUCGAGAUGGGGGGUUGGGAAGCCUAGAGGACCACCUAUAUAAAACCAAGUAGAUAGUUCCAAAAAGAAUAACAUUAUUCUUAGCAACAACCAGUUUAAACAAAUAAUCUUUGGAAAAUAUCUUCUCAUGAAAAUUUACUAAGAAUACCAAAAUACUUAUUCAAAAUUAACACUUAUUUUGGUAACCUUCUUAAUUAUAAAUUAUCUAUCAUGAAUUUUCAAAAUUAACUUAUUCUCUUUAACUAAAAAACUUAUGCAAAAAGGAAAAAUAUUAUUUUAUAAAGAUUUGGAACAUCAAGAGCUUUUUCUUAAAAUAUUAUUUUUAGAGAUCUCAAAGAUUUGAGAAGAUUUUAAAUAAAAUUAAAAUCUAUAAGAAUUAAUUUUAAAAAGAAAAGAAAACUUUUAACCCUUUUUCAACUUAUCUUUUCUUAAAAUAAAAUUUCUCAACCAUUCACAUUCUAAUUUAAAUAAGUUUUCCAAUUUUGAAAAAUCCAUGAAAAUUUUUAUUCAAUUGAGAAUAUCAAAAUAAUUUAAUGUCGCAUAUGCAAUAAAUAAAGAGCAUAUAUAAACAAGGAAAUAAAUAAGCAAAAUUUCCCCAUGGCCUUUAGGGAUCCUACUGCGUAGUCUAGUAAUACAUUUCAAUAAAAUCCAAAUCACCAAUAUUAUCAAAUCAAACCUACAACAAAUAAAGGGUUAGAAAAAAGGAAAAACCCUUCAUCAGUAUGCCAAAAGUGCCAAUCUAUUGUCACUUGUGCUCGAGCGCCCAAAAAUUUGAAGAAAAUGUUAGAUACAACUUGCAUUGUGAUUACUACUCAAAAAAUACUCUUUUAUAGGUUGAAACUAACUGUUUUAAACACUUUUGAGUGGUAGUUAAUACCUUUUAACUCAAUUGGCACAUUAAGUAACCUAGCAAGGGUUACUAAUCAGUUUUGGCAAGUUUUGGUGUUUUUGGUAGCUAUUUGAUCAUUGAAACAAGCCAAGAAUGAGGGAGAAUUUUGUGAAAUCCAUGGCAAUGCAAGUUGAAGCUCAAAUACAUGAAGAAUCCGAGCUUUGGAGCACUUCAUAGCCCUUUGCCAAGCUUGGCAAUAGGUUGCCAAGCCAAUCAGAGAUGCAAGGAAGAAAACUAGAGGAAAAGUCCAACAACCAGCAUUUUCGCAUAGCAUGCGAAAUAAAGAGGAAGAGCAGCUGCAGGAAUGAGAGCAGGAUUGAGUGAAAGACAAUUUCGCACACCAUGCGAAACCACAAGAAGCAGCCAAAGAAUUUCGCACACCAUGUGAAAUUUCGCAUGGUAUGCGAAAUCCUCUUGUGUACCGACUCCGUUAGAUUUUUAUCUCCAGAUAUUUUGUAUAAUUUCCUAUUUUCUCCUUGUAAUCAAGCUAGAUAUUUUCAUGUAUAUCUUUUCUAGACAUGAAAGAAAUUCAUUCAUGAAACACUUGUAAAAUUCCCGUAGAAGAAAUAUAUAGAGAUUUUGCUCUGUCUUUCCUUCUCAUUUUGUUUUCACUUUUCUUUCUAGCCAAACAACCUCUGAGGAUGAUUUCUCAGGGGAUGAGUGGCUAGGUUUUACAUUUCUUGGAGUGAUGGAAACUAGGUGAAGGACCCGAAUGCAAAGAUGGGAGUUGUCCUUGCUUUAAAUGAAAGUAGUUGUUAACGUGAGGAAAAGAUCCAAAAUCUCCCUUUUUGCCUAAGGAACCCGAUCCUAGUGACCUAAAGCUCCAAGAGACCUUUUCUUUGUAGUUAACUUCACUAAUUAUUUUUGCUUAACUUAAAAUCAAUCUUUGCAACCAAAAUUCCAUUUUCUUUAAAAACUAAUUUUCAUAAGGAAAAACACCAUUUUAUUUCCUUCACUAAUGUGAACUGUAUGAUGAAAACCCAUCCCUAUGGAUGAUCCUAGAGCCACUAGACUAAGUUAGCUAUGCUAUCCUAGUGUGAGGUGAUUUAGGUUUGAUAAAUUUUGUUGAUAACACCUGCCUGAGCCAGAAUCAAAUGGCAUGACUGUAAUGAAGACGAAUCAAGUAUGCAUACUUGAAAGAAGACAAGCAGUGCCAUGUUGUUAUAUCUUCAGCUCUUACCAUUCAUUAGGAGGAUUGUCUACUUGAAGUCCUUAGAAGAUGUAGGAAGGAAAUAGGGUGGCAAAUUUCUGAUUUGAAAGGGAUCAACCCUUUAGUCUGCACCCAUCAUAUUUACAUGGAGGAUGAAGCUAAGCCAGUUUGUCAACCUCAGAGAAGGUUGAAUCCUCACAUGCAAAAGGUGGUGCAAACUAAAGUUCUUAAGCUACUUCAGGCCGGUAUUAUCUACCCCAUAUCAGAUAGCCCAUGGGUGAGUCCUACUCAAGUUGUGCCAAAGAAGUCUGGGAUCACGGUGGUGCAAAAUGAUAAGGGAGAAAAUGUCUCUACACGCCUCACUACAUGUUGGAGGGUGUGUAUCGAUUACAGGAGAUUGAAUGCGGUGACAAGGAAUGACCAUUUCCCGUUGCCCUUUAUUGAUCAAGUGCUUGAGAGGGUCUCUGGGCAUCCUUUUUAUUGUUUCUUGGAUGGCUACUCCGGGUACUUUCAGAUAGAAAUUGAUGUUGAAUACUAGGAGAAGACCACUUUCAUAUGCCCAUUUAGAACCUAUGCAUACAGGAGAAUGCCUUUCGGCUUAUGCAAUGCACCCGCAACUGUCUAAAGAUGCAUGUUAAGCAUUUUUAGUGAUAUAGUGGAGCGUAUUAUGGAAGUCUUUAUGGAUGAUAUCACCAUAUAUGGAAGUGCAUUUGAUGAAUGCUUGAUCAACUUAGAAGUUGUUCUGAACCGAUGCAUUGAGAAAGACUUAGUGCUUAACUGGGAGAAGUGUCAUUUCAUGGUACAACAAGGGAUUGUCCUUGGACACAUCAUCUCCAAGCAAGGCAUUGAAGUAGACAAAGCAAAUGUUAAACUCAUUGUUAAGUUACCAUCCCCAACAAAUGUCAAAGGAGUAAGGUAAUUCCUUGGCCAUGUCAGGUUCUAUAGGAGGUUUAUAAAGGAUUUCUCUAAGCUUGCAAGGCCUCUUUGUGAACUAUUGGUGAAGGAUGCUAAAUUCAUAUGGGAUGAUAGAUGCCAAAGGAGUUUUGAAGAAUUGAAGCUAUUUCUGACAACCGCACCAAUAGUGAGGGCUCCCAACUGGCAACUGCCCUUUGAGGUAAUGUGUGAUGCCAGUGACUUUGCUAUAGGAGUUGUUCUUGGCCAAAGAGAAUAUGGAAAGCCCUAUGUGAUCUACCAUGCGAGCAACACAUUGAAUGAGGCGCAAAGAAACUACACAACCACUGAGAAAGAAUUGUUAUAUGUGGUUUUUGCCUUAGAUAAGUUUCGUGCUUACUUGGUGGGGUCUUUCAUUGUGGUUUUCACUUAUCACUCUGCUUUGAAGUAUCUGUUGACUAAGCAAGAUGCGCAAGCAAGGCUGAUUAGAUGGAUUUUCUUGCUUUAAGAGUUCAAUCUCUAAAUCAAAGACAAGAAAUGAGUGGAGAAUGUGGUAGCAGACCACCUUUCAAGGCUAGCUAUAGCACAUAAUACCCAUGGUUUGCCCAUUAAUGAUGAUUUUCCAAAGGAGUCUCUCAUGUUGGUGGAAGUUGCCCCUUGGUAUGCUCACAUUGCGAACUACCUAGUCAUAGGAGAAGUUCCAAGUGAAUGGAAAACACAAGAUAAGAAACAUUUCUUUGCAAAAAUUCACGCCUAUUAUUGGGAAGAGCCAUUUCUAUUCAAGUAUUGUGUGGAUCAGGUAAUAAGGAAGUGCGUUCCUGAAGAAGAGCAACAGGGGAUCCUCAGCCAUUGCCAUGAAAAUGCAUGUGGAGGCCACUUUGCUUCUUAGAAGACAGCCAUGAGGGUGUUGCAAUCGGGUUUCUAUUGGCCAUCACUUUUCAAAGAUGCCCACACCAUGUGCAAGAGUUGUGAUCGAUGCCAGAGGCUUAGGAAAUUGACACGCAGGAACAUGAUGCCUUUGAACCCCAUUUUGAUAGUUGAUCUUUUUUAUGUUUGGGGCAUUGACUUCAUGGGACCUUUCCCUAUGUCUUUUAGCUACUCUUACAUCUUGGUAAGAGUAGAUUAUGUUUCUAAGUGGGUUGAGGCAAUCCCAUGUAAACACAAUGACCAUAAAAUGGUUCUCAAGUUUCUCAAGGAGAACAUCUUCUCAAGAUUUGGGGUGCCCAAAGCCAUAAUUAGUGAUGGGGGUACUCAUUUUUACAACAAGCCUUUUGAAACUCUCUUGGCCAAGUAUGGGGUGAAGCAUAAGGUAGCUACACCUUACCACCCUCAAACUAGUGGGCAAGUUGAGUUAGCGAACCGGGAUAUUAAAAACAUAUUGAUGAAGGUGGUGAACACAAAUAGAAAAGAUUGGCCAGUCAAGCUCCUUGAUUCACUAUGGGCAUAUAGAACAGCUUAUAAGACCAUUCUUGGAAUGUCUCUGAUUCGUGCCCAGUAGGGUAUUUUAAUCAAAAAUAUUUAUAAAUCCUAUGACCUUAUACUAGCGUAGCAAAGCUACUAUAGUACAACAGCUCUAGGGUCGAACUCUGGGAUGGGUUUUCAUUCUACCAGUGAUAGACUCAAGAUUAGAAAUUGAAUCUGAUGAUUUCCUUUGUCAAAAACUUAAAGUUUAAAAGAAAAUAAAAUUUGUUUUGAAAGUGGUGUUUGAAACUAAACUAACAUAGAACUAGGUAAAAAUGGAAGAAAGAAAGUCUCCCGGAGCUAGAGGUUGCUAGGAUCAAGUUCAGAAUGCAAAGUGGGAAAUUCCGGAUUUUUCUCCUCGUAUUAGGGACAACUGAUUACUACUCAAAAAGUGCUAUUUGAUAGCUUAUAAUUAAUCCUUUUAAACACUUUUGAGUAGUAGUUUAGGCCUUUUAACUCAAUUGGCAUGUUAAGGAUCCUUUAAAGCAAUUUUAAUCACUUUGUGCAAGUUUUGGUGUUUUUGUUAGUAUUUUGAUCACCAAAGCAAGUCAAGACUGAGGAGAGCUAUGAGGAAUCUUGGGCAAAGCUUAGAAGUCAUUUUCCAAGAGUGAAUCCGGAUUGCAAGGAGAAAAAGCAAAGAGAAUCUACCAUAGAGCAUAUUCUUGAUGACAGUCACAGAGGCCACUUUUGGAGCACUUUCUGAAGUCCAAAUAAUGCAUGCUAUAUACCAUUUCAAAGCUCAGGAAGUCAACAAUCUAAUGCUUCAAACGGUGUGCAAUUCGGAGUUGAAACGAAGAAGUUGCAGCCAUUACAAGCCAAUCACUCCGAGUUGAAGGAAGCAUUUUGCAAAGUGCUGCGAAAUCACCCUUUUGUUGCGAAGUGAUUUCGCAGCAUUUUUGUACAGUAAGUUGUUUCUCCUUCUGAUGAUGCACGAUUUAUGCCGCGAGAAGGAAGCUAGGAACCUCAAGGUGGAAGCCAACUUCGCAGCCCUGUGAAGAUAGCUUGGUGUUGCGAAAAUAUUUCGCAGCCCUCUUGAGUGUCUGCGAAAUCUCGCAGACACCAUUUUUCUCCUGCGAAAUGGUUCCUGAAGCCUCCCGAUAUUUGCUACCGACAUUGGGAGAUAUUUUCCAUUAGAUUUUUGUUGUCUAAAUCCCAAAAUACUCCUUGUAAACCUCCAAUUACAAGAUUCCUUAGCUUUUAAGUUAGUAAAAAGACUAAAUAUCUUUGUAACAAUUAGUUUUAUAUUAUGUUCAUAUAUAUACCUCUCGGGAGCCUGUUCUCGGAGAGGAGUUCCUUCUGAAAAAGUUUGGGUAAGCAAGUAAAGUCUAUUUUCUUUCUACUGCCUUACCUUAUCACUUUGUAUUUUCAUUUCAUUUCUAAGUUAUGAAUUCUCUGAGGAGUUUUCCCCAGAGAAUGAGUAACUAAACCUCUAGUUCCUUGGAGCUAAGGUUGCCGGGGAAGGUUCCAAGUGCAAGAAUGCAAAGCUUUGUGGUUUUAGCUUUUAAUGAAGAGGAAGUGAAAUCCUUUAAUGAUUUCUAUGUUUUUAGUUAACUUAAAACACCUUAGAGUCACCUGGGCCAACACUUGGUAAGGCAAGUGAUUUCCAACCAUGGAAAUGCACUAGUUUACCUCUUGCGAGCCUCUGGGAGGUGAUUUCAAGGUAGGAUUUUCUGGAAUUACCAACACUUGGUAAGCUUUUGGACUCCUAGGAGACAUCCAUUAGUUAUCUCUUGCGAGUUUGUGAAGGGAAGUCCAAGGUUAAAGAUCAUCUUGAAUGGUAAGUGCUCGUGAGAGGCAUGAACCAUUGCAAGUUGCAUCAGUGAGAGAAUUAAAGUGAAAUCUAAUUGAAGGAAUCUCUGUACAACACCGGUUAGAGAAUUGACUAUAUGUUGAAUCUCUAACGCGAGGAAAUGAACCAUCUGACCGGAGCUAUGUCUUUUGCAUGAGGAAUCACCCCAGUGAACCUAACUCUCCAGGGAAUGCUUUUCUUCCUAAAUUAUUCCAAACUUCUGUUAUGUUAGUUAGUUUAAGUAUAAACAUUUACCAAUCAAAGUUUGUGUUUUACUUCUUAAGCUAACCGUGAAAUGAAACAAGACCAAUUCACUUGGAAUUGGUAUCAUUGAUAGCUUGCUAAUCCUUCCCAGUGAACGAUCCUAGAGCCGCUAUACUAUAGUAGCUUUUUCUUUGCUACCCUAGUAUAUGGUGUAAUAGGUAUAAAUUUUGUUGAUUACUCCCUCAUCCAAGGAGCACCAGCUGGACAUGAAUCAGCUGAGACACCAAUUGGGCACGAAUCAAAUGGCGCCGUUGCCGGGGAAGAUGUCAAGUUUAUAUUGAUACCAUUUUUGAGCACUUGUGAUUUUCAUCACAAGCUGGUAACGUUUCUUUCACUUUACUAAUUUUCAUUCUUUCUUUAUGUAUUCAUAAUCUAAGUUUAUCUUAUUAAAUUUAGCCUAGUUUAAUUUUGCUGUUGUAGCCUUGUUUCUCUUGUUGUCCUCUGUUUUUUUUUUAAGUUGUAGAUAGAUACUAGUUGUGUAUGCCCAAGUGGAUACGAGACAGUGGAGGAAGGCUUGUUAAGUGUGAUACACCUCAGAGGGGAGAAUUUGAAGUAAUCUUGAAUAUCAUGGAAGCUACACCUGAAGAUCAGCAUAGUCACCAAGGUCGUCAAGACAAUCUCAAUGAAUUCAGAUCAAUGAGGGACCGUAUGCAUCCACCUCGUAUGAGUGCACCAUCAUGCAUAGUGCCCCCUACAGAGCAGCUAGUGAUCAGACCGUAUCUUGUUCCACUUCUACCAACUUUCCAUGGGAUGGAAAGUGAGAAUCCGUAUGCACACAUCAAGGAAUUUGAAGAUGUUUGUAAUACAUUCCAAGAGGGAGGAGCUUCAAUUGAUUUGAUGAGGCUUAAGUUAUUUCCUUUUACUUUAAAGGAUAAGGCCAAAAUUUGGCUUAAUUCUUUAAGGCCAAGGAGUAUCCGCUCUUGGACUGAUUUACAAGCUGAAUUCCUCAAGAAAUUUUUUCCUACUCAUAGAACAAAUGGCUUGAAAAGGCAAAUUUCAAACUUCUCAGCUAAAGAGAAUGAGAAAUUCUAUGAGUAUUGGGAGAGAUACAUGGAAGCUAUAAAUGCUUGUCCUCACCAUGACUUUGAUACUUGGCUAUUGGUGAGCUAUUUUUAUGAUGGUAUGUCUUCCUCAAUGAAGCAACUCCUCGAGACAAUGUGUGGAGGAGAUUUCAUGAGCAAAAAUCCAGAGGAAGCUAUGGAUUUCUUGAGCUAUGUAGCUGAUGUUUCAAGGGGAUGGGAUGAACCAACUAAAGGAGAAGUGGGAAAGAUGAAGUCUCAGUUGAAUGCUUACAAUGCAAAGGCUGGGAUGUAUACUUUAAAAGAAGAUGAUGACAUGAAAGCAAAGUUGGCAACUAUGACAAGAAGAUUGGAGGAGCUGGAACUGAAAAGAAUACAUGAAGUGCAAGCUGUUGCUGAAGCACCAGUGCAAGUGAAGCUGUGUCCUAAUUGUCAAUCAUUUGAACAUUUGGUGGAGGAAUGCCCUGCAAUUUCAACUGAAAGGGAGAUGUUUAGAGAUCAAGCAAAUGUUGUUGGACAAUUCAGGCCCAAUAACAAUGCGCCAUAUGGAAAUACCUACAACUCAAGUUGGAGGAAUCAUCCAAAUUUCUCAUGGAAGGCCAGAGCAACUCAAUACCAACAGCCGGAUCCACCAUCUCAACAAUCUUCAAGUAUUGAACAAGCAAUAGCCAAUCUCAGCAAGGUAAUGGGAGAUUUUAUUGAAAAGCAAGAAGCCACUAAUGCUCGAGUCGAUCAAAGAAUUGAUAGAAUGGAGAGUAUGUUGAAUAAAAGGAUGGAUGGAAUGCAAAAUGAUAUGAACCAAAAGUUUGACAACAUCCAGUAUUCAAUUUCAAGGCUUACAAAUUUGAAUACACUGCAAGAAAAGGGAAGAUUUCCUUCUCAACCUCACCAAAAUCCCAAGGGUGUCCAUGAAGUGGAAAGCCAAGAGGGAGAGUCAUCACAGAUGAAAGAUGUCAAAGCCUUGAUCACUCUAAGGAGUGGUAAGAAAAUUGAGCAGCCAAUACCCAAGCCACAUGUUGAGAAAGAAGAAGAGAUAAAGAAAGGGAAUGAAAUGGAAGAUAAAGAGUGUGAGAUCAGUGAAGAAAAGAAGGACUCUGAUUCAACAAUGAAAGCAAUUCCAGAGAAAGAGCUUCUGAAGGAAGAAAUGCUGAAGAAAUCAACUUCUCCACCUUUUCCCCAAGCAUUACAUGGGAAAAAGAGGAUUAGAAAUGCAGCUGAAAUCCUUGAAGUCUUGAGGCAAGUGAAAGUUAAUAUUCCACUGCUGGAUAUGAUUAAACAAGUUCCAACAUAUGCAAAAUUCCUAAAGGAUUUAUGUACUAUCAAAAGAGGGUUAACUGUAAACAAGAAAGCCUUCUUGACUGAGCAAGUAAGUGCAAUCUUACAGUGUAAGUCUCCUUUGAAGUACAAAGACCCUGGAAGUCCUACCAUUUCAGUCAUGAUUGGAGGAAAGGUAGUGGAGAAAGCCCUGUUAGAUUUGGGAGCAAGUGUGAAUUUGCUUCCAUAUUCCGUCUACAAGCAAUUGGGACUUGGAGAGUUGAAGCCAACAGCAAUCACUCUAUCUCUGGCAGAUAGAUCGGUGAAAAUUCCAAGAGGGGUAAUUGAGGAUGUAUUGGUUCAAGUGGAUAAUUUCUACUAUCCAGUAGAUUUUAUUGUUCUUGAUACAGAUCCUACUGUAAAGGAAGCUAAUUUAGUUCCUAUCAUCCUUGGAAGGCCAUUUCUUGCAACUUCAAAUGCAAUCAUCAACUGUAGAAAUGGGCUUAUGCAACUCACUUUUGGUAACAUGACACUGGAUCUCAAUAUUUUCUACAUGUCUAAAAAGCAAAUCACUCCGGAGGAAGAAGAAGGUCCAGAAGAGCUAUGUAUAAUUGAUACUUUGGUGGAGGAGCACUGCAAUCAACAUAUGCAAGAAAAGUUGAAUGAAAGUCUUGAGGAUAUUGAGGAAGGUUUUUCUGAAUCUCCUAUUGGGCUUGCUACUCUACAAAGUUGGAGAAAGAUAGAAGGAAUUCUACCUUUGUUCAAUAAGGAAGAGGAGGCAGCUGUUGAAAAAGAAAUUCCAAAACUCAAUCUGAAGCCUUUACCUGUGGAGCUGAAAUAUACAUAUCUUGAAGAAAAUAAUCAAUGUCCUGUUGUGAUAUCCUCAUCUCUGACCAGUCAACAAGAGAAUUGUUUAAUGGAAGUUCUCAAGAGGUGUAAGAAGGCAAUAGGAUGGCAAAUAUCUGACUUGAAAGGCAUUAGUCCUUUAGUUUGUACUCAUCAUAUAUAUAUGGAGGAGGAAGCAAAGCCAAUUCGUCAAUUUCAAAGAAGGUUGAAUCCUCAUCUACAAGAGGUGGUGCGAGCUGAAGUGCUGAAGCUACUUCAAGCAGGAAUCAUUUACCCUAUAUCUGAUAGCCCUUGGGUGAGUCCUACUCAAGUGGUACCAAAGAAGUCAGGGAUCACAGUGAUUCAAAAUGAAAAAGGGGAAGAAAUUACUACACGCCUCACUUCAGGUUGGAGGGUGUGUAUUGAUUAUAGAAAGCUGAAUGCUGUCACUAGGAAAGAUCAUUUUCCAUUGCCAUUUAUUGAUCAAGUGCUGGAGAGAGUCUCUGGACAUCCAUUCUAUUGUUUCUUGGAUGGGUAUUCAGGGUAUUUUCAGAUUGAAAUUGAUUUGGCAGAUCAAGUAAAGACCACUUUUACAUGUCCAUUUGGAACAUAUGCUUAUAGAAGAAUGCCUUUUGGUUUAUGCAAUGCACCUGCUACAUUUCAAAGAUGUAUGUUGAGUAUUUUCAGUGAUAUGGUGGAGCGAAUUAUGGAGGUUUUCAUGGAUGACAUCACCGUAUAUGGAGGUACAUUUGAGUAAUGCUUGGUUAAUUUGGAAGCAGUUCUUCAUAGAUGCAUUGAAAAAGAUCUGGUGCUCAACUGGGAGAAAUGCCAUUUUAUGGUACGUCAAGGAAUUGUCCUUGGCCAUAUCAUCUCUGAAAAAGGCAUUGAAGUUGAUAAAGCAAAGGUGGAGCUUAUUGUCAAAUUACCAUCUCCAACAACUGUAAAAGGAGUAAGGCAGUUCCUUGGCCAUGCAGGGUUCUAUAGGAGGUUUAUAAAAGGUUUUUCAAGUCUUUCAAAACCUCUUUGUGAGCUGUUAGCUAAGGAUGCUAAGUUUAUAUGGGAUGAAAGGUGUCAGAAUAGCUUUGAUCAACUGAAGAAAUUUUUAACAACUACUCCAAUAGUGAGAGCCCUUAACUGGCAAUUACCUUUUGAACUGAUGUGUGAUGCCAGUGACUUUGCUAUAGGAGCUGUGCUUGGCCAAAGAGAAGAUGGGAAGCCCUAUGUGAUUUACUAUGCAAGUAAAACACUGAAUGAAGCUCAAAGGAACUACACAACUACAGAGAAAGAAUUGUUAGCUGUGGUAUUUGCUUUGGACAAAUUUCGUGCUUAUUUAGUGGGGUCUUUCAUCAUUGUCUUCACUGACCAUUCAGCCUUGAAGUAUUUAUUGACAAAGCAAGAUGCAAAAGCAAGGUUGAUUAGAUGGAUUCUUCUGUUACAAGAAUUCGAUCUUCAAAUCAAAGAUAAGAAAGGAGUGGAGAAUGUAGUAGCUGACCACUUGUCAAGGUUAGUUAUAGCACAUAAUUCCCAUCCCUUGCCUAUCAAUGAUGAUUUUCCUGAAGAAUCACUCAUGUUUCUAGUGAAAACUCCUUGGUAUGCUCAUAUUGCCAAUUAUUUAGUAACUGGUGAAAUUCCAAGUGAGUGGAAUGCACAGGACAGGAAGCACUUCUUUGCCAAAAUUCAUUCUUAUUAUUGGGAAGAGCCCUUUCUCUUUAAGUAUUGUGCAGAUCAGAUUAUUAGGAAGUGUGUCCCCGAAGAUGAGCAGCAAGGGAUUCUAUCUCAUUGUCAUGAGAAUGCAUGUGGAGGCCACUUUGCCUCUCAGAAAACAGCCAUGAAGGUAUUGCAAUCAGGGUUUACUUGGCCAUCUCUUUUCAAAGAUGCCCACAUCAUGUGAAGAAAUUGUGAUAGAUGCCAAAGGCUUGGAAAGCUAACAAAAAGAAAUCAAAUGCCUAUGAACCCCAUUCUGAUAGUAGAGUUAUUUGAAGUAUGGGGCAUUGACUUCAUGGGACCUUUCCCAAUGUCUUUUGGUAAUCCAUAUAUCUUGGUGGGGGUAGAUUAUGUUUCUAAAUGGGUUGAGGCAAUCCCCUGUAAACAAAAUGAUCACAGGGUGGUUCUCAAGUUUCUUAAAGAGAACAUUUUCUCAAGAUUUGGGGUGCCCAAGGCCAUAAUCAGUGAUGGAGGUGCUCAUUUUUGCAACAAACCUUUUGAAGCUCUGUUAUCCAAGUAUGGAGUGAAGCAUAAGGUGGCUACACCUUAUCAUCCUCAGACUUCCGGGCAAGUUGAGCUAGCUAAUAGGGAAAUAAAGAACAUCUUGAUGAAAGUGGUGAAUUCCAACAGAAAAGAUUGGUCUAUUAGGCUUCAUGAUUCAUUGUGGGCAUAUAGAACAGCUUAUAAGACUAUUCUUGGGAUGUCUCCCUAUCGUCUUGUCUAUGGCAAAGCAUGUCAUCUCCCUGUGGAAGUUGAAUACAAAGCUUGGUGGGCAAUAAAGAAGCUGAACAUGGACUUGAUCAAGGCAGGAGAAAAGAGAUUUCUAGACCUUAAUGAGAUGGAGGAAUUAAGAAAUAAUGCUUAUAUCAAUUCCAAAGUUGUAAAACAGAGGAUGAAGAAAUGGCAUGACCAACUCAUCUCUAACAAGGAAUUUCAGGAAGGGCAAAGAGUUUUGAUGUAUGACACAAGACUCCAUAUCUUUCCUGGGAAGCACAAAUCGAGGUGGAUAGGCCCGUUUGUUAUUCACCGAGUAUGGUCCAAUGGAGUGGUGGAAUUAUUGAAUUCCAAUGGCAAGGAUAGCUUUAAAGUCAAUGGAUAUCGUCUCAAGCCAUUCAUGGAGCCAUUCAAAUCAGAAAAGGAGGCAAUCAACCUCCUUGAGCCUCAAAAAGUCUAAGCAAAGAAGGGUUUGCUAGACGUGGUUUUACCACAGUCCAAAAUUUUUGUAAAUUUUGUAAAUUUUCAAGUUGUUUCCAUAUUUUUGAUCUUAGUUUUUGAUCUUAAAUCAUGUUUUUAGGUGUGUUUUAAUUGUUUUGAAUGAUCCCAGGUGGAAGAAAUUUCAAGGAGAUUGAAAGAAAAAAAAAUCGGGUCGAAAUCAGAGCCAAAACAGAGGAAAAACAGAGGAAAAACAGGGGAAAAACAGAGCUCUGCGAAAUUUCGCAGAGUGAAGGAAACCUCUGCGAAAUCAGCACUAUGCUGCAAAUCCAUUCCGCAGCACUGUAGAAGUCUCUGCGAGGGUAUUUCGCAGCUACGAAAGCAAAUUUGGCACACGAGUGCCACUUCGCAGUACAGUAGCAUCCAUUUGGUAGCUGCGAAACACAUUGCGAAAUGGAAAAGCGUGAUUUCGCACCAAAAGUCCCAUUCCGCAGGGUAUUUCGCAAUUGCGAAAGUGGUUUUGGCACACGAGUGCCACUCCGCAGCACAGUAACAUCAAUUUCGCAGCUGCGAAACUCACUGCGAAGUUGCUGCGAAAAUGGCAUUUUGCUGCGAAAUUGGCGUUUUGUUGCGAAACUCAAACUGACACUUAGGCUUCCGUUUUUCCUAUUUAUACCGGUCAUUUGAGCUGCGAAAAGGGUUUCAAAAAUCAGAGCACCAUUCUCGCAGCCUCUUCGUCUUCUUCAGUGAGCCUCGCCGUCCAAACCCCCGGUCAUCCUCUCAGAUCAUCUACGUCAGCCAAAGUUCGGUAGCCUAAAAUGGCGCGAACACGAGGGGCUAAGUCUUCUUCUCCUUCGAACCGCAAGAAGAGUCUGCGAAAGGAGCCAAGUCCAGGUUCUGUUCCAGAACCUGCUCCAGAGCCCUCGCCGUCGAGACCAAUUCCUCCUCCGGUGAAGCCCGUGCCACCAAAGCCGCCGGCAAGACGAUAUCUAACCAGGUCAGGAGGUAGGCCAUUACAGAAGAGACCCAGGGUGGAGAGCUCAGAACCCAUCGAUUUGACUGAGCAAUCUCCAGAGCCUUCACCAAUCCCAUCACCGGUUCAAACUCCAGUGCCAUCUCCGGUUCCCUCGCCAAGUCCCCUGCCAGUUCCAUCGCCGGUACCAUCUCCAACGCCGCAAGAAAAAUCUCAGGAGCCCCAAGCGCCACUUCCCGAACCCCAAAUUCAAGCUGAAACAGCUCUGGAAGAAGUAAUUAGGAGGCCAAUGCUACCUCAGCCCCCAAUUGAAGGAAACUUGGAUUGUCGAACUCGAGCAUUCCAUUCCGAGCUUUGUUUCGACUUAGCAGCAUUCAGAGUGAGGCCGGAGCUUGCCCAAUCAUUCCAGCUGCUGAGGAGGUAUCAUAUGGAGCAUCUGCUAGCUCCAAGAGACUUUUUCUAUCCCCGAAUAGCCACGGAUUUCUACCAAUCCAUGACAACCAAAGAGGUCAGGAAUCCAACCUUGAUUCAUUUUACUAUCGAUGGGAGACAUGGUAUAUUGGGAGCACGACAUAUUGCUGAAGCCCUGCAAAUUCCCUUUGAGCCAACCCAAUUCGAUAAUUUUAGAGCUUGGGCAAAUCCUACUGAGCUAGAGAUGGUUCGCACCCUUUCUAAAGGAGCUGCAAAUCGAUCACAUCUGCUGAGGGGGGAGCUUCCUCCAGUUAUGUUUUUGAUUGAUGCCUUUUUGAGGCAUAAUAUCUAUCCAUUGCAGCAUUGGACCCAAAGAAGGGGAGUCCUCCUGGAAGCUCUUUACAAGAUGUCAGAAGGAUUUUUCUUUGGGCCUCAUCAUCUGAUCAUGGCAGCCCUUCUCUAUUUUGAAGAGAAGGUGGACAGAAAGAAGCUUCAAAGAGCUGAUUGCAUUCCCCUCCUCUUCCCAAGGCUGCUAUGCAAAAUUUUGGAGCAUAUGGGAUAUCCCUUUGAGCCUCAGCUGGAGAGAAAGCGAAUAUGCCGUGAGCCAUUCACUCUUGAUAAAUGGAACAAUAUGACGACCUACAAAAUUGAUCAGCCUGGGCAGCCUCAGCCAGCUGCAAGGAGAGCAUCCCCAAGACAUAUACCCGAAGGUAUAACAGUUGCUGCUCUUGCCAUUCCUAGAGCUCCUCCAGCUGCACCUGCUUCAUCUCAGCCAUCCACAUCAGCUGAGCCGAGGAUGGCUAUUCCUAUAUCUGAAUAUCGAGAGUUGUGCCGUGCAUUGGAGACUCUUACAGCUUCUCAGAGCAGUCUUGCUCAAGAGAUGGCAGCCAUCAGAGCAUGCCAAGAGAAGAUGUUAGCCACUCAGGCUCAACAAGCUGCCAUCUUAAGGCAGCUCUAAGUCCAUUUCGAUCUGCCACAAGCUGUAGAGCCCUCCACUGAUACUCCAGCAGAGCCACACUCUCAGCCUUCAGAAUCUCAUCCUCCAGAGCCAGAAGCCCCAGCUGAUCUACUAAAAAGGCAGCAGAUCCAUCUGCCUAAUUCUAGCCACAACCCCACUCAUCAGACUACUAUCUAUCUAAUAUUUCUAUGUAUUUCGUUUUUUUUAGUUGAAAAGAAGUCCCAGUAUUUUGGUACUAUAUAUGGGAUUCCUUGUGUUACUUGUCCUUGGCACUAUACUCGAAUGAAUUGAAAGUAAUACAAGUUGAAUAUUUCUUGUUUAAAGUUAGCAUUAAGUUAUUCUUAUUUCCUUUUCUCACAUAUUCUAUUCUUUUUGAAACAUGUGGUUUUCCCCAAUCAAUAUUCGAAUUUGAUAUCAGCAAGGAGGUACCACUUCCUCCCUUUAAUUACAGUCACUCAUAUCACAUUGAGGACAAUGCUCAGUUCGGUUGGGGGGAAUGAGGAAGGAAGUAUGCUAAAUCUUUUUGGUAUUGCAAGUAUAUUGGUUAAUUAGUUGUAGUUUUUGCUUUUUACUCUUGUUACUCUAUUCUCCAUGAAUUUUGAGGAAAAAUUUUCAAAUUAAACCAAGAGAAAUUGAACUGUUGUUUUUCACUUGACUUAGAGUAUGGAUUAUGCUUACUAAAGUGGUUCAAUUGUUGAAGCUUCUAUUGAAAUUGAAUUGAGUUCUUCCACUUUAAGCUAUCCACACAAUGUGCACAUUAGAUUCCGAUUAUAAGAUGAAAAGCUAUUUCCCUCCUGACUUAGGAUAAUUUUGGGACUUGGUAUAUUUGACCUCAUUUGAUAAAAAUUGAAACACCCUGCAAAAGGCCAAAGAGCCUUUGAAAUAAAGAAAGUUGUUUGCUUGCCUUGAAACCCGAGUAAGGUCUGAGGGGUAUAUGGUGAAAAUCUUUAAAGCCUGGUGCCCUAAGCCUUAAUUGGUUGGGAGUCACCGACCUCAAUGCUCAUUAUAAGGGUGAAUAGGUAAAGUUAGCAUAUGGUAGAUGCUUGGGUAUUAGAAAUUCAUUCUUAAAAGUCCGGGGAAAAAUCCGAGGAGUUAGUGGUUGAAAGAUCCUUAAAGCUUGGUGCCCUAAACCUUAAUUGGUUGGGAGUCAUCGAUGGACCCCCAUUACAUGGACAAGUCAGAAAGAGUACCCCAUAAAGCUACCUUGAAAAAAAAAAAAAAAAAAAAAAAAAGGUGUGUUCUUUUCUUAUUGAUUAUGGUCAGAUUAUUGCUAAAGUGUUAAAAAGAGAUAGGUUGGGGGGUGAGAUUAGUAGCAUAUUAUUCUCGGAAGCUAAGGAACUAAUACACAUAGAUUUGUGUGGAAGAUUAAAGUUUGAUUCUUAGGAAGUGGAAAUGAUUUUAAAACUUCAGUUUGCAUAAUGCACUCCCUUGAUUGAUAGUGUUUAGCAUAGUUUGUUAUGACUCUUGUUGAGAUUUGGGUUUGUAUUUCUUUAAUGCUUCAUGUGAGAAUUAGAUCAUCAUGCCACUUGAGAAUUAUUUUCUUUCAGCAUGAUGUUGUAAAUUUUAGAUUAGUUUGCUAUUUAUUUUCAUUUUUCUCUCCUAUAUUGCUAAGGGACUAGCAAUAUGUCGGUUGGGGGGAGUGAUUACUACUCAAAAAGUGCUAUUUGAUAGCCUAUAAUUAAUCCUUUUAAACACUUUUGAGUAGUAGUUUAGGCCUUUUAACUCAAUUGGCAUGUUAAGGAUCCUUUAAAGCAAUUUUAAUCACUUUGUGCAAGUUUUGGUGUUUUUGUUAGUAUUUUGAUCACCAAAGCAAGUCAAGACUGAGGAGAGCUAUGAGGAAUCUUGGGCAAAGCUUAGAAGUCAUUUUCCAAGAGUGAAUCCGGAUUGUAAGGAGAAAAAGCAAAGAGAAUCUGCCAUAGAGCAUAUUCUUGAUGACAGUCACAGAGGCCACUUUUGGAGCACUUUCUGAAGUCCAAAUGAUGCAUGCUAUAUACCAUUUCAAAGCUCAGGAAGUCAACAAUCCAAUGCUUCAAACGGUGUGCAAUUCGGAGUUGAAACGAAGAAGUUGCAGCCAUUACAAGCCAAUCACUCAGAGCUGAAGGAAGCAUUUUGCAAAGUGCUGCGAAAUCACCCUUUUGUUGCGAAGUGAUUUCGCAGCAUUUUUGUACAGUAAGUUGUUUCUCCUUCUGACGAUGCACGAUUUAUGCCGCGAGAAGGAAGCUAGGAACCUCAAGGUGGAAGCCAACUUCGCAGCCCUGUGAAGAUAGCUUGGUGUUGCGAAAAUAUUUCGCAGCCCUCUUGAGUGUCUGCGAAAUCUCGCAGACACCAUUUUUCUCCUGUGAAAUGGUUCCUGAAGCCUCCCGAUAUUUGCUACCGACAUUGGGAGAUAUUUUCCAUUAGAUUUUUGUUGUCUAAAUCCCAAAAUACUCCUUGUAAACCUCCAAUUACAAGAUUCCUUAGCUUUUAAGUUAGUAAAAAGACUAAAUAUCUUUGUAACAAUUAGUUUUAUAUUAUGUUCAUAUAUAUACCUCUCGGGAGCCUGUUCUCGGAGAGGAGUUCCUUCUGAAAAAGUUUGGGUAAGCAAGUAAAGUCUAUUUUCUUUCUACUGCCUUACCUUAUCACUUUGUAUUUUCAUUUCAUUUCUAAGUUAUGAAUUCUCUGAGGAGUUUUCCCCAGAGAAUGAGUAACUAAACCUCUAGUUCCUUGGAGCUAAGGUUGCCGGGGAAGGUUCCAAGUGCACGAAUGCAAAGCUUUGUGGUUUUAGCUUUUAAUGAAGAGGAAGUGAAAUCCUUUAAUGAUUUCUAUGUUUUUAGUUAACUUAAAACACCUUAGAGUCACCUGGGCCAACACUUGGUAAGGCAAGUGAUUUCCAACCAUGGAAAUGCACUAGUUUACCUCUUGCGAGCCUCUGGGAGGUGAUUUCAAGGUAGGAUUUUCUGGAAUUACCAACACUUGGUAAGCUUUUGGACUCCUAGGAGACAUCCAUUAGUUAUCUCUUGCGAGUUUGUGAAGGGAAGUCCAAGAUUAAAGAUCAUCUUGAAUGGUAAGUGCUCGUGAGAGGCAUGAACCAUUGCAAGUUGCAUCAGUGAGAGAAUUAAAGUGAAAUCUAAUUGAAGGAGUCUCUGUACAACACCGGUUAGAGAAUUGACUAUAUGUUGAAUCUCUAACGCGAGGAAAUGAACCAUCUGACCGGAGCUAUGUCUUUUGCAUGAGGAAUCACCCCAGUGAACCUAACUCUCCAGGGAAUGCUUUUCUUCCUAAAUUAUUCCAAACUUCUGUUAUGUUAGUUAGUUUAAGUAUAAACCUUUACCAAUCAAAGUUUGUGUUUUACUUCUUAAGCUAACCGUGAAAUGAAACAAGACCAAUUCACUUGGAAUUGGUAUCAUUGAUAGCUUGCUAAUCCUUCCCAGUGAACGAUCCUAGAGCCGCUAUACUAUAGUAGCUUUUUCUUUGCUACCCUAGUAUAUGGUGUAAUAGGUAUAAAUUUUGUUGAUUACUCCCUCAUCCAAGGAGCACCAGCUGGACAUGAAUCAGUUGAGACACCAAUUGGGCACGAAUCAACAACAACAUAAAGGAUGGUUGUUUCUUGAACCGGUAUAGAUUUAACAAUGAAGAUUUAAUCCAUAAAAAGUCAAUAGAAAUGGUAGUCAAGUUCCAUUAAUGGCUUUAGACACUAUGGGUCUUCACCUUGAGCCACUUUCCAAUGGCUCGUACAUGAUAACUAAUGGUCUUAUGUGGAUCUAGCAAUAAGUAUCCACAGAGACCUAAAAGCUUAUCAUGUAUUGGCCAUUCAAAGUGAUUCAAAGGGAUUUAAAGCAAAACUUUAGAUUUUAAAAACCAUUUAUGAACUCCAACUACCUGUAUUUAAAGCACUAGAAUUUUCCACUUUUGCAUCUGGACUUUUCACCUAGCUUCCUUCACUCCAAGAAACUAAAGGUUUAGCCUCUCAUCCUCUGGGAAAACAUCCUCAGAGGUUGUUUGGCUUCCAAGAAAAAGAAAAUACAAUAAAAAAGAGAAGGUAAAAGCAGAGCAAAGCUCUGUAUUUUUCUUCAUUUCAAAACUAUACAAAAGAUGUGUCGUCCUCCUUCCCCUGAGAACAGGCUCCCAAGAGAUAUUUAUAUAGAAAAUUACAAAACAAAAUAUCUUUUGGAUAUUCAUCCUUUUUCCAAACUUAAUAACUAAGGAAUCCUAUAAUUGGUGGAUUACAAGGAGAGUUUGGGAAUUUAGACAUCAAAUAUCUAAAGCAAAAUAUCUCACAAUGUCGGUCGCAAAGAUGGGAAGCUUUAGGAGAAAACCACGGCACUGCAAGAUGGCCGCAAAACUCUCCGGGUAAGCGUUAUCCUCGGAUCCGAAUAUGUAUAUCCGGAUAGUUGAAACGCCUUCUCUCCCAUCCGGAUAUGUCUACCGAAUAUGAGACAUCCGGAGAAGGUAGAACUUCGAUCGGACUGUGAUACAUCCGGGUAAGUGCUAUUAGAAAAGAGGAUCCGGAUAUGUCUGCUAGAGGAAGUUGAAACGCCUCUUUUCCCAUCCGGCUCCUGAAUUCCGGAUGUCAUCCGGAAUGAUGGCGGCGCUGGAUGUAAGUGGCAGUAGCCGGAUUCCGGAUGUGAUACAUCCUGGUGGUAAGUGGCGGUAGCCGGAUGGAAUUCUUACCCGGAUGGAAUGAGCUGGAUCCCAUACUCCUUGUAUUCUGGAUUUGCUUAAGGAUUCCAAAGAACUCUCCUCAAUCUCAUAUUGCUUUGGUGAUAAAAAAGCUAUCAAAACACCAAAACUUAACACAAUUUGAUUAGAAUUGAUUGCAAGGGUCCUUAACAUGCCAAAUGGGUUAAAAGGUAAUAACUACUACUCAAAAGUGUUUAAAAGAGUUAAUUACCAGUUAUGAAAUAACACUUUUUGAGUAGUAAUCACUCCCCCCAACCGACAUAUUGCUAGUCCCUUAGCAAUGAAGGAGAGAAAAAUAAAAAUAAACAAUACUAUAAUUUACAACAUCAUGCUGAUCAAAAAACAAUUUCCAAGUGGCAUGAUGAUCUAACUCUCACAUGGAACAUUAAAGAAAUAAAACUCAAACUUCAACAAGAGUUAUCAAAUAACUUGUCUAAUCACUAUUCUUAAAGAGAAGACAUUAUGCAAACUUAAGCUUUAAAAUCAUUUCCACUUCCAUAGGAUCAAACCUUACUCUUCCACAAAAAUCUAAGUGUUAUUUAUUAGCUUCUGAAUAUAGUAUGUUGAACUAAUCUCUCCCCCAAACCUAGUUCUUUUUCAAAGCUUCGCAAACUGGUCAACCUCCAAUAGGCUAAGAACGCACCUCUUUUUUUCACAAUUUUUUUCUUGUAGGAGUACAAGGCUAAAGGUAUUUUUUUUCUAAAUUGUCCAUGUAACGGGGGUCCAUCGAUGACUCCCAACCAAUUAAGGCUUAGGGCAUCAAGUUUUAAGGAUCUUUCAACUACUAACUCCUUGGAUUUUACCCCGGACUUUUAAGAAUGAAUUUUUAAUACCCAAGCACCUACAGUAUGUUAAACUCCACCUAUCCACCCUUGUAACGAGCAUUGAGGUCGGUGACUCCCAACCAAUGAAGGCUUAGGGCACCAGGUUUUAAAGAUUUUCACCAUAUACCCCUUAGACCUUGCUCGGGUUUCAAGGCAAGUAAACAUUUUUUCUUUCUUUUUUUUUUUUUUUCAAAGACUCAUUGGCCUUUUAUAAGGUGUCCCAACACUAUUAAAUGAGGUCAAAGGUACCAAGUCUAAAUUUUCCUAAGUUAAGAGGGAAAUAGUUUUUCAUCUUAUACUCGGAACCUAUUGUGCACAGUGUGUGAAUAGCUUAAAGUGGAAGAACUGAGGUUGAAUUCACUAAAAGUUUCAACAAUUCAUCAACUUUAGUAAGCAUAAUACAAAAUCUAAGUCAAGUAAAAAGACAAAAAUUCAAUUUCUCCCAUUUCAUUUUGAAAAUUUUUCCUUAAUAACCAUGGAGAGUAGAAAAAAACUUUAAAAAUUUUAAAAAUUAAGCAAAAAACAACUAAAUUACCAAAAUACUUAGCAUUAUUAACAAAAACUUCCUUCCUCAACUCUCCUCCCAACCAAGCUGAACAUUGUCCUCAAUGUGACAACAACGAUUGAACAAUAGGGAGGAAGUGGUGCCUCCUGAGUGGUAUGAAGUUCAAGUAGAAUAGGAGAACCCACAUGUUUCAAAAAACAAUAAAAGAUAUGAGUAGAGGAAUUAAAAAAAUAUAAUGCUAAGUGCUCACAAAUGAUAGAGAUUUGUAUUACUUGAUGGCAACACAAUUUUAUAUAAAAAACAAGCAAUACAACCAAUCCCACUAUAUAAUACCAAAAAUAUGGGAUUUCAUAAAGGAAAUACAUAAAGUAAAGUAUGUAAAUGAUCAGAAAUAGGGAGGAUGAUGAUGGUAAGCUGAUGGCUCAGGUAGAUGUCUCUGCAUCUUCAGUAGCCGGCUCAGGAGGGGCAUGGGGCUCCGUGGCCUCUGAGUGGGGCACUGCAGUGGUAGGGGUAAGAUGCUCAGUAGCUGAUGGAAGACCCAGAUGGUGCUGAAGCUGCCUCAGGAUGGCAGUGUGUUGAGUCUAGGUGGUCAAAAUCUGCUCCUAGUGAGCACGAAUAGCUGACAUCUCUUGAGCAAGGCUACUCUGAGUCGCAGUCAGUGUCUGCAAUGUGUGGCAUAGAUCUCUAUACUCUGAAACGGGUAUGGUCAUCCUAGGCUCGGCUGAAGUAGAGGGCUCUGAUGCAGUUGGAAUAACUAGAGGGGUACUAUGGGUGGCAGGAAAAGCAAAGGGUAUACCCUCAGGUAUGGGCUCUGGAGAUGCUCUCCUGGCAGCUGGUAUCUCAGCUGGCUGUGGGUCCUCUGGCUGCUGUGGCUGUGGAAGCUCUGGAUGCUCUGCUCUAUAUGCUGUCAUAUUGGUCCACUUGUCGAGAGUGAAUACCUCUUGGCAUAUACGUCUGCGCUCCAGCUGAGGGUCUGAUGGAUACCCCAGAUGCUCCAAAAUUUGACAUAGCAAUUGUGGGAAAAGAAGUGGAAUAGCAUCUGCUCUUAGCAGCUUCUUCCUAUGCACCUUCUCUUCAAAGUAGAGAAGGGCAGCCAUAAUCAGAUGGUGAGGGCCAAAGAAAUAUCCCUCUGAUAUCCUAAACAGGGCCUCUAGCAGAACUCCUCUCCUCUGCACCCAAUGCUGAAGUGGAUAAAUGUUGUGGCGCAGGAGUGCAUCAAUGAAGAACAUGCUCGGAGGAAGUUCCUUCCUCAACAGAUAUGGAUUUGUGGAUGUUCCUCUGGACAAAAUAUGAACCAUUUCAAGCUGGGAAGGAUUAGUCCAUACUCGGUAAUCCUUUAGACGGGCUGGCUCAUAUGGAAUAUGCAGGGCCUUUGCUAUGUGGCGAGCUCCUAAAAUACCAUGACGUCAUUCAAUGGUGAAGUGGAUAAGAGUAGGAUCUUUGAUCUGAUUAAUAGUCAUGGACUGAUAGAAGUCCAUUGCUACUCGGGGAUAGAAAAAAUCCCUGGGGGUCAGCAAUUGCUCCAUGUGAAAUCUGUGUAGUAGAUGGAAUGAGUCUGCGAGCUUCGGCUGAAACCUGAAGGUGGCUGUGUCAAAACACAGCUCAGAGUGAAAUGGUCGAGCCCGACAAUCUAAAUUCCCCUCAAUGGGCGGCUGAGCGACCAUCGGACGCUUGAUCAGCACCUCAGGAGCUAUCCCUGAGGGAAUUUGAGACUUUGCAAAUGGCGGUUGCGACGGCUGAGGCUCCACUGGAUUCUCUGAAGAUAGCGCCGGAGACAGCUCUGUAGAUGGGUCCGGAGAGGGCUCUGGAGAGGAGUCCAGAGACUGCUCCGUUAAGUCUAUUGGCUCUGAAUCUACUACCCUAGCUUUCUUUUGUGGGGGAUGCCCCCUUGACCUGGUCUGAUAACGCUUCACCUAAGGACUCAACGGCGCGGGUUCCGCCGGAGGUGGUGCGGCUACUUAUCGCGGAGGCUCUGAUGUGGAGCCUUGAACAGGCGCCUCUCGCUCGACUCUCUUGCGGCCGGACGAAAAUGAUGACUUUGCUCCUCUGGUUCGCGCCAUGGCGGACCGAAGAGAAUGGUCAGAGGUGAUGGCCGGUGGCUCGCUCGGCUUCGGGCUCAGGUGAGAGAGCGAACGAACGGUUGCUCUGGUGUUUUUUCUUUCUGAAACCUUUUGGCAGCUCAAAUGACCGGUUUUUAUAAAAAAUAAAGGAAUAUAAAGGGUCAUUUUGAUUUUCGCAGAGGAAGGCUGAUUUCGCAGCAAAAGGUUGUUUUCGCAACAAAAGGCCAUUUUCGUAGCCCAUUUCGCAGCUGCGAAAUGGGGGGAACUAUGCUGCGAAAUGGCACUCGUGUGCUUAAGUGUGGUUUCGCAGCUGCGAAAAUUUUCGCAGAGAGGGGCUUGAGGCUGCGAAAUGAUUUCGCAGCAAAAUAGCGAUUUUGCAGCGAAGUGGCGAUUUCGCAGAGGCUUUUUUUAGGCUGCGAAAUCUCGCAGACCCUUGUUUUUCCCCUGUUUUACACUCUUUCUUGCUCCAAACGACUUUCCUUCAAUUUCUUUGCAAUGACUCCUGAUUUUGAUCAUCCAAAAACCUAUAUUACAUCAAAACAAAUUAGAAUGAAAUUAAGGUCAAAAAUAAAAAUCAAAACAUGCAUAUACACAAGAAAAAACACUAGAUUAAACUAAAAUCAACGCAAAAGGAAACAAAAAGAGGGUGAACUUUUUAGUCUUUGAAGAGACUAAAUUCAACCACGAACUGAGUGUUUUCAUGUUAGAGGUGGAUCAAGGAGGAUGAAUUCCUCCUUGUCUCGGGAAAAUGAUUCCAUAUAGGGCUUGAGACGAUGCCCAUUCACUUUGAAAGUUCGAGUGCUCUUGAAGUUGAGUAGUUCCACUACUCCAUUUGAUUGCACGUCAUGAAUUAUAAAAGGACCCGUCCACCUUGAUUUCAAUUUUCCCGGAAAAAGAUGAAGUUUAGAGUCAUAAAGCAAGACUCUUUGUCCCUUAGUAAAAUUCUUCUGAUUUACCAACUGAUCAUGCCAUUUCUUCAGCCUCUCUUUUGCAAUUUUUGAAUUGAGGUAAGCAUCAUUCCUCAUUUCCUCCAAUUCGUUCAAAUCCAAACAUCUCUUUAACCCGGCUCUUGUCAAAUCCAUGUUGAGCUUCUUGAUUUCCCACCAUGCUUUAUAUUCAACCUCCACUGGGAGAUGGCAUGCUUUGCCAUAAACAAGGCGAUAAGGAGACAUUCCAAGAAUGGUCUUAUAAGCGGUCCUAUAAGCCCAUAAUGAAUCCAGGAGCUUAAUAGACCAAUCCUUCCUAUUCACAUUCACCACCUUCAUCAAUAUAUUCUUGAUCUCCCGGUUGGCUAACUCAACUUGGCCACUUGUUUGAGGGUGAUAAGGUGUAGCUACCUUGUGCUUGACCCCAUAUUUGGCUAGAAGAGUCUUAAAAGGCUUGUUGCAAAAGUGGUUUCCUCCAUCACUGAUAAUGGCCUUAGGCACUCCAAACCUUGAAAAGAUGUUCUCCUUGAGAAAUUUGAGAACCACCUUAUGAUCAUUGCUCCUACAUGGGACUGCUUCUACCCACUUAGAGACAUAAUCCACUCCCACCAAAAUGUAGGAGUGUCCAAAUGACAUUGGAAAUGGUCCCAUGAAGUCUAUCCCCCAAACAUCAAAGACAUCCACUAUCAAGAUGGGGUUCAAGGGCAUCAUAUUUCGGCGUGUUAGCUUCCCAAGCCUUUGACACCGAUCACAUCCCUUGCACAUAGAGUGGGCAUCCUUGAAAAGAGAGGGCCAUCAAAAACCUGAUUGGACCACUCUCAUGGCUGUUUUCUAGGAAGCAAAAUGACCUCCACAUGCACUAUCAUGACAAUGGGAUAGAAUUCCUGAUUGCUCUGGUUCAGGAACACAUUUCCUUAUGAUUUGAUCCGCACAAUAUUUGAAGAGAAAAGGCUCCUCCCAAUAAUAGGCAUGGAUCUUAGCAAAGAAAUGCUUCUUGUCUUGGGCACUUCACUCACUUGGAACUUUUCCAGUAACCAAGUAAUUUGCAAUGUGAGAAUACCAUGGAGCUACCUCUAUUGACAUGAGAGACUCCUCAGGGAAGUCAUCAUUAAUAGGUAGGCCAUGUGAGUCAUGUGCUAUCACAAGUCUUGACAAGUGGUCAGCUACCACAUUUUCUACUCCCUUUUUAUCCCGGAUUUGGAGAUUGAAUUCUUGAAGCAAAAGGAUCCAUCUUAUCAAUCUUGCCUUGGCAUCUUGCUUGGUUAGCAAGUACUUCAAAGCAGAAUGGUCAGUGAACACCACUAUACAGGACCCUACUAAAUAGGCACGAAACUUAUCCAAGGCAAAAACUACUGCCAACAACUCCUUCUCAGUAGUUGUGUAGUUCCUUUGAGCCUCAUUCAAAGUUUUGCUUGCAUAAUAAAUCACAUAGGGCUUUCCAUCUUCUCUUUGCCCCAAAACAGCCCCCAUAGCAAGAUCACUUGCAUCACACAUUACCUCAAAAGGUAAUUUCCAAUUUGAGGCUCUCACUAUUGGUGCAGUUGUGAGGAAUUGCUUCAGUUCCUCAAAACUCUUCUGACAUUUCUCAUCCCACACAAACUUGGCAUCCUUUACCAAGAGUUCACAAAGAGGUUUUGAGAUUUUUGAGAAAUCCUUAAUGAACCUCCUAUAGAACCCGGCAUGUCCUAGGAAUUGCCUAAUUCCUUUAACAUUUGUGGGAGGUGGCAACUUAACAAUUAGCUCCACCUUUGCCUUAUCUACCUCAAUGCCAUUCUUGGAGAUUAUAUGUCCUAAGACAAUUCCUUGUUGUACCAUAAAAUAGCACUUCUCCCAAUUUAGCACUAGGUCUUUCUCAAUACAUCUUUGGAGAACAGCUUCUAAAUGCAACAAACACUCCUUAUAAGAACCUCCAUAUACAGUGAUGUCAUCCAUGAAGACUUCCAUGAUGCGCUCCACCAUAUCACUGAAGAUGCUUAGCAUACAUCUUUGGAAAGUUGCAGGUGCAUUACAUAGACCAAAGGGCAUCCUCCUAUAGGUAAAAGUACCAAAGGGGCAAGUGAAGGUUGUCUUUUCUUGAUCUUCCAAAUCAAUCUCUAUUUGGAAGUACCCCGAGUAACCAUCCAAAAAACAGUAGAAAGGAUGCCCUGAGACUCUUUCAAGGACUUGGUCCAUGAAAGGCAAUGGGAAAUGGUCUUUCCCAGUCACUGAAUUCAACCUCCUGUAGUCUAUACACACCCUCCAUCCUGAGGUAAGACGUGUAGAGACUUCCUCCCCUUUCUCAUUUUGGAUCACAGUAAUUCCAGAUUUCUUUGGGACUACUUGGGUUGGGCUCACCCACAAGCUAUCUGAAAUGGGAUAUAUGAUCCCUGCUUGAAGUAGCUUCAGAACUUCACCCCUUACCACCUCUUGCAUGUGAGGAUUCAACCUCCUCUGGGGCUGCCUCACUGGUUUAGCAUCUUCCUCCAUGAAGAUAUGGUGGGUGCAUACCAAAGGGCUAAUCCCUUUCAAAUCAGAAAUGUGUCAUCCAAUGGCCUUUUGCAUUUUUUGAGGACUCCCAAAAGACUAUCCUCUUGAUCACUUGUGAGAGUUGAAGAAACCACCAUUGGACAUUUCUCAUCUUCCUCCAAAUAUGCAUACUUCAAAUCAACAGGAAGUGGCUUCAAAACUAGUUUUGGAGGGUCCUCCCUAGCUGCUCCUUGUGAGUCCUCCUUAUUGAACAAGGGUAAGAUCUCUUCCCUUCUCCUCCAAGGAGACAUGACGACUAACACAUCAGAGGGUUCAGGUAACCCUUCUUCAAGCACUCCAAGGCUUUCAUUCAAGCUCUUUUCUAAAUUCUUGUCACAAUGCUCUUCAACCAAAGUGUUGAUCAAGUACGCCUCCUCCAAUCCUUCCUCCUCUUCGGGGUGAAGAUGCCUCUUGCAUAGGUGGAAUAUGUUUAGUUCCAAGGUCAUGUUUCCAAAUGUGAACUGCAUCACCCCAUUCCUACAAUUGAUGAUGGCAUUGGAGGUAGCUAGGAAAGGUCUCCCUAGGAUGAUUGGCACAUGAUUUGUUUCCUUAAUAGUGAGAUCAGUAUCAAGCACCACAAAAUCCACGGGAUAGUAGAAUUUGUCCACUUGAACUAAAACAUCCUCUAUCACUCCCCUUGGGAUUUUGACUGACCUAUCAACUAAGGAGAGAGUGACGGUUGUGGGCUUCAAUUCUCCAAGUCCCAGUUGCUUAUACACAGAGUAUGGGAGCAAAUUCACACUUGCCCCCAAGUCUAGUAAAGCCUUCUCCACAUGUGUCCCUCCAAUGUUGACUGAAAUGGUGGGACACCCCGGAUCUUUGUACUUAACUGGAGACUUACACUGAAUGAUGGCACUUACUUGCUCAGUGAGGAAUGCCUUCUUUGUCACAAUUAACCCUCUCUUGACCGUGCACAAGUCCUUUAAAAUUUUUGCAUAUGUGAGGACUUGCUUGAUCAUAUCAAGGAAGGGUAUAUUCACCUUCACUUGUCUCAAAAUUUCAAGAAUUUCUGAUGAAUUCUUGAUUCCCUUCUUUCCAUGUAAAGCUUGAGGAAAAGGGGGAGGCAUAUGUUUCUUCAUCAUAUCCUCUUUAAUCACUAUCCUUGGCUCAUCUUCAAUGCUUGAAUCAGAUGCAUUUUUCUUCCCACUCUUCUCUUCUUGGUUAUUGCUCUCUUUAACCAAGGUUCUCCUUGACAUGAGUUCUUCAUCUUGCCUCACCUUAGGCAAGGGUUGGUCAACCUCCUUCCCACUCCUCAAGGUGAUCACAGCUUUAACCUCCCUCAACUUUGAAGACUCCCCAUCUUGGGUUUCAACUUCAUGAACACCCUUUGGAUUUUGGCUUGGUUGAGAGGGAAACUUUCCUUUCUCAAUCACUGUGUUGAGGUUGGUAAGCGUAGAGAUGGAGUAUUGAAUAUUAUCCAUCUUCUGAGAUAGAUCAUUUUGCAUCCCAUCCAUUCUCUUAAUUUGAGAACUUUCAACAUUUUCAAUCUUUUGGUGCAAUUGGGAGUUGAUUGCCUUUUGUUCACCCACAAAGUCACCCAUGACUUUACUUAGGUUCACAAUGGCUUGCUCCACUGAAGAGGUUUGUUGAGGUGCUUGGGUUUGGGCUUGUGGUUGGUAUGGAGGUGGCCUUGGUUUCCAAGAAAAAUUUGGAUGGUUUCUCCAGCUUGAAUUAUAGGUGUUUCCAUAAGGUGCAUUGUUGUUGGGCCUAAAUUGCCCCACAACAUUGGCUUGAUCACCUAACAUUUCCCUAACAGCUGGGAUGGUUGGGCACUCAUCUACCACAUGAUCACAUGAUUGGCAAAUGGUGCAUGGCAUGACAUGGGCUUGUGUCUCGGAAAUGGCUUAGACUUCAUGCAUUUUUUUCAACUCAAGUUCUUCCAACCUCCUUGCCAUUGUUGCUACCUUAGCUUUCAUGUCCAUGUCUUCACUUAACAUGUACAUUCCAACCUUUGGAUUUACAGGAGCUUUCAUCCUUCCCAUUUCUCUUGAGUUGGGUUCAUCCCAUCCUCUUGAUACCUCAGAUACAUAACUUAGAAAGUCCAUGGCUUCUUCCGGAUUCUUACUCAUAAAAUCUCCCCCACACAUGGUUUCAAAAAUUUGCUUCAUGCAGGAAGACAUCUCAUCAUAAAAAUAGCUCACCAAGAGCCAUGUAUCAAAGCCAUGAUGAGGACAAGCAUUGAUGGCCUCCAUAUACCUUUCCCAACAUUCAUAGAACUUCUCAUUUUCUUUUGCAGAAAAAUUUGAGAUUUGUCUCUUCAACCUAUUGGUCCUAUGAGUGGGGAAAAAUUUCUUCAAAAAUUCGGCCUGAAGAUCAACCCAAUUCCUUAUGCUCCUUGGCCUUAAAGAGUUAAGCCAUAUUUUUGCCUUGUCCUUCAAAGUAAAAGGGAAUAGCUUGAGUCUCAUCAAGUCUAUUGAAGCUCCUCCCCCUCCAAAAGUAUUGCACACCUCCUCAAACUCCUUGAUGUGGGCAUAUGGGUUCUCACUCUCCAUUCCAUGGAAAUUUGGUAGGAGGGGCACAAUAUGAGGCCUUAUAAUCAGCUGCUCAAGAGGAGGUACGAUGCAUGAGGGUGCACUCAUCCUUGGUGGGUGCAUUCUAUCCCUCAUGGAUAGAUAUGCAUUUGGAUUAUCCCCUUGAACGUGUUGAGAAUUCUGAUCCUAUUGUGGAGGGUCCAUGAUGUUUACACAGAUAUCCAACUCUGUGUCUUGAGGAUUCUCAAUCCUUACUAGUCUUCCCUCUUGGUUCCGAAUCCAAUAGGGCAUGCACAAGUUACAACUUCCCUGAAAACAAAACAAAGACAACAAAAACAAAAGAAAACUAGAAGAAAAUUAAGGUUAGAAAGAAAAUGAAAGUAAACUUAACAAAAGGAAUUCUACAAUAAAAAAAAAAUGAAGUUAGUGAAAAAGGAAUUCACCAAACUUGUGAUGGAAAUCACAAGUAGCCUCUAAAAAGUUGUAUCACUAUAUCGUGGCACCAUCCCCGGCAACGGCGCCAUUUUGAUUGUGCCCAGUAGGGUAUUUUAAUCAAAAAUAUUUAUAAAUCCUAUGACCUUAUACUAGCGUAGCAAAGCUACUAUAGUAUAGCAUCUAUAGGGUCGAACUCUGGGAUGGGUUUUCAUUCUACCAGUGAUAAACUCAAGAUUAGAAAUUGAAUCUGAUGAUUUCCUUUGUCAAAAACUUAAAGUUUAAAAGAAAAUAAAAUUUGUUUUGAAAGUGGUGUUUGAAACUAAACUAACAUAGAACUAGGUAAAAAUGGAAGAAAGAAAGUCUCCCGGAGCUAGAGGUUGCUAGAAUCAAGUUCAGAAUGCAAAGUGGGAAAUUCCGGAUUUUUCUCCUCGUAUUAGGGACAACAACAUAAAGGAUGGUUGUUUCCCGAACCGGUAUAGAUUUAACAAUGAAGAUUUAAUCCAUAAAAAGUCAAUAGAAAUGGUAGUCAAGUUCCAUUAAUGGCUUUAGACACUAUGGGUCUUCACCUUGAGCCGCUUUCCAAUGGCUCGUACAUGAUAACUAAUGGUCUUAUGUGGAUCUAGCAAUAAGUAUCCACAGAGACCUAAAAGCUUAUCAUGUAUUGGCCAUUCAAAGUGAUUCAAAGGGACUUAAAGCAAAACUUUAGAUUUUAAAAACCAUUUGUGAACUCCAACUACCUGUAUUUAAAGCACUAGAAUUUUCCACUUUUGCAUCUGGACUUUUCACCUAGCUUCUCUCACUCCAAGAAACUAAAGGUUUAGCCUCUCAUCCUCUGGGAAAACAUCCUCAGAGGUUGUUUGGCUUCCAAGAAAAAGAAAAUACAAUAAAAAAGAGAAGGUAAAAGCAGAGCAAAGCUCUGUAUUUUUCUUCAUUUCAAAACUAUACAAAAGAUGCGUCGUCCUCCCUCCCCUGAGAACAGGCUCCCAAGAGAUAUUUAUAUAGAAAAUUACAAAACAAAAUAUCUUUUGGAUAUUCAUCCUUUUUCCAAACUUAAUAACUAAGGAAUCCUGUAAUUGGUGGAUUACAAGGAGAGUUUGGGGAUUUAGACAUCAAAUAUCUAAAGCAAAAUAUCUCACAAUGUCGGUCGCAAAGAUGGGAAGCUUCAGGAGAAAACCACGGCACUGCAAGAUGGCUGCAAAACUCUCCGGGUAAGCGCUAUCCUCGGAUCUGGAUAUGUAUAUCCGGAUAGUUGAAACACCUCCUCUCCCAUCCGGAUAUGUUUACCGAAUGUGAGACAUCCGGAGAAGGUAGAACUUCGGUCGGACUGUGAUACAUCCGGGUAAGCGCUAUUAGAAAAGAGGAUCCGGAUAUGUCUGCUAGAGGAAGUUGAAACGCCUCUUUCCCCAUCCGGCAUGAUGACGGCGUUGGAUGUAAGUGGCGGUAGCCGGAUUCCGGAUGUGAUACAUCCUGGUGGUAAGUGGCGGCAGCCGGAUGGAAUUCUUACCUGGAUGGAAUGAGCUGGAUCCCAUACUCCUUGUAUUCUGGAUUUGCUUAAGGAUUCCAAAGAACUCUCCUCAAUCUCAGAUUGCUUUGGUGAUAAAAAAGCUAUCAAAACACCAAAACUUAACACAAUUUGAUUAGAAUUGAUUGCAAGGUCCUUAACAUGCCAAUUGGGUUAAAAGGUAAUAACUACUACUCAAAAGUGUUUAAAAGAGUUAAUUACCAGUUAUGAAAUAGCACUUUUUGAGUAGUAAUCAGUCUCUUUAUCGCUUAGUCUAUGGCAAAGCAUGCCAUCUCCCUAUGGAAUUGGAAUACAAAGCUUGGUGGGCAAUCAAGAAACUCAACAUGGAUUUGAGCAGAGUUGGGUUGAAGAGGUUCUUAGACCUCAAUGAGAUAGAGAAAUUGAGAAAUGAUGCCUACAUCAAUUCAAAAAUUGCAAAAGAGAAAUUGAAAAGGUGGCAUGAUUAGUUGAUUUCCCGUAAGGAUUUUCGAAAGGGACAAAGAGUCUUGCUCUAUGACUCUAAGCUCCACAUCUUUCCGGGUAAGCUGAAAUCAAGGUGGAUAGGUCCUUUUACCAUUCACCAAGUGCAUUCAAAUGGAGUAGUGGAACUACUCAACUCCAACAGCACCAGAAGCUUCAAAGUGAAUGGCCACCGUCUCAAGCCCUUUGUGGAGCAUUUUUCUCGCGACAAGGAGGAAUUCAUCCUCCUUGAUCCACAUCAAGCUUGACAAGACCAAUCCUUUUGAUGGACUUAGUCUUUCUAAAGACUAUCGAGUCUAUAUCUUUUUGUUUUAUUUUUUAUUUGAGAGUUUUCCUGUAUUAUUACUUAUUUUUAUUUUUAUUUCUCGUUUUUAUUUUAUCUUGGUUUGAUUUAACUUAGGUUUUUGAUGAUCAAUUGUAGGGGGACUUCAAAUAGAGGAAAAACCAAGUAAAUUCGCACACACUGCGAAAUUUUCAUAGGGCAUGCGAAAUUCAUGAAUCAUUUUGCAUGGGGUGCGAAAAUAAAAACACCUUGCGAACUCAUUUUGCACACUUCGUGAAAUUUUCAUAGAGCAUGCGAAAAAUUUCGCACACCUAACACCAUUUGGCACACUGUACGAAAACCUAAGGGGUUUGCGAAGUAAUUUCGCACCCCAUAUGCCAUUUCGCAUGCUGUGCAAAACUCAAGGGACGCUGUGCAAAAAUGAAAAGUCCCUACCAUUCCUUUUUAAACCCCUGAGCCCUAAUUUCUCCAUUUCGCAAACACCAAACACCCUAUGAAUUCCUCAUUUUCCUCUGCCACCUUGCGACCUCAUCCAUAUCCAUUCAAUAUCCUGCCCCGUGCACAUCACUUUGAAGACUCACACUCCAAGCCAUAUUGGAGCACGGACCCGAGGAGCUCUUCCCGCCCCUUCACCGAGUCGCACUUUGAGACAAAUGGCCUCCACUGCUCAGGUAUCUAGUGAUUCUCCAUCUCAGGCCAUGGAGGCCCCGCGGAUUCCACCUUCUGAGGGUGGAGCGCCCACUAGUCCUUCAUUUUCGGCUCCUCAGCGCAGAUAUGAGAUGAAGAGACCACCUACUACACCAGGGGCGACUAUUUUACGCCCUGAGAGUUCAGUACGACGCCCUCCUACCAAGAGGGCUAGGACUUUAGGCUCAGACGAGUCAUCCAAAGCUCCACAGCCUGAGCCUCCGGUAGCUACACAUGCUAGAGCUCCUGCAGAUUCUGAGCUCCUUUUUGACAUGUCACUAGAGUCUAUUAUCAGACGCCCGAUGGUCACAACACCGCCCAUUGAGGGUAACUCAAAUUGUAGAGCGAGACCGUUCCACUCGGAGUUAUAUUUUGAUCAAGAGGUCACGCAACAGUAGCCUGAGCUCUGAGACUCAUAUGGCCUACUACAAAGGUACCAUCUUGAGCACCUUAUGACUCCUCGUGAGUUCUUUUAUCCUAAAGUAGCACUAGACUUUUACCAAUCCAUGACUACUCGUGGCGUCUCAAGUCCUACCGUGAUACACUUCACCAUUGAUGGACGUCAUGGUGUCCUCGAGGCCAGACAUAUUACAGAGGCUCUAUAGAUUCCUUUCGAGCCAGUGGAUCCGUUUGUUUUCUGCCAGUGGUCCCCAAUAUCUCAAAGGGACAUGGUCCGUAUUUGAUCCAGAAAGACCUCUUCAGAUUCAAUCCUUCUACGAAAGGAGCUUCCACCUGGGAUGCUCCUCAUAGAUGUGGUGCUAUGCUCCAACCUCUUUCCCUUACAGCAUUCGGUAUAGAGGUAAGGAGAUAUUUUGGACACUUUAUUUCGUAUAUCAGAGGGCUUCUACUUUGGCCCGCACCACUUGAUCAUGGCCUUUCUUGCCCACUUUGAGGAGAAGGUCCAUAGGUGAUUCGUGCCCAGCUGGUGUACCUUGAUUUUGGUCCUCAGACGGGAGUAAUCAACAAAAUUUAUAACCUAUUAUACCAUGUACUAGGAUAGCCUCAGCUAGCAUAGCAUAGUGCCUCUAGGAUCGUUCACUGGGAUGGGUUUUCACUUUACAAUUGAUAUUAGUUCAAAGCUGAAUUUGUGCUUUUUCAUUUCAAGGUUAGCUCUAAAAGAAAACAUAAAGAUGUUUGAAAAGGUUGGUUUUUAAGUGAAACAAAAAAUAAAGUAACGGGAAUUACUUACUAAGAAAAGCGUUUCUUGGAGUUUUAGGAUCACUGGGGUCAGGCUCCUCAUGCAAAAACAGAGCUCCUGUCACUUGAGUCUUUUCCUCGUGUUGGGGAUUUAACAUAUAGUUAUUUCCCGAACUGGUGUGGUACAGAUGCUUCCCUUUAAUGGGUUCAAACACUAAAUCCCUCUCACUGAUACAUCUUGCAAUGGUUCAUACCUCUCACCUAGCAUUGGCCAUUCAAGAUGAUCCUUAACUUUGGAUUACCCGUCAAAAGCUCGCAAGAGAUAACUAAUGGAUGUCUCCUUAGAGUCCAAAAGCUUACCAAGUGUUGGCUAUUCUAGAAAAUCCUACCUUUAAACCACCUCCCAAAGGCUCGCAAGAGGUAAACUAGUGCAUCUCAAUGGACGGAGAUCACUUGCCUUACCAAGUGUUGGCCCCGGUGAUUUCAAGGCGUUUUAAGUUAACUAAAAAGAUAAAAACCAUUAACGGGUUACACUUUCUCUUCAUUAGUAGCUGAAACAACAAAACUUCCAAUUUUUGCAUUUGGAAACUUACCCGGCUUUCUUCACUCCAAGAGACAAAAAGCUUAGCCACUCAUCCUCUGAGGAAACAUCCUUAGAGUUUGAUUUGUUAGAAAUAAAAAUAACGAGAAAACAAAAAUAUGAAGGAAAAACAGAGCAAGUGCUCUGUAGAAUAUUUUUCUUACUAUCGUCGAUUACAUAUCUGAUAUAUGAUUCCUCUUCUCUUUACAUUGGUUCAAAGAUAUAUAUAGAGAAGAUAUUUUCUAAGAAAUAUCCCAAUAAUAUCUUCGACUGAUUACAAGGAGAAAAUAGAAAUUUACACAAAAUAUCUUGAGAAAAAAUCUAACUUAGUCGGUGGCAAAUAUCUAAGUUUACACAGGUGGAUUUCACAAGUUUGAAUUGUCCAUUUUGCAAGUUGAAUUUGUGAUUUCACAACUUGGAGGUGAUUCCGCAACUUGGAGAUGAUUUGCAACUUGUUUCGUAGCUUGGAGGUGAUUUCGCAACGUGGUUCGCAGCUGCGAAGAUGGAGUUUCAACUUGCGAAGUGGCACACGUGUGCUUGGAGGUGGUUUCGCAGCUGUGAAACACCUUACUAAAUUUCGCAAGUAGAUUUUAUUUCGCAGCUCAUUUCGCAGCUGCGAAAUGGGCUUUGGGCUGUGAAAUUUUCGCAUAGCUUGAUGCAGUUGUCUUCAAACGGCCAUAACUUCUUCAUUUCAACUCCAAUUGACACAUCGUUUGAAGUGUUGGACUCCUGACUUCCUGAGCUUCGAAAAGACAUAUAGUAUGAAUGAAAUGGACUCCAGGAAGUACUCGAAAUGUGUCCAACAGUUGCUGUCCUCUUAAAUUUCUUCAUGUUAGAUUUCUCUCAUUUUCCUCCUUGCAUUCUUGAUUGACUUUGGCAAAGGACUACGAAGCUCCAAAGCUUGGAUUCUUCAUGUAAAUGAGCUUCCAUUUUCUUUGCCAUGGAUUAUAUAAAGCUCUCCCUCAUCUUAGAUUGCUUUGGUGAUCAAAAAGCUAUCAAAAACACCAAAACUUAACACAAUUUGAUUAGAAAUGAUUGCAAGGGUCCUUAACAUGCCAGUUGAGUCAAAAGGUAAUAACUACUACUCAAAAGUGUUUAAAAGAGUUAAUUACAAGCUAUAAAAUAACACUUUUUGAGUAGUAAUCAAUAGGAAGAAGCUUCAGAGGGCGGACACCAUUCCAUUACUAUUCCUAAGGUUGUUGUGCCAGAUAUUGGAGUAUAUGGGCUUUCCUACUAAGCCUCGGCUCAAGCGUCGUCGCCUUUGUCGAGAGCGAUUCACUCUCGACAAAUGAAAUUAGUUGGCGGGAUAUUCUGCACCUCCAGGAGCCCGUCCCAUGGUAUCACCUCCAGUGCCCCCAUAGCCAGAGCAGGGCAAGCUUCUGGCAGAGACUACACCACCAGUGCCCACACCUGAGGCUAUUUCUGCUACUCCCCCUAUGACUCCUACUGUUCCAUCACCAGUCACUCCUACUACAUCCAAGCCUUCCAUCACCAUAUCGGCUUCGAAAUUUCACACCCUUGUGCAUACCUUUUAGACACUGACCACCACACAUGCGGCUCUCUUCCAGUAGAUGGCUGACAUGCGUGCACAUCAGGACCAACAGACUGCUAUACUUCGCCAGAUUCAGCAGCACCUCAGACUUCUACCUCUACCUCAGCCUGAUCUUCUUGCAUCAUCAAAGCCUUUAGCUCCAACUGAGGACACUACCACGGUAGAGGUCCAGAUCCCACCACCUCAAGAGCCCACCACAAAUGCCAUUGCUUCACAUGAUCCUCAGGAUAACCCUCAGACAGUUAACACAAUCACAGCUACACCUGAGAAUGCAUCAUCUCCACCUGAGGCUCCCACUACUUGAUCAUAGGACAUCUCUUUAUCUUAUUGUAUUUACAUAUUAUAUUAGUGGAGAUUUGUCAUUGUUUUGAUGCUUUAUAUUCUGAGACUGGAUGUAUUACCUGAUCAUAUCUCAUAUUGUACUUUCUCAUAUUAGUAUAUAGACAUCAUAUUUUUUAUAUUACUUGGCAUUUUUCUAUUUCCUCUACUCAUUACCUUUUUGUUUUCUGACUCAUGUGGUUUCUCUUAUACAACUUAGACUUCAUUUCACUCAGGAGGUACCACUUUCUCCCUUUAUUUUCAAUUGCUCUUGACACAUUGAGGACAAUGUUGAUCUUGGUUGGGGGAAGAGUUGAGGAAGGAAGUUUUGUUAAUAAUGCUAGGUUAAUUUGUUAAUUUAGUUACUUUUUGCUUAAUUUUAAAAGUUUUUUUACCCUACUCUCCAUGGUUAUUAAGGAAAAAUUCUCAAAAUGAAAUGGGAGAAAUUGAGUUCUUGCAUUUUUACUUGAAUCUUAGAGUUUGUAUUAUGCUUAUUGAAGUUGAUGAAUUAUUGAAAAUCCUAUUGAAUUCAACCUUAUUUCUUCCACUUUAAUCUUACCACACAUUGUGCACAUUAGGUUCCAAUUAUAAGAUGAAAAACUAUCUCACCCCCUGAACUUAGGAAAAUUUUGACUUGGUACCUUUGACCUAAUUUUAAUAGUGUUGGGACACCUUAUAAAAGGCCAAUGAGCCUUAAAAAAAAGAAGAAGAAGAACAAAGUGUUUCACUUGCCUUGAAACCCGAGCAAGGUCCAAGGGGUAUAUAGCGAAAAUCUUUAAAACCCGGUGCCCUAAGCCUUGAUUGGUUGGGAGUCACCGACCUCAAUGCUCGUUACAAGGGUGAAUAGGUGGAGUUUAACAUAUUGUAGGUGCUUAGGUAUUGAAUUUCAAUCUCAAAAGUCCGGGAAAAAAUCUGAGGAGUUAGUGGUCAAAAGAUCCUUAAAGCUUGAUGCCCUAAACUUUGAUUGGUUGGGAGUCAAUGAUAGAUCCCCGUUACAUGGACACUUUAGAAAACAAUUCCUUCAGCAUUGCACUCCUACAAGAAAAAAAUGUGAAAUAAAAGAGGUGCGUUCUUAGCCUAUUGGAGGUUGGUCAGUUUGCUAAAGUUUGAGAAAGAACUAGGUUGGGAGGAGAGAAUAGUUCGACAUACUAUAAUCGGAAACUAAUAAGCUUAACACUUAGAUUUUUGUGUGAGAGUAAGAAUUAGACCUUUGGGAGUGGAAAUUCUUUUGAUGCUUAAAUUUGCAUAAUGCCUACUCUUUAUAAAUUGUGAUUAGGCAAGAAAUUUGAUGACUCUUGUUGAAGGUUGGGUUUUGCCUCUUUGAUAUUCCAUGAGAGAGUAUAAUUCGCAUCAUGCCACUUAAAUUUUUUUUAGAGUAAUCAGCAUGAUAUUGUAAAUUAUUUCACUGUCUAUUUUUCUUUAUCUCUCCUUCAUUGCUAAGGGACUACCAAUGUGUCGGUUGGGGGGAGUGAUUACUACUCAAAAAGUACUCUUUUAUAGCUUGAAACUAACUGUUUUAAACACUUUUGAGUAGUAGUUAAUACAUUUUAACUCAAUUGGCACAUUAAGGAACCUAGCAAGGGUUACUAAUCAGUUUUGACAAGUUUUGGUGUUUUUGGUAGCUAUUUGAUCAUUGAAACAAGCCAAGAAUGAGGGAGAAUUUUGUGAAAUCCAUGGCAAUGCAAGUUGAAGCUCAAAUACAUGAAGAGUCCGAGCUUUGAAACAUUUCAUAGCCCUUUGCCAAGCUUGGCAAUAGGUUGCCAAGCCAAUCAGAGAUGCAAGGAAGAAAACUAAAGGAAAAAGUCCAACAACCAGCAUUUUAGCAUGGCUAUGCGAAAAUUUCGCAUAGCAUGCGAAAUCAAGAGAAAGAGCAGCUGCAGGACUGAGUGAAAGACAAUUUCGCACACCAUGCAAAACCACAAAAAGCAGCCAAAGAAUUUCGUACACCAUGAGAAAUUUCACAUGGUAUGCGAAAUCCUCUUGUGCACCAACUCCGUUAGAUUUUUAUUUCCAGAUAUUUUGUAUAAUUUCCUGUUUUCUCCUUAUAAUCAAGCUAGAUAUUUUCAUAUAUAUCUUUUCUAGUCAUGAAAGAAAUUUAUUCAUGAAACACUUGUAAAAUUCCCGUAGAAGAAAUAUAUAGAGCUUUUGCUCUGCCUUUCCUUCUCAUUUUGUUUUCACUUUUCUUUUUAGCCAAAUAACCUCUGAGGAUGAUUUCUCAGGGGAUGAGUGGCUAGGUUUUAUGUUUCUUGGAGUGAUGGAAGCUAGGUGAAGGACCUGAAUGCAAAGAUGGGAGUUGUCCUUGCUUUAAAUGAAAGUAGUUGUUAACCAUUAAUGGUUUUUAUUUUAAGGUUUAGCUUUAAAUCCCUUAAAAUCACCUUGAAUGGCCAAUACUUGGUAAGCUUUUCAGAUUCUAUGGAUGCUUAUUGCUAGAUCCAUGGAUGUCCAUUAGUUAUCAUUUACGAGCCAUUGGAAGGUGGUUCAAGGUGAGGGUCUUUAGUGUUUGAAGCCAUUAAUGGGAAGCAAUUACCAUUUUUCAUGAAUCCUUUCGAUCAAAUCUUAAUUGCUAAAAAACAAAACCGGUUCGGGAGAUAACCAUCCUUUAUGUUAUUGUCCCCAACGCGAGGAGAAGAUCCAGAAUCUCCCCCUUUGCCUGAGAAACCCGAUCCUAGUGACCUAAAGCUCCAAGAGACCUUUUCUUUAUAGUUAACUUCACUUAUUAUUUUUGCUUAACUUAAAAUCAAUCUUUGCAACCACAAUUCCAUUUUCUUUAAAAGCUAAUUUUCAUAAGGAAAAACACCAUUUUAUUUCCUUCACUAAAAUCAACUGUACGAUGAAAACCCAUCCCUGUGGAUGAUCCUAAAGCCACUAUACUAUGUUAGUUAUGCUACUCUAGUGUAAGGUGAUUUAGGUUUUAUAAUUUUUUUGUUGAUAACACCCGUCUGGGCCAGAAUCAAAUGGCACGACUGCAAUGGGGACAAAUCACAUUGCUGAAAGAAGUGCUUGAGCCGCUCAAGCGUAAACAUUACUUGAGCCACUCAAGCACUAACAUUGUUUGAGCAUUGCAUUUCUUACCUACACUCUCGAGGUUGCUUCUGCACUUUUUUCAACUACCUUAAGCUUUAAAAUCUUGCCUUUUUUUGGUUGAGGAAUAUCCAUUGAACCGCUAUGAUUGGCGAAAUGCUUCCAUGCUCUCUUUGGGUUACAAGAUUGAUUAAAAACCAAAAUUUUACAUAAUCACAAGUCAUAUACUCCUCAAAAUGAGAGUUUAUAGUCAAUCUAGCCAAAAGGAAAAAAACUUUUAUAUCCAAAAAGAAAAUCCUAUGCUCUUAAUCACAAAGCUUACAACCUAAACUAGAAAACAAUAGAUUAAACCAAUAACAAUCAACUAAUCUGAACAUAAUAAUGAUAUUCAUUCAUCCAUUUAGGCCAUGGGAUGAAUAACCAAACUUAAAAAAAAAAAACAAAAAAAAAAACCAUGAGCACCCUCUAGAAUAGAUCUAGCUAACAAGAACAUAACCUGAGGCUCUAAUACCAAUUACCAGGAAUACUAGAUUUCUCUAUUCCCUGUCCCUGGAUCUAGUAGGGUGCAUGCAUCUAUGCUAAGCACCUCUAAAUCUAUUACAAUGGAAACAUAUGGCUACAAAACCAUAUAAAGAUAAAAAUCUAGAGAAAACAAAGCUCAUACCGAAUCUAGAUGUUCCUAGAUCAAUUCCAGAUGGUGAAGAACAUGCUUAAAGGUCUCAUACACUCAAGAUCUUCCACCUGAUGACUCGAACCACAAUCUUGGUACUCCAAAGUGUGGGCUUUGGAAGAGAUGAAGAUAUGACUCUCUCUAUCUUUCUUUAGAGAUGAAAGAUGGAUCUCAUCAAAAAGUGGUGGAAACAUUAACCCCUAAGGGGGUAUUUAUAGGGUUCCCCUACUAAGCUUAAGUGACUUAAGCUCACCAAAGCUUGGGUCACUUAAUCUAACCUAAAACUAGUUCUAAUUGAUUAAUUAACCACAUAGAGUCAUCUAAUUAAUCAAUUAGCCCAAUCUAGAGACCUUGUUCACUAUCUCCUGUGCAACCAUGAAUCAUUACCAAAACAACCUUAUACACAAAAGUGAAUAUUGGCUCUCUUAGAAUUCAAUUCUAAAAUUGAUUCAACAUUCCACUAAAGAUAAUCAAUUGCACUCCAGUACCCUAUGUAAAUAACAACAAAAUGAAGUUUGAGUUCAUGACCUACUAUCCAUUACAUGCAGACUCCCCAUGAAUCGGUAUUUGUAAUUUAACAAGGUAGUAGUAUCACUUAUCAAGAUUACCUCUCCAAUCCUUGAGUUAAAAAUCUCAUUUGGAUCACCCAAGAAGACACAUUGUCUCCAUGAGAUGUCAUGAUGUCUCUAUUGAGAAUACUUGUUGUCACCAGCCUCCAUCAAUAGUGACCCAAUCCAUAAAGAUAUAUAACCACUUUAGGAUCUCACCCACCCACAUGUCCAAUCCUCAUGUUGAUUUUGAGACAGGCUCAAUAUGCUCUCAAGUUUGCAAGUCAAUCCAAUAUAGUAGUUUGUUGAAUCAUGACAAUUAAUAGUCUUGUGUCAUGAUUCAUCAUAGCUCUUUUCUAGUAGGCAUGACAUACACUAGUGCAAACAUCAUAGGAAACUCAUCCCAACAAUCAAGACAAGUAAUCCAUUCCAUUAGGAGAUGGUGUACUACAAUCUCUAAUGGAUUGCACAAAUCUAUGAACCAAUUAUGGACAACUUAUAUAUCUACUUACAAGAAACCCUUGACUUGUAUCUUUUGUGCAACUCCUAAGGCACUCAAGUCAUGUACAAUUUAAGAGAUAUAAACUAAAUGCUCAAAUCAAUGUCAAUACACCAAAGGGAUAACGAUGGGAUAGUCAAGUCUAAUUUUGUUACAUCAUGUCUUACUUUUAGGAUCUCAAUCCCAACAGUAUCACAUGGUAGUAGAAGAUAUAUGUUGAACUUUAUUGAUUAUUACUCUAGAAAGGUCUGGGUAUAUAUAUUCAAACACAAGAAUGAUGUCUUUGGGUAGUUCAAACAAUGGAAAGCUAUGUUCAAGAAGCAAACUAGAAAAUAAAUCAAGCACUUGAGAAUUGACAAUGGUAUGAAAUUUAUAUGGGAAGAGUUUAAUGAGUUUUGCAAGAAUGAAAGUAUUGUGAGACAUUACAUAGUUAGGCAUACUCCACAUAAAAAUGGUGUUGCAAAACAAAUGAAUGGAACUCUUUUAGAGAAAGCAUGAUGCACGCUUUCAAAUGCAGUGUUGUCAAAUGGAAUUUUAGGCUGAAGUGAUAAAUUCUACUUGUUAUCUUGUGAAUAGAUCUCCUUCAAUUCCUAUUAAUUAUAGGACUCCUGAAAAGAGAUGGUCUGGUUCUCUUUCUAAUUAUGGUAAUUUAAGAUUUUUUUUUUUCUUGUCCUACUUAUACUCAUGUAAAUGAAGGUAAGUUGGAACCAAGGAGAAGGAAGUGCAUAUUGUUAGGAUAUGCAGAUGAAGUGAAAGGGUACAAGUUAUGGUGACUAGAGUCAAAAUUCUCUAAAUUUAUAAUUAACAGGGAUGAGACUUUUAAUGAGUUUGAAAUGUUGUAUCCUAGGAAUGAGUAACUUGAUGUAGGAAACAACCCUAGUAUGAGAGAAAAUGUGGAGUUUGUGUCUAAAGCUUUAGAAACCAUAGAAAAAAAAAAUUAAAUAAGGCCAAAAGAGGAAGAAAUGCAACAUCUUAAUGAUAAAGAAAACGCACCAUAAGAGCAACAAUAUUAUUUAGCCAAAGAUAGAACAAAGAGGCAAAUUAAACCACCACAAAGGCAUGCUUAUGUAGAUUUGGUUGUUUAUGCACUUAGUAUGGUAAAGAACAUUAUUGAAAAUGAGGAACCACACACUUAUCAUGAAGUCAUCACUAGUAGAUGGUCUACACAAUGGAAUGUUGCUAUGAAUUAGGAGAUUAAAUCUCUUCAAAAGAACUAUACUUAACAACUAGUUGAGAAACCUAAAAACUCAAAAGAUUGUUGGUUGCAAAUGAUUCUUCAAAGAAAUGAAGGAAUUUCGGGAGUGGAGGAUGCUAGGUUCAAAGCACACUUAGUGGCAAAGGGUCACACACAAAAGGAGGGGGUGGGUUUCAAUGAAGUGUUUUCCCUAGUUGUGAAGCAUAACUCAAUUGGAGUGUUACUUGUUAUGGUUGUUUUAUUUAAUUUAGAAUUGGAGCAACUUGAUGUCAAGACUACUUUUUUACAUGAUAAGUUAGAAGAACAAAUUUAUAUGCAUCAACCUAAGGGAUUCAUUAUUUCGAGAAAAGAAAACCAUGUUUGUUUGCCGAAGAAAUCUCUUUAUGGUUUGAAGCAAUCUCCUAGGCAAUGGUAUAAAAGGUUUGAUACUUUUAUUAUUUGUAAUGGCCACCACAAGAGUGAGUAUGAUAAUUGUGUUCAUCAUAAGGAAUUGUUUGAUUAUUCUUUCAUUUAUUUAUUGUUAUAUGUUGAUGAUAUGUUAAUUUUCUACAAGAAUAUGUGAUAACCCGACUCUUGGUAGCUUGGCAUGUAAGGGUAUCAACAAAAUUUACACCUAAGGUCCUUACACUAAAGUAGCAAAGCUACUAUAGCAUAGUGGCUCUAGGAUCGAACACUGGGAAGGGUUUUUACUUUAACUGGUGAAGUUCGGAGGAUGGAGUGAACUUUUCUUAAUAAAAAUUAGGUUAAGAUGAAAACAUAAAAAGAUGAAGGCGUUGUAAACUAAACUAACAUGAAAAUAGGUUAAAAGAUGGAAAAAGAAGUUUCUCAAAGCUUUGGAUAGCCAUGCUUAACUCACUGUGUAAAAAUGGAGAUUUUGGGACUCUUCACCUCGAGUUGGGGAAGCAACUAAGGUGAUGCUUACUUCCCGAACCGGUAUGAGUUUAACAACUGAGUUUUAGUCCUUGAAAACUUACAAAAAGGGUAGCUGAACCUCAUAAAUGCUCUUUUAUUAGUAUAGGUCAUCUCCUCGACUUGCAAUACAAUGGCUCGUAGGAGAUAAUUAAUGAACGUCAGUGGAUCUAACAAUAAGAAUCCACUGAGACCAAAAGGUUAUCAAGUAUUGGCCAUUCAAAGCAAGUUAGAGGGAUUAAAAGCUUUACUUUGAAUGAAAACAUUUAUGACGCUUAGCUACUUACAUUUAUGGCUUGGAAAUCUUCAUCGUGACACGGGAGCUUCACAUGGCAUCCAUUACUUCAAGAAACUAAAAGGAUUUAGCCUUUCAUCCUUGGGGAUUUCAUCCUCCAAGGAUGUUUGGCUACUAAGAAAAUGAGAAAGAAAAGAGAAAAGAAGCGUAUGAACAGAAGUGCUCUUAUAACUUAUAAAGUUACAGGUUACAAGAUGAUCGUGUCUGAGGCUCUUCACCUCUAUUUAAAGACAAUAAAAAGCUAAAUUACAAGAGCUAUUACAAAAGCAACCUUUUCAUUGGUUGAUUACAAGGGUAAAAUAGAUUUUUACAAAGCUAAAAGUCAAGCAAAAUAUCUUGGAGAACCGGCAGUGGAAUAUCAUCAACAGCGUCUCAAAACAGGGGAUUUCAAAGGCAUUUCGCAAAGGGGGGGAGGGGGAGGGGAAGAUGAAAGGUCCAAAUUUUGCAAGGUGCCUAAAUCCAGCUUGCGAAAUUUCGCAAGGUGGUUUCUUCAUGGUGCGAAAUGGCCAAAUUUCGCACCAUGAGGAAAAUCCCCUUGCGAAAUUUUGGCAAGGCGAAAUUCACCUUGCGAAAUGGUGUUCCCAUUGCUUGUGCUCGUGUUUCCACUUGAAAUUCAAGCCUGUAAACGUCCAAAAUCCUUGCUUAACUCACCCAAGUAGCUCCUCCAUCAAUUGGUAUGCUUGAAUUGGUUCAUAAGCUGAUGAAAAACAUGUAAACUUGCCACUAAAAAUGGUUAGAACUAAUUACUAAGGAGCUUAAUGAAUUAAUUGGGUUAAAUGAAUAUGAUUACUACACAAAGGUGCUUAAAACCCUUAUAAUUAGGUCUACAAAAUAGCACUUUUUGGUAGUAAUCACACCCCCCAACCGACUCAUUGCUAGUCCCUUAGCAAUGGAGGAGAUAAAAACUAAGCAAACAUAAUAAUAUACAUAAAAGAGGUCAUGCAAAUCACUCCAAAAAAUAAUUGAGUGGCAUGACUGAUAUCAAAACACAUCUCACAUGGUGAACUAAAGAUAUGAAGAUUCAAAAUGCAAUAGGAGUUGUCAAAGCUAAAACUUAAACAAAAAGUACAAAGAGUGGAGAUUAUGCAAUUAAGUAUCAAAAGAAUCUCUACUCUCAAGGUUCCGAAUCAAACUCUUCCAUAAUGAGCUAAGUGUUAAUGAGAUUAGCUUCCAGAUAUAGUAUGUACAACUAUCCUCUCCCCCCAACCUAAGCUUUUCUCGAACUUUGGCAAAAUUAACCAACUCUUAAUAGGUUAGGAACGCACCUUCUUAUUCACAAUUCUUUUUAUUCACUAAACUUAACCAAUUCACCUAUGUAGCAAGCAGAGGAUCGAUGACUCCCAACCAAUCAGGGUUUAGGGCAUCGGGUUUUAAAGGCUUUCGCCACCCAUUCGGAUCAUGCUUAGGUUUCAAGGAAAGAAUAGAAGCUUAUUCUCUUUUUUUUUUUUUUUUUUUUUUUUUUUUAAGACUCAUUGGUCUUUUUGAGGUGUCCCAACACUAUUAAAAAGAGGUUAAGUAAUGAACCAAGUCAAAAUUUUCCUAAGCUUAAAGGGUGAGAAAGUUUUACAUCAUAUAUCCGAGAUCUAAUGUGCACGGUGUGUGUAAAGCUUGAAAUGGAAGAAAAAAGUUCGAAAUCAAAGAGGGUUUCAAUAGAUUAUCAACUUUGAAAGCAUAAAACAAACUCUAAGACUUAAGUAAUUAAGUUAAAACUCGACUUAUCCUAUUUUAUUUUGAGAAAUUAUCUUUAACAACCAUAGAGAAUGAAACAAAAAUUUUUGAAAAAGGUCAAAAACUACUAAAUCAACAAAAUAACUAACUAAAAUAGGAAAUACUUACUUCCUCAACUCUCCCCCCAACCGAGAUGAACAUUGUCCCCAAUGUUUCUAUCGAAAAAGACGAGGAAGGAAUGAUAUACCUUAUGGUGAUGUGGUAUUCAAGGCGUGUGAGUGCAUCCACAUGAUUCAAAAACCAUAAGAAACGUGAGAGAGGAAAUAAGAUACAAAAAAUGAUGCUUAUAUAAACUGAGAGAGUUGAGUACAAGAUAUAAGCAUGAGGUACAUACAAUCUCAGAAUAUAAAACAUGUAUCAUAUACAAAAUGGAGAUAGAAAUAUCCAAUCAUGGAUGUGGCUCCUGAGGUGGAGGAGGUGAUAUGCCCAGGUGAUGGUGGAUCUGAGAGAGCAUGGCGGAGUGCUGGUCCAGGAUAGCUGUAUGCUGAGCCUGAAUAGAUGUAUGCUGAGCCUGAUGUGUCUGUAUGGUAUCCAUCUGUCGUCUGAUGGCCUGCAUCUCACGGACUAAGGUGGCCUGAGAGGUGCUCAAUGAGUGAAAGGACGACAUGAGAGCUCUGAACUCUGUAGCGGAGACAGCAAUGGAUGGCCCGGCUGAAGACUCAGCAUAGGCUGGAGCAGGAGUGACUGGUGGUGUGGGAGUAUCAGUAGUGCAAGUCACUAGAGCAGGUACUGAAGAAGAAGGCUCUGUGGUAUGUGGGUCCUGCUCUGGUGAUGUCUGUGCUGUAGGUGCUGAGGUUGCUGGAGAAUCGGGAGGCGCUGGAGAAGCUGGAGGCGCGGGAGCUAAUGGUCUAGGGAUACCCUAGUCCAUGGGUGAGAGGUCUAAGAAAUGGGUCCAACUCUCACUGGUAAAGAGCUCUCGACAAUGAUGACGACGCUCUAGAUGGGGCUGAGAAGGGUAUCCCAUAUCCUCUAAGACCUGAGAGAUCAGCCUUGGAAAUAAGAGUGGAAUAGUACCAGCUCUGUGUAGGCGCUUCCUAUGCACCUUCUCCUCAAAAUAGGUAAGAGUAGCCAUGACUAGAUGGUGGGGUCCAAAGUAGAAUCCCUCAGAGAUGCGGUAAAGCGCAUCUAAGAUAGCACCUCUCCUCUGGACGACAUGCUGGAGGGGAAAAAGAUUGGUGCGGAGCACCAAAUCGAUAAGUAACAUCUGUGGAGGAAGCUCCCUCCUCAAAAUGGUCCUACCAGUGACUCUACCUCCUGAUAAGGUAGACACCAUGUCGGGCUCUGAAUACUGAGACCAAUGCCGGAAGGAACCAAGGUCCUCAAGGAUAGGCGGAAAAUGCAUAGCGGCGGCUAUAUCUCGGGCCUCUAAAAUACCAUGCUGGCCAUCAAUAAAAAAAUGAAUGGCUAUGGGGUCCGGACGCCUCUAGUAGUCAUAGUCUGGUAGAAAUCUAAGACUACCCUAGGGUAAUAGAAGGACCUAGGAGUCAUAAAUGGCUCGAUGUGGUACCUCUACAGAAGGCGGUAUGACUCCUCUAGCUCUGGUAAUAGGCGGAGAGUCUCAUGCUCCAUACAGAUCUCGUAGUGAAAUGGCCUAUCUCUGAUAUCCGUGUUGCCUGGGAGGGGUGGCCCUACUAUCAUAGGCCGCUUGAGGACCUCUGCUAGGUGUGAAGGGCCUGGGAUAGUAGAUAUUGGAGGUGAUGGAGGGGCUCUGGAGGACUCGCCUGGUCCUGAAAUCCUAGUCCUCUUAGGUGAAAGACUGCUCACAAGGGGUGGCAUUGGUGCCCUGGAAGACCCAGAUGAUCGUCUGGUCCCGUACCCGUGCUGAGUAGAGGGAACUGGGGUCUGGGCAGGCUGAGAUGGUGUAGAACGACCACCUCUCUGUGAGUGGGCCCCACGCUGACUAGCUGAAGAGGAUGCCCCCCGUGUCUGUGCCAUGGUAUAAAUACUGAAAUAAGACUGAAAAGCACGAAAAAUAGAGCAUCCCUGAUUACUACCAAAAAGUGCUAUUUUGUAGACCUAAUCAUAAUGGUUUUAAGCACCUUUGAGUAGUAAUCAUAUUCAUUUAACCCAAUUAAUUCAUUAAGGUCCUUAGUAAUUGGUUCUAACCAUUUUGUGGUAAGUUUUGGUGCUUUUUGAUAGCUUUUUGCUCACCAAAGCAAUCCAAGAAUGAGGGAGAGCUGUAUAUAGUUCAUGGCAAAGCUUUUGAAAGCUCAAAUUCAUGAAGAAACCAAGCUUUGGAGCUCAAUAACCCUUUUCCAAAGUCGUUCAAAGUAUGCAAGGAAAGAACAAACGGAGAGAGGAAAACAGAGUAAGGAAAAUAGGGGACAGCAACUGCAGCCUUCCUUCGCACUUUUAGAGCACUUUCCGAAGUUCAUUUUCUACAUGCUAUAUACCAUUUCAAAGCUCAGGAAGUCAAGAAUCUAAAGCUUCAAACCGUGUACGAUUUGGAGCUGAAAUGAGGAAGAUAUGGCCUUAGGAAGACAACUGCAUCAAGCUAAAGGACAAUUUCGCACCUUGCGAAAUUGGAACUCCAACGUGCGAAAUUUAAAGUGGAUGGCAGCUGUGUAGUUGCGGUGAAGCCCAGCAUGCGAAGUUGAUUUUGCAACUUGUGGACUUGGAUCUCAACAUGAGAAAGUGAAUUCUAAGUUGCGAAAUCAACUUGCGAAAUUUUCGCAAGUCACCAUGCAACGUGCGAAACUGGGAUAUUUAUGCCGACUCUUUUUCUUCUGAUAUUUUUGUGUCUAAAUUUCCAUUUUCUCCUUGUAUUCAGCCACUCAUGUAAUUCCUUAGCUAUGAAGUAUCCAAGGAAGGGUAAAUUACCUUCCUAUAUAAACUCUCUUGUAAACACUGAAAAAAGGACUCUCGGGGAGCUUUUUCCAAGAGACCAACUUAUGUAAAUUUUACACUUAGUGAAAUACAGAGAUCUCUUUUGCUUUCUUUUUCUCUCUACUAUUUUCUUUUUCUUGGAAGCCAAACAGCCUCUGAGGAUGUUUUCCCAGGGGAUGAGAGGCUAAACUUAUAGUUUCUUGGAGUGAAGGAAGCUAGGUGAAAAGUCCAGAUGAAAAGGUGGAAAGCUUCCGUGCAUUAAAUUCAGGUAGUUGGAGUUCAUAAAUGGCUUCUAAAUCCAAAGUUUUGCUUUAAAUCCCUUAGAAUCACUUUGAACGGCCAAUACAUGGUAAGCUUCAGGUCUCUGUGGAUGCUUAUUGCUAGAUCCAUAUCAGUCCAUUAGUUAUCAUGUACGAGCCAUUGGAAAGUGGUUCAAGGUGAAGACCCAUAGUGUCUUAAGCCAUUAAUGGACCUUGACUAUCAUUUCUAUUGACUUUUUAUAGAUUAAAUCUUCAUUGUUAAACCUAUACCGGUUCGGGAAAUAACUAUAGGUUAAAUCCCCAAUGCGAGGAGAAAAAUCCGGAAUUUCCACUUUGCAUUCUGAACUUGAUCCUAGCAACCCUUAGCUCCGGGAGACUUUCUUUCUUCCAUUUUUACUUAGUUCUAUGUUAGUUUAAUUUCAGUCACCACUUGCAAAACAAAUUUUAUUUUCUUUUAAACUUCAAGUUUAUGAUAAAGGAAAUCAUCAGACUCAAUUUCUAAUCUAGAGUCUGUCACUGAUAGAGUGAAAACCCAUCCCUGAGUUCGACCCUAGAGCUGCUAUACUAUAGUAGCUUUGCUACGCCAGUAUAAGGUCAUAGGAUUUAUAAAUAUUUUUUUAUUAAAAGACCCGACGGGGUAUGAAUAAAUCCCAGGGGUAAAGUGUCAAAAAUAUAGUUGAAAUGGUAACCAGUGCAAAAUUUGCAAGGCAUGAAUAGUGGUUGCUAAAUUUGGCAACGGGCACUAUUCACGCAACACUAAUCACAGGCACUAUUCAUCUUCUUUUCCAAUGCUUACUUUGAAUUUGAGUUUUCAUUUUUAACGGUUUAAAGUUCAGAAAAAGGGUAUGGUUUUAAUGGAAACAUGAUUCUAAAUGCAAUGGAGUAAGUUUGGGAGCCUAAAACACAUUGCAAGAUAGAGAUUUUUGCAAAAAUGGUGGCCGGCCAUGUGGGUCUUUGAUUUGAAAAAAUGGAUUUUUGAAAUGGUUUUAAUGGAUGAAAAUGCAUGUUUAUGGUCCCUUAAACAUUGAAAUGACAUAAACAAGCAAUUUAAGGAGCCAAAAAUGGAGAAAAAUGAAAAAUUAUUCACCUUGGAACAAUGAAGCACGCGGCCUAGAGAGGAAAUGCAAGGGGAAUAGUGUUUUAUGCAUGAAAAAUGAAGUUGAGAAGGCUUUAAAAAGGGUUUUUGGCCAUGAAUUUUUUUUUGAAAAUUUGUCUAAGUACGGGGAUGAACUGAGGAGUGUUAAAACUACAAAAUUGAAGUUUGAAAAUGAAUUUAAAAAGAAUCAAAUCCUUGGUAAGCAUGAAGAAAAAAUUUCGCAAGGUGAAAAUUCACCUUGCCAAAUUUUCGCACUGGCUACUCCCCUUAAAAACCAAUUCCGAGAGGUUGUAAAUUGCAUCUUGCCAAAAUGUGCAUUUCGCAAGGUGAAAAUUGACUUGCGAAAAUUUUCGCACUGGUUACUCCUUGCGAAAGUGCAAUCCCAGCGAAAGUGCAAUCCCGAGAGGUCGUAAAUUGCAUCUUGCCAAAAUGUGCAUUUUGCAAGGUGAAAUUCACCUUGCCAAAUUUUCGCAACUCACUUUUUGAGUUGCGAAAUGGGCUUUUAAGCUUGGACUUAGAUAUAUUUCUCCCCUAUUUCACCUUUCUCUCCACAUUUAUGAGCUUGUGAGCUUUUGUACCUGCUAUUGGACAUCAAAGCUCCAUUAAAAACAUUAAAAAAUCAAAAUCAAAACUAAGAAACCUAAACAAAAUAUGUGCAAAAGUAUUAAAAAUGCAAAGUAAACAAGAAUGUAAUACUAAAAUUAAAACAAAAAGAGAUGAGCACUUAACUUUUCAUGCUAAGCUCAUCAACUUACCACACUUUCUCAAGGAUGUGAUGGGUCAUGGAGGAUGAGUACCUCCUUGUCACGGGAAAAUGGCUCGAUGUAGGGUUUGAGUCUUUGCCCAUUUACCUUGAAGAUCUUUGCACUUUUUGAAUUGAGUAACUCAAUUACUCCAUGUGAGUGUACUUGGUGGAUGACAAAAGGCCCUACCCACCUUGAUUUGAGCUUUCCCGGAAAUAUGUGAAGCUUAGAGUCAUAUAGCAAGACUCUUUGUCCCUUGAAAAAUUCUUUCUUGGUCACCAACUGAUCAUGCCAUCUCUUUAGCUUUUCCUUAGCUAUUUUUGAGUUGAGAUAGGCAUCAUUUCUCAAUUCCUCAAGCUCAUUCAAAUCCAAACUCCUCUUUAGCCUAGCCUUUGUUAAAUCCAUGUUGAGCUUUUUAAUGGCCCACCAUGCCUUGAACUCAAUCUCAACGGGAAGAUGGCAAGCUUUGCCAUAAACAAGACAGUACGGUGACAUCCCAAGGAUAGUCUUAUAAGUCGUCCUAUACGCCCAUAGGGAAUCAAGGAGCUUAAACAAACCAAUCUUUCUUAUUGGUGUUCACCACCUUCAUCAAGAUGUUCUUAAUUUCCCGGUUGGCUAGCUCUACUUGGCCACUCGUCUGAGGAUGAUAAGGUGUAGCUACCUUAUGCUUAAUUCCGUACUUGGCCAAAAGAGCUUCAAAGGGCUUGUUGCACAAGUGAGUGCCUCCAUCACUGAUGAUUGCUUUAGGCACUCCAAACCUCGAGAAGAUGUUUUCUUUUAGGAACUUGAGAACCACUUUGUGAUCAUUGGUUCCACAGGGUAUAGCUUCAACCCACUUUGAAACAUAAUCAACUCCUACCAAGAUGUAGGAGUGGCCAAAAGACAUAGGGAAAGGUCCCAUGAAGUCUAUGCCCCAAACAUAAAAAAGAUCCACUAUCAAGAUGGGGUUCAAAGGCAUCAUGUUUCUCCUUGAAAGCUUGCCUAGUCUUUGGCACUUAUCACAUCCUUUACUUACCUCAUGGGCAUCCUUAAAAAGUGAGGGCCACCAAAAGCCCGAUUGAAGAACUCUCAUUGCCGUCUUUUGAGAGGCAAAGUGGCCUCCACAUGCAUUCCCAUGGCAAUGAGAUAGGAUCCCAUGCUUCUCUUUUUCAGGCACACACUUCCUUAUAAUUUGGUCUGCACAAUACUUGAAGAGAAAAGGCUCCUCCCAAUAAUAUGCAUGGACCUUGGCAAAGAAAUUCUUCUUGUCCUGAGAGCUCCAUUCACUUGGUAUUUCUCCCGUGACCAAGUAAUUGGCAAUGUGUGCAAACCAUGGCACUUCCUCCACAAGCAUCAAGGAUUCCUCAGGGAAAUCAUCAUUUAUGGGAAGUCCAUGGGUGUCAUGAGCGAUGUUGAGCCUUAACAAGUGGUCAGCUACCACAUUCUCAAUACCUUUCUUAUCUCUGAUCUGGAGGUUGAACUCUUGAAGCAAAAGUAUCCACCUAAUCAACCUAGCCUUGGCAUCUUGCUUGGUUAGCAAAUACUUCAAAGCUGAAUGAUCCGUGAAUACCACAAUGGAAGACCCUAUCAAAUAAGCUCUGAACUUAUCCAAAGCAUACACCACAGCAAGUAAUUCCUUCUCAGUGGUGGUGUAAUUCCUUUGAGCAUCAUUCAAAGACUUGCUUGCAUAGUAGAUCACAUAAGGUUUACCAUCUUCUCUUUGUCCCAAAACAGCCCCAAUGGCAUAAUCACUUGAGUCACACAUCACUUCAAAUGGCAACUCCCAAUUUGGUGCUCUCAUAAUGGGCGCUGAUGUCAAGAAUUGCUUAAGAAGCUCAAAACUCCUUUGACAUUUAUCAUCCCACUCAAACUUGGCAUCCUUCACCAAUAAUUCACAAAGAGGUUUGGCAAUCUUGGAAAAAUCCUUUAUAAACCUCCUAUAGAACCCGGCAUGCCCAAGGAAUUGCCUUAUUCCUUUUACAUUGGUGGGAGGUGGCAACUUCACAAUUAGUUCCGCCUUAGCUCUAUCUACCUCUAUACCCUUCUUUGAGAUUACGUGCCCAAGAACAAUACCUUGAUUUACCAUAAAAUGGCACUUCUCCCAAUUGAGUACUAGGUCUUUCUCUAUGCAUCUUUUCAAAACAUCUUCAAGAUGUGACAAACAAUCCUCAAAAGAAGUCCCAUACACAGUUAUGUCAUCCAUGAAGACUUCCAUGAUUCGUUCAACCAUGUCACUGAAGAUGCUAAGCAUGCAUCUUUUGAAGGUAGCAGGAGCGUUGCAUAAUCCAAAAGGCAUCCGCCUAUAAGCAUAGGUGUCGAAUGGACAAGUGAAGGUAGUCUUCUCCUGGUCCUCCACAUCAAUCUCUAUUUGAAAAUACCCGGAAUACCCAUCCAAGAAGCAAUAAAAAGGAUGCCCAGAUACUCUCUCAAGGACUUGAUCCAUGAAAGGUAAAGGGAAGUGAUCCUUUCUCGUUACUGUGUUCAACUUCCUGUAGUCAAUGCACACCCUCCAACCAGUUGUGAGGUGUGUGGACACUUCAUCUCCAUUUUCCCCCUUGACUACGGUUAUCCCGGACUUCUUUGGAACAACUUGGGUUGGACUCACCCAAGUGCUAUCUGAAAUGGGGUAAAUGAUGCCCGCUUGAAGAAGCUUCAACACUUCAGCCCUUACUACCUCUUGCAUAUGAGGAUUCAAUCUCCUCUGUGGCUGACGAGUUGGCUUAGCUCCCUCCUCCAUAUAAAUAUGGUGCGUGCAAAUCAAUGGGCUUAUCCCCUUCAAAUCAGAAAUUUGCCAUCCGAUGGCCUUCUUGUGCUUUCUAAGGAUUCUUAGAAGAUUGUCCUCUUGUGAAACGGUUAAAGAAGAAGAAAUUACCACUGGGGCUUUAUUGCCUUCCUCCAAGUAAGCAUACUUCAACUCGGCAGGAAGGGUCUUCAAUUCAAGCUUAAGGAUUGCAUCCUUAGCUUCUUUCAUCUCUUCCUCAUCCUUGAACAAAGGGAGGAUCACUGGCUUUUGUCUCCAGUUUGACAUAACAGCAUUCAUUCCCAUGGGUUCAGCUAACCCAUCAUUAAGAUCUUCAUGGAUUUCAUCUGGAUUCUCUUCAAACUAAUCAAGCAUACUCUGAUUACAAUGCUCCUCCACCAGGGUAUCUAUCAUACACACUUCUUCUAGGCCCUCAUCUUCUUCAGGAUGGAUGUGCUUUUGACAUAGAUGGAAGAUGUUGAGUUCCAAUGUCAUAUUCCCAAAAGUGAGUUGCAUGACCCCGUUCCUACAAUUGAUGAUUGCAUUGGAUGUUGCAAGGAAUGGUCUUCCAAGGAUGAUUGGAACAUAGUUGAUCCCUUUGACAAUGGGAUCCGUAUCAAGCACCACAAAAUCUACUGGAUAGUAGAAUUUGUCAACUUGAACCAAUACAUCCUCUAUUACCCCCCUGGGGAUUUUCACUGAUCGGUCAGCUAAGGAUAGGGUGAUCGAUGUUGGCUUGAGUUCUCCCAACCCCAGGUCCUUGUAUAUAGAGUAUGGAAGCAAGUUAACACUUGCCCCCAAAUCAAGCAAUGCCUUCUCCACUUGGGUUCCUCCAAUAUUGACUGAGAUUGUAGGACACCCCGGAUCUUUGUAUUUGAUUGGAGAGUUGCAUUAGAUUAUAGCACUCACUUGCUCGGUUAGGAAGGCUUGCUUUGUAACAUUGAGUCCUCUUUUCACAGUGCACAAGUCCUUCAAAAACUUUGCAUAUGUGGGUACUUGCUUGAUCAUAUCAAGUAAAGGAAUAUUCACCUUCACUUGUCUUAGCACAUCAAGAAUCUCAGAAGCAUUCUUGAUUGGUUUCUUCCCACGCAAGGCUUGAGGAAAUGGAGGAGGCAUGUGCUUCUUCAUCAUGCCUUCCUUUAAAAGAAUUUGAGGUUCCUCAUCCAUGCUAGGAAUGAUGCUUUCUUUCAUCUGAACUUCCUUACCCUUUUGUUCUUUCUUCUUUUCUUCUUUUCUAUCAGCCUUGUCUUCGUUGGCUUUCCUCUGAUCAUGCUCCGGCUGAUGCACUUCCUUACCACUUCUCAAAGUGAUAAUAGCUUGCACGUCCCUCACCUUUGAAGAAUCCUCAUCUUUAGAUUCCACUUCAUGUAUCCCCUUAGGAUUUUGGUGAGGCUGAGAGGGAAACUUCCCUUUCUCAUUGACAGUGUUCAAAUUUGUAAGCCUUGAGAUGGAAUAUUGGAUGUUGUCAAUUUUCUGAGACAACUCAUUAUGCAUCCCAUCUAUCUUCUUGUUCAAUGUACUCUCUACGUUGUCAAUCUUCUGAUUUAGUUGAGAGUUGAUGGAUUUUUGGUCACUCACAAAGUCACCCAUAACCUUGCUAAGGCUUAUGAGUGCUUGCUCAACUGAGGAUUGACCUUGACUCUGUUGGCUUGAUUGGGCUGGUGACUGAUAUGGGUUUGGCCUUGGCUUCCAUGCAAAUUUUGGGUGGUUCCUCCAGCUAGAGUUGUACGUGUUGCCAUAGGGAGCAUUUGAAUUUGGCUUCCAUUGGCCAAUCAGGUUAGCUUGUUCCUCGAACAUUUCUCUUGCUGCUGGAAUGGUGGGACAUUCUUCCACCAUAUGUUCAAAUGACUAACAGAUGGAGCAAGGAUUGGCUUGUUGUUGAGGUUCUGAAAUAGCUUGGACUUCGUGAACUUUUCUCAACUCCAUUUCCUCCAUUUUUCUAGCCAUGGCAGCUACCUUGGCUUUCAUCUCCAUGUCUUCACUCAGAUUGUACAUCCCCCCUCUUGACAUUUGCUGAACUGGCCUCUUCCCCAUUUCUCUGUUAUUGGGCUCAUCCCAUCCACGGGAAACCUCUGAGACAUAACUUAGGAAAUCCAUAGCCUCCUCAGGGUUCUUGCUCAUGAAAUCACCCCCACACAUUGUCUCCAAUAUCUGCUUCAUUGAAGAUGACAUGCCAUCAUAAAAAUAGCUCACCAACAGCCAUGUAUCAAAGCCGUGGUGAGGACAUGCAUUGAUGGCCUCCAUAUACCUCUCCCAGUAUUCAUAAAAUUUUUCAUUCUCACGUGCUGAGAAGUUGGAGAUUUGUCUCUUCAAUCCAUUUGUUCUAUGAGUAGGGAAAAACUUCUUCAAAAAAUCAGCUUGAAGUUCUGUCCAUGUUCUUAUGCUUCUCGGCCUCAAGGAAUUGAGCCAUAUCUGGGCUUUGUCCUUUAAUGUGAAUGGAAAGAGCUUCAACCUCAUAAGCUCAAUAGCUGUUCCCCCUUCUUGAAAAGUAUUGCACACAUCUUCGAAUUCCUUUAUGUGCGCAUAUGGAUUUUCACUUUCCAUCCCAUGGAAAGUAGGAAGCAGAGGCACGAUGUGUGGCCUGAUAAUCAAUUGCUUUGUAGGAGGAAUGAUGCAAGAUGGUGCACUCAUCCUCGGAGGGUGCAUCCUGUCCCUCAUGGACCUAUACAAGUUCGGAUCAUUCUACUGCCCGUGUUGUGAAUGUUGAUCCUCUGGCUGAUUCUCCAUGACUUCCAAAAUAAUCUCUAAUUCAGUAGCUCGUGGAGUCUCUAUCCGCACUAACCUUCCCUCUUGGUCUCUAAUCCAAUAGGGCAUGCACGGAUUCAGCUGGAACAAAACAAAUAAACAAAACAAAGAAAAAGAAAAAAAAAACAGAGCAUGCGGAAGGAAAAACAAAGUAUGAAAAAUAAACUAAAAAUGAAAGUUAAAAGCUAAAAGAAACUUAUCUAAACUAAGUUAAAAAUGUUCUAAAACUAAAAUAAAAAGUUAGUAAAUGAAAAAUGAGAUAGAAUUCACCUCACUCAUGAGAAGUCUCACAAGUUACCUCCGGCUGAUCUAUUCACAGUGAAGUAGCACCCCUCCUCGGCAACGGCGCUAUUUGAUAACCCGACUCUUGGUAGCUUGGCAUGUAAGGGUAUCAACAAAAUUUAUACCUAAGGUCCUUACACUAAAGUAGCAAAGCUAUUAUAGCAUAGUGGCUCUAGGAUCGAACACUGGGAAGGGUUUUUACUUUAACUGGUGAAGUUCGGAGGAUGGAGUGAACUUUUCUUAAUAAAAAUUAGGUUAAGAUGAAAACAUAAAAAGAUGAAGGCGUUGUAAACUAAACUAACAUGAAACUAGGUUAAAAGAUGGAAAAAGAAGUUUCUCAGAGCUUUGGAUAGCCAUGCUUAACUCAUUGUGUAAAAAUGGAGAUUUUGGGACUCUUCACCUUGAGUUGGGGAAGCAACUAAGGUGAUGCUUACUUCCCGAACCGGUAUGAGUUUAACAACUGAGUUUUAGUCCUUGAAAACUUACAAAAAGGGUAGCUGAACCUCAUAAAUGCUCUUUUAUUGGUAUAGGUCAUCUCCUCGACUUGCAAUACAAUGGCUUGUAGGAGAUAAUUAAUGAACGUCAGUGGAUCUAACAAUAAGAAUCCACUGAGACCAAAAGGUUAUCAAGUAUUGGCCAUUCAAAGCAAGUCAGAGGGAUUAAAAGCUUUACUUUGAAUGAAACAUUUAUGACGCUCAGCUACUUACAUUUAUGGCUUGGAAAUCUCCAUCCUGACACGGGAGCUUCACAUGGCAUCCAUUACUUCAAGAAACUAAAAGGUUUUAGCCUUUCAUCCUUGGGGAUUUCAUCCUCCAAGGAUGUUUGGCUACUAAGAAAAUGAGAAAGAAAAGAGAAAAGAAGCGUAUGAACAAAAGUGCUCUUAUAACUUAUAAAGUUACAGGUUACAAGAUGAUCGUGUCUGAGGCUCUUCACCUCUAUUUAAAGACAAUAAAAAGCUAAAUUACAAGAGCUAUUACAAAAACAACCUUUUCAUUGGUUGAUUACAAGGGUAAAAUAGGUAUUUACAAAGCUAAAAGUCAAGCAAAAUAUCUUGGAGAACCGACAGUGGAAUAUCAUCAACAGCGUCUCAAAACAAGGGAUUUCAAAGGCAUUUCGCAAAGGGGGGGAAGAUGAAAGGUCCAAAUUUCGCAAGGUGCCUAAGUCCACCUUGCGAAAUUUCGCAAGGUAGUUCUUCAUGGUGCGAAAUGGCCAAAUUUCGCACCAUGAGGAAAAUCCCCUUGCGAAAUUUUGGCAAGGCGAAAUUCACCUUGCGAAAUGGUGUUCCCAUUGCUUGUGCUCGUGUUUCCACUUGAAAUUCAAGCCUGUAAACGUCCAAAAUCCUUGCUUGACUCGCCCAAGUAGCUCCUCCAUCAAUUGGUAUGCUUGAAUUGGUUCAUAAGCUGAUGAAAAACAUGUAAACUUGCCACUAAAAAUGGUUAGAACUAAUUACUAAGCAGCUUAAUGAAUUAAUUGGGUUAAAUGAAUGUGAUUACUACACAAAGGUGCUUAAAACCCUUAUAAUUAGGUCUACAAAAUAGCACUUUUCGGUAGUAAUCAAUAUGUCUGAGAUUAACAAGUUGAAAACUCAACUUCAAGGAGAGUUUGAAAUAAAAGACCUUGGAGUUGGGAAGAAAAUAUUAGGUAUGAAGAUUCAUAGAGACCGAGAAGUAUGGCAAUUGUACUUAUCAUAGAAAAAGUAUAUUGAGAUAGUGUUGGAACAGUUUGGAAUGCAAGGGUAAAAACCAAUGAGUACUCAACCAGCAACUCACUUCAAACUUUCAAGUUCUUUAUUACCAUAGACCAAAGAAGAAAUGGAGUACAUGUCACAUGUUCCAUAUGCUAGUGCAAUUGAUAGCAUUAUGUAUGUCAUGGUUUGCACUAGGCCAAACAUUUCACAUGUAGUUAGUGUGGUAAGUAGAUAUAUGGAUCACCUUAGAAAGAUCCAUUGGGAAGCAAUGAAUGGAUACCUUGGUACUUGAGAGGAACAUCACAUAUUGACUUAGUAUAUGAUAAAAGUAGUGACAUCUCUGAGGAAAUCGGUGGUUAUGUUGAUUCUGAUUAUUCUAGAGAUUUGGAUAGAAGAAGAUUUUUAAUAGGGUAUGUAUUCACUUUAUGUGGUAGUGUUAGUAGUUGUAAAGCAACUUUGUAAUCUACAAUUGUUUUAUCAACCACUAACGUAGAAUACAUGGUGGUCACAGAAGCAGUGAAAGAAAUUAUUUGCCUUAAGGGUUUGGUUGGUGAUUUAAGCUUACAAUAGGAGUUGAUUGUUAUGUAUUGUGAUAACCAAAGUACCAUAUUUGACUAAAAAUCAAAUGUUCCAUGAGAUGAGCAACCAUAUUGAUGUCAAUGCAUUUUAUUAUGGAUGUGAUCGCAUAGGGUGCUAUUAUAGUGAAAAAAAAAUCCUUAUAGUGGAUAAUCUCAUAGAUAUGAUGACUAAGUCCAUUUCUAUAGUUAAGUUUAUGCAUUGCUUAGACUUGGUGUUAAUAGUAUCUAAAGGCCCUUUUCAGGUGUGAGGUCGAAGUAACAUGGAAGACUUUUGAGUUUUUUUUUUUUUUUUUUUUUUUUUAAUCUUGAGAAUUUGAGCCAAGGUGGAGAUUGUUGAAAAAUAUUUCAAAUUCUAUUUUUGAGUCAAUUGGACAAUUGUAGAUAGUUUUCUAAUAGAAAAUAUUCUUGUAAGUGAGUUUCCUAUUAUUAUAAAAGAAAUAUUCUUUUAGUAAAAGACAUCUUUGACAAUUAUACACUUAGUGUUUUAUAUGGAAUAUUUCUAUGUAAUUAGGAAAAUAUAUGUAUAGGAAGAGAUUUUGACCAAAAUAGUGGAAGUCUCUUUUUAGGUGUAAUUGGGACUUUGGGAUUUGAAAGCUCUAAGGUUGUAAUCUCCUUCAACAAUAGUGGAAAUUCUUCUUUGUCAUCACCUAUGGAUGUAGGCUUGAGGCUAAACCACAUAAAUUGUUAUGUACUUUGUGUGUUUUGUUUUCAUUUUCUUAUUCUUUUAUCCCUAUUAUUAUUCUUUGUCAUGAUUUUUCCCAAUAGAAGUAUAUAUAUACCAUGAGACUUGCAUGGUGGGAAGGGUAUAUUUCAUAUUAGUGACAAGAAGCAGAGCUUACUCAAUUGUGCUUUUUCUUUCAGAAUAUGGAAGGGGUUUCCUUAUGCUCAAGAAAUGCAUAGAUUCAAUUGAAUAAAUUGAGGAAUGCUUUACUCAAUUGUGUUUUUCCUUUCAGAAUAUGGAAUGGGUUUCUUUAUGCUCAAGAAAUGCAUAGAUUCAAUUGAAUAAAUUGAGAAAUGCUUACUCAAUUGUAUUUUUCCUUUCAAAAUAUGGAAGGUGUUUCCUUAUGCCCAAGAAAUGCAUAGAUUCAAUUGAAUAAAUUGAGGAAUAUGAUUGUUCUUUUUCUUUUUCUUUUUAUUUUUUAAAUAAUAGAUGAGCCAAGAUGGAACUUACGUGGAACACAUUGAUUCCAGUCAUUUUCUUGGACAAAGAUAUGCCCAAAAUAUGGGAAAAAGGCAUUUUAAAAUUAAAAAUGAUUUUAAAUUUAAGAGUUUCUUUUUUAUAUGUUUAAAAACUUUUUAAUGGGUAGAUUUGAAUUGUAACUUGCAAUUUAAUCUAAAGAACAUUCGAAAAUUAAAAAUUACAAUAAUGAGAUUCUCAAUCCUUCAAAAUGAAAUUAAUUUAAUCCUCUUUCUUUGUAAAUUAUCCCUCAAUUAAAUCAAUCUUUUAAAAAUUGAAUCUACUAAAUGAUAAUAUUCAUAUUUAAUCAAUUUAUUGUUGGAAUUUAUAUAGGUGAAUGGAAAUUAGGACUUCUUUUUUUUUUUCCCCCUUGGAAAACAUGCUAUUUCUUAACAGACACAACUUGUUUUAAAGAAUAUGUCUUGUAUUUAAAAGACAUCUUAAGAUACAAUCCUUCAAAGGAUACUAGACACAUCUUUUCUAAUAAGUCACCUUCAAAUCUUUAAAUAGGGACCCCACAUAGCAUUUUCAUUCAUUCAUCCAUUCUCUCCACUCUUUCUCAUUUCUUGUCAUUCAAGUUCUCUUUAACUUCUAGUCUAGUCAUUUAUCUUUUCUACCAAAUAUUUGGUAUACAAGAGAGUACAAAUCACCAAGUGAUUCAUUGUUUCUUGUGAUUUGAAGUACUACUAUCACAAGAAAGUGAUCGUUGUAUCCUGGGAGACGAUUGUCAAUAAACCGUAAGCACCUAAGCGGGACAAAUUCGUCUUAAGAACACAGAGUCAAACUCUUGUUUCGAUCAACCUUAUUUGUAAGUUCCAAUUUUCUAAUUACUUCAUUUUAUUUGAAUAUUUAUUACACACACUUAUUAUCCAUAUAUUUUGAGUGAUAUGGAUAACAUUUAUCUUUUUGUAUAAAUUCCUAAAUUUAUAUAACAUAAUUUAAACUUAAUUUCAUUUUGAUUCAAUUUUGUUUCAUGUUUUAUAAUUCUAUAAGGUUGAAUUUAGGGAUGGCAAUGGGCGGGUUUUUUCGGGUACCCACCCCGUCCCGCCCCUAAUGAGACGGGGUUUAAAUUUAAUAAACGGGUUUGGGACGGGUAUGAGAUUUUUUUUUAAACCCGGGGCGGGUUCGGGUAUUGCUCCAUCCCACCCCGCCCCACCCCGUUUACAUAUAAAAUUAAUUUUAAUUCAACGAGCUUAAUUCCACCCAAGAAUCCCUCUUCCCAAACCCAGAAACCCCACCAUUUUUCCUUCACGAAAGCUCUCAAAACUCCACCUAAUCAGAUCUGUUCAAGAACAAUUUGAUCACCAGCCUCUUACUCGGUCAACACCCAGAUGGGAAAACAUGCUUUCCACUGCAGCAAGCUUGUACCCUCUCUAUGUCACUGCUGGAGGGGUUGUUGCAUGUGUGAAGCCAUCUGUUUUUGCUUGGUUUGUGGCGAGAGGCCCAGCUUCUUAUAGCUUAUCACUUGGGUUAAUCAUGUUGUCCAUGGGUAUCACAUUGAAGCUCAGGGACUUCUUCAAUUUAUUGAUCCAGAGGCCUUUUUCUGUGAGUUUUUUAUGGUUUGGAGUUUUUGGGUGUUUUGGUAUUUGAUUGUUUUUGAGACAUGGNNNNNNNNNNNNNNNNNNNNNNNNNNNNNNNNNNNNNNNNNNNNNNNNNNNNNNNNNNNNNNNNNNNNNNNNNNNNNNNNNNNNNNNNNNNNNNNNNNNNGUUGAAUUCCAAUCAUAAUUAAAAAUUAAAUUGAUUUGUUAUAAUAUUAAAUAAGAUAUCUUUUGAAAAAAUUAUUAUAAUCAUUUAACAUAAUACAAAUUUCACCAAGUUUUUCUAACUAUGGUUCUCUAAUAAUUACCUUGUAAUAAUAAAAUUAAUUCUAACAAUAUAUGUCAUAAUCAAAUUUCAAAAAUCCAAUCUCAAAUAAUUUAAUAGCUGAGUUUAAAUUUAAUUUUUGAAAUUCUUAAUUUCCAAAUGUGACUUGACAAGAAUUUAAACUAUUGACUUUCGACUAAGGUUUUACACAUUUUGCCUAAUUAAAUAAAAUAUUGACACGUGAAUGUUCACUAACAUCACGUGAUUCAUUGAUUUAGACGAUUCAUUUUGGUUGAUGUUGAGGAUAGUCAUCGGCAGUAGACUAACAUCUUCUGGACCAAUUAACAUACCAGUAGUGAUUAGGCCAAGGUGGUGAUCCAAUUCCAUGGAAGAGCAGCAAGAAAGGAGGAACGUUGGAGAGAUAGAACCAGAAGGCGGCCAACCAAGCAGGAACAGUGGCCAAACUGGCCUCGAGCCUGAGGAGCAUAGGAUUGACAUUGUUGAAAUCAGUCAUAGGGAUUGGAUUGAGUCUCUCAGAACGGCAGAAGAAAGAACUCAAUCUCAAAGUCAAUGGCCAAGGAUACCAAAGGUUCCUCAGAUGCUGAGGGGGACCCAGGAUUUCAAGAAAUUCUACGAACCGAGGGUAAUUUCGAUCGGUCCUUACCACCAUGGCAGGCCCCACCUUUACCCAGGGGAAAUGAUCAAGCCUCUAUGCGCCCGAAACUUCCUGGCUGAUAGUAA
rnacentral:lncRNA from 1 species